AGGGUCUCAUUCCGAUGGAAUUGUGCUAUUUGGAUUCCCUUAGAAUUUUGGACCUUUCAGAAAAUAAAUUUUCUGGCCCAAUACCAUCUUGCUUCGGCACACAAUUUAUCAUACAUCUCCAUUUGAGCAAAAAUAGAUUAAGUGGCACCUUGACAAAUGCAUUCUUUAAUAGCUCUUCCUUGGUGACUUUAGAUCUUAGUGAAAAUCAGUUGAGUGGAGAAAUUCCAUACCAGAUUGGAACUCUUUCUGCUUUGAGUGUUCUCCUUCUAAAAGCCAAUUAUUUUAUUGGAGAAAUUCCCAUUGAGAUAUGCAAAUUAUAUUCUUUAAGUAUCAUUGAUCUUUCUCAAAACAAGCUUUUUGGUCUGAUACCUUCUUGUUUGAGUCGUUUAACUCUUGAUCCAAAUGAUGAAAAAUCUUCAACAAAUAUCUAUGUGGAGGGCUUUGGAGGAAUCUUUGAGCCGGGUAAUUACUUUGGAAUGACUGAAUUUGAAUUUCUCACUUUAAGAGGAUACGAGUCAUUAGAUGUAGAUUUCGAAAUUGAGAAUCAAAUGGAAGAAAAGGUGGAUUAUACAACAAAAAGAGCAUCUUACACAUACAAGGGAAACAUUCUUAAAUACAUGUCGGGAAUUGAUUUAUCAUGCAAUAGAUUAACAGGUGAAAUCCCCAUAGAGAUUGGAAAUUUGAGUGAAAUCCGAUCACUAAACUUGUCGCACAACAAUUUGACUGGACAUAUACCGUCAACGUUCUCAAAGCUCAAGCAAAUUGAGAGUUUGGACCUGUCUCACAACAACUUAAUUGGAAGAAUCCCUGUUCAAUUAACGGAGUUGUACACCUUAGCAGUCUUCAAUGUGUCACACAACAACUUGUCAGGGAGUAUUCCGUCUCCAAAAGCUCAAUUUGGAACCUUUGAUGAAAGCAGUUAUGUGGAGAAUCCUUUUCUCUGCGGGCCUCCCCUGCAUAAAAAUUGCAGCGACCUUGAUUCACCCCCGACAACAGCACCAAAGAGCUCAAACGAGGAAGAAGAAAGUGGUUUGAUGGACAAGUAUGUUUUCUGGGUGACCUUUUUUGUUUCUUACGUGAUUGUGUUACUGGUUAUUGUUCUCAUCCUGUAUAUAAAUCCUUAUUGGCGACAAGCAUGGUUUUCUUUUGUUGAACACUGCAUCAAGACUUGUCAGUACUUUCUUCUGCGAUUUUCCAUCUUCAAAAGGAGUGGGUAGCCUUGUAUUUUGGUGGUUUACAUUUGUAUGUAAUUUUCAUCACUCUUUUUUUAUUUUUCAAAGUUUGAUUGGAUUAUCUGCUUCUAAGUUUUUAGAGCUAGAAUGCAAUAUAUCUGUUAUGGAAAGCAAUAUAUAAAGUUAUGCAUUUUCAAUUAAAACAUUUAAUAUUGCUUUAUAAUUUUUAGUGUUCUGAUAAGAUGAUGUUAAAUUCAACAUAUUGUAGCAUAUAUAUUAAUAAAACCUAUAUUCAUCUAUACAAAUUUUUUAGUCAACCAAACCAUUGAUGUGGUGGCAAAAACUUCACAUUGUUUUCAAGUCUUCAUUGACAUUAGGUUGAGGUUUCAAACCCUAGCGUAAAAGAGGGGGGAGAGGGGUUGUCUGAACCAAAACUUCAUUUCAACAGAUAUCCUUUACCCACUAAAUCAUAUGCUCAACUGAAACUUUUAUAUAUAUAUAUAUCAAACAUGAAUGAUAUAAAUAGUCUUUAAAUUUUUAAAUGAUAUAAAUAUAUAUAUAUUUUUAAAAUGAACAAAAAUUAUAAUAAUUAAUAUGUAGUUUCAUUAUUUUAUUUAAACUCAAAAUAAUAAUAUUUAAAAAUUGAGUUUACGUGAUAUUUAUUUACUUUAAAAUUAAUAAAAUGUAAAUAUAAACUUUAUUUUAUUUUAUUUAUAUUCAAAUUUAAUAAAUGUUUAUCUAAUUUAUUUAAAUUUAAAUAAAUUAAAUAAAUAAGCACACAAUUUUUUUUAGAGAAAGUGAUGACUCUUUUUUAAUGAUGAGAUGUUAGAAGAUUUACCAUAUGUGUAAUGUGGAGACAAUAACCCUAAUAUGUAACUUUUGCACAAUAACCUUAAUUUAUAAUUAGUGAAUCAUCAAUUAAAAAUUAAUUAAUUGAGUAUUUACACUUGUCCAACCAUAUUUUAUUUAAUAAGUGUCAUGGAUCAUAGGUCAAAUAAGUAUCACAAUAAUCACAGUAAUACCUGCAAAAAUUGAAUCCAAAUAAACAUAUCCAUAAAUUGUUAAUGAAAAUUUGUUCGCAGCGAGAACCUUAACUAAGAUUGGAAGAAUUUAUAUGUUUUUGUCUUUUUGCUAAAAUGAGUAUAAAACAUAUAAAAAAUAAAUUAUGAAUGUUCAUUUUUUUAAUAGUUCAAAAAAAUAUAUUAUAUAUAAUAUAUAUUAUUGUUUUGCAUUUGCUCCUCAAAGAAAAUGGAAACAAUCGUAAGCCUAUGGCAUCAUUAGAAACACCAUUAAUCUUGAUGUGUCGCAAAUCUCUAGAAAGUUAGCCAAAUGAGUAUUCAGAUCUUCAUCUUGCAACCUAUCAAACUGAACAUAUUGUUGUACCAUCUGAAUUGUGUUCGACUUUAGCUCAAAAUUAUUUACAGCAAUAGUCAGUCUGACAAUACUCGAUUCAACCCCAAUCAGAAUAGACUUAGCAUAAUCAUACAUAGUCCGAAGAGUAGGAGCUGCAGGAAGCUGUUGAUUAUUUUUAUGAUUAUCCAUCUCCACAUUAAUAUCCUUUUCCUCUUGAUCGUCUACUAAAAUCUAUUUAUCUUGUCUUUUGCUUUUCUAACCUCUCUAAGAUUUCUACGAGCAGUCUUUUCAACUUCACUAUAAAAAAUUAAUGUUUCUGACGAGUUUCCUCUAGUCAUAAACCAAAAGACUCUAUCAUAAUAAAAAAAUGAAAAAUUAGAAUAUUGUAAAAGUUAAAUUAAAAACAAAAAUAUCAAAAUAAAAAUAAAAAUAGCUAAAUUAAUAGAAAUAAAGUUUUCCUAAUAUUUUAGUCCCCUGGCAAUGGCGCCAAAAACAUGAUGCAGUCAUAAACCAACUAAAAAUCUGACUAAGGCAAGUGUACCUAUCAAUUAAUUGUAUAGUUACGAUGAGCAAAUAAAUCGUUCCCACAAAGACUAAAAGUAGUAAUUACUGUCUUUCUAUUAUUUAAUCGAUAAACUCGAGUAAUUGAUUAAAACUAAAAUUAUUUAAAUUAAUUAACAAUGAAUGUGACAAAUAAUAAAUCAGGAAAAUAAUUGAAUAAUAACCAAGAAGCAAAACAAUACCUAGGAAAAAAUUCACCUAGAUUUCAUCUGUCAUUAUCAAUCUAAAUUCCACAAUUUCUUUACUUAGUAUCUUAAUUCAUAGAAAUCCCUAAAUCAUGCUAAUAUCUCUCUUCAAGAAUAAGAGCAAUAACUUUAGGCUGGUUAAUUGAAAUUUCUUUCUAAUUAAAACCCUUAUUAUCGCAUUAAAUCGCUUUAUGGAUUUCCCAAUUACAUUUGACUCUAAUUCGGUGGAUUUAUAUCAUCCUAUUUCUAAGAUUGCAUGCAACUUCACUCAAUUACGCUAGAUCUACUCUUAAACAAGGUCUAUUCCUUCUCUGAUUUAAGCACAACAAACAUGGAUCAACAAUCUAGAAAUAUUAAACCAAGAGUAAAAUACACAUAAUUGAGAGCAAGAUCUAAGUAUUUAUUGUGUAAAAAUAGAAAUCAAAUAAUAUAAUUCAUCCUAAAGCUUAUCUCUCUAGGUAUUUGGAAAAUUAGUUCAUACUUGCAAAUAAAAACAUCCCAAAGACAAUAUAACCAAAAGAAAUAAAGAAGCUCGUGAUAAUCUCCUAAGAAAUCAACUGUGAGUCUUCAAUCUUGACUAAAAUUUGCUUCAGAAUCGGCUUCAAUGGUGUUUUCGAGUUGUUUUAUUGAGCAUUCUAUGACGGCUCUCUCCCCUCUUCUUAUAUUUGUCAUAUAUAGGUCUUAGAAUGCUCGAAAAACCUAAACAAAAGUGUUUUUCCGCAAGUUUGAAGUGUGACUCGUGAUUUCUACGUAGUCUCGCACAUGACCAUGUAGAAGCUCGUGUGGCCACACGGUCGUGUGUCCAGCCCAUGUGGCUCCUGAAACUUGCUCCAAUUUUCACUUAUUUUUCACUCUUUUUGCUCUAAAAUGCUACUAAGUAUAGAAACAUGAAUUUAAAGGAUUAGGAGCAUAAAAUUCACCAUUUUAAUUCGAAUAAUAAUCCAAAAAUGCAUUAAGAAUGAGGCUAAAACAUGUUACUUUUGGCAUUUAUUAAUUUUGCCAACACCCAAAAUAGUUGCUUAAAGGUACAAAUUUAAACAACCCAAAAAAGGGUCAGUAUAAUCCAAAAAGCGUUGUGUUAGGCUUUUCAUAUGAUAACACUUUUAUAUAGUUGGGAAAGGUAUAACAAAAGUCGGCAUAGUGUUGGAUAAAACUGAUUCUUAUUUAAGCGUUGCCUUAGGCAUGCAUAUCCCAACCUUUAUACAAAGAGUUGGCCAAAGCGUAUGUUAACAAGUCUAUCCUAACACUUAGGAAAGUGUCAGCAUAAUGUUGGACAAACUCGAAUCUUAUUUAAGUGUUGCCUUAGGCAUGCAUAUCUCAAACCUUAUACAAAGAGUUGGCCAAAGCAUACGUCGACAAGUCUAGUUAUUAGCUCAAUAGAUCAAACAGGAAUUGCUAAGAGGGGUGAAGUGGCUUUUAAAAAAAUGUGAAAGCUAGAAAGAAAAUUGAAAGAUGAACAUAAUAAUUUAGAAUGGUUUAGCCCCAAUUGCCUACCCCACUACCUUGACUUUCCACAACUAAGGAUUUUCCAAAAUUCACUAAAUUGAUAACCUUUAAGGAUAAGGUUUAACAUUACAACUCUAUUAAGAUUUCUGUAACACCCCAAACCCGGCUAGACGUUAUAACCGAAUCUGGCGAUGUCACAUGGAAUGGGAUUUGAAACCUCGUUGUUACGAUGAAAACAUUCCAUGCUAUUAUCUUUAGUAAACCUUUGUUAGAACUUAGGAAGUCGUCUUUAUUCAUUUAAAACAUUUGUUUUGAAACAUGCCUCGUUGUGGAAGCUUUAAUAAAACAGUCUAUGUGAUCAUGCGUUUAGAAAAUAAUUUAACUUUUUGAAAACGGAAUUUCCUAAGACCCGCAGGUAUAAAUCCAUAAAGUAAAAUAAAUAAAUAAAAACCCAAAUUUAAAACCAAAAUCCUAGAAGGUCCUUAAAUUACAUCCCAAAUAAUCAAUAAUAAUCAAAUCAUAAAUCGUAAAUUGAAAACCAUGAAGUCGAAAAAUUACGGUGGUUACCGCUAAGUCCUCCGUCGCACCGAUCCAUCUAAGUCUAGGGAUUAACUAUGCACAUUAAACAAAAAAUGUGAGUUUACGUAAACUCAGUGUGUAGUCCCGUAGAAACAAACAAACAAUCAGUAUUCACAGUGCACAGUUGAACAGUCUUGGGCCUAAGCCCUUUUCAGUAUCAGUGACAGUUUGGGCCUUAGCCCAUCUCAGUAUAGUGUCAAAAAUGCAGUAGGUCCUUAACCCAUCACAGUAUUAGUAGCAGUAACAAUUAUGCAGUAGCAAAAUCCUACCCAACCAGCCUCUACACACCAUCUUCGUCUAACCCUACAUUCUAUGUGGGGAUAUAAUCAACCUACCCAUCCCUUUUUAAUAAUAACCCAUGCUAGCUAAAUAUUCUAUGUUUUCACUAUUUACUUAUAUGUUCAUUUAAAGCUGUCUACUUGAGUCAUUGUCACUAAAUUAUUUACAUCUUAAGCUACAGAAUUCCAAAUUAAGAUCUGCUUGAUGUUUUCAAAACUGGACUCAGAUAUCUUUCUACCAUAAAUUUUCAAAAUUUAUAGCUUAUCAAAUAAGUACAGUAAAAUCUUCAAAGUUAUCCCUAUUCUGCCAUUUGACAGCUUCAACCUUUUCCUUACUAAAAAUUAUUAAUCUCUUAGUACGAAAUUUGAAUGAUGUUUCCAUUUGUUUCUCUUGAAAGUAGACUUAUUAAAGAUUUAAAUGUAUAAAUUUAAGCCCCUAAUUAUUUGUUUACAAUUUUUGAUAAUUUUCUAAAAUCAGAACAGGGGAACAAGAAAUCAUUCUGACCUUGUCUCAGAAAAUUUAUUAUAUCUCAUAAUUUACAAUUCUAUUGCUUACACUGUUUCUUCGAUGAAAAACUAGUCUCAAUAAAAUUUAAUUUAAUAUUUUAUUCAACCCUUAACUCAAUUUUCACUAUUUUUGAUGAUUUUUCAAAGUUAAACUACUGCUACUGUCUAAAACUAUUUUUGUGCAAAAUGUUGAUUUCCAAGGUUAUAACACCCUUAUUUCCUUUCUCUACAAUUUUUUUCGCAUCAUUUUCUCUUAUGUCUCGACAGCAAGCGAUUUUGACUUUUUGCUGAAUCCCCUUUUCUGCGUUUCGGGUACACACCUGGUUUCGUUAGAUGCUAAAAUAGUCCCCGAGCACUCCAAAGCCUAUAAUUGAACAAAUAACAUCAAUUUAAUCUCACAUAACGUGAUCCCAAAUCAAACUCAUAUCGAGGUUUUAACCCAUAAGCGACUAAACCUUACCUUCAACUGAUAAUAGUAGUUCCCACACAAACUAAGACUCCGAUUGGUGAUUACAAGCCCUUGAAUCAUCCCCUAAUAGGCAGAAACAAAACACUUUAGAAGAAAGUUAACAAAUAGAGACAAAUCACUUAUCUAAAACUUGUCGAACGAUCGCAGACAAACAUGGAGCGACACGAGGCAGAGUGGGAAAAAAAUCAAGAAGAUGAAGGGUGAAAGAGAGCAGAAAUUUGGCAAUAAUGAAGAGAAAAACAGCAAAAGGGUGGAGGGAUUUUGGGGAAAGUAAAAAAAAAGAAAAAAAAAAUUAACAGAAUAUUUGAUAACCACCCCAAUCCCUUAUUUCUCUCCAUCAAACUCCCCACAAAUCCACUACUCAGAUUUUUAGUCCAUCUCAAACUCUCUUGGACACAUGAGCAAAAAUAAUGCCUAUGCUAAGAUUCAAACACAAGACCUCUUUCACACCAACACUCUACUUAUCCACCAAACCAGCAAGCUAAUUUUGUUAAUUAUUUGCCAACUUUUACUUAAAAGUCUACUGACCAAAUAUAGGACUUAUUCAUAAAAAUACCAAAAUUUGCCCAAGUUCUGGCUUGAACUUGGGACCUCCCAAACACACCUAAAAUACUUAACCACUGAAGUAGAUACACAAUUGUGUCACACAUUCACAAUACCCAAAAUUAAAAUUUUUAGGUGUUACAGUGCUUCUUUUACUGAAUUAAACUAUAACCUUACUAACCUUAUAAAAUGCAUAAAAAACUAAUAAAUCACUUGAUUACAAACUCAUUAAGUAUAGAAUCAAGCUUAAUUUGCCACAACGAAUUGUGGUUAAUCAAUUGUUAAUAUGAAAUUUAUUUUUUUAGAACACCAAAUUCUUUCAACCGCAUUUUGAAGCAGUGGUGGAUCCUAGGACAAAGUUUGGAGGGGAGGCUAGUAAAAUUUUUAGGAAUUAUAAUAUAUAUAUUUGCCAUAACCAUCUAAUACUCAUACUUGUUUAUGCUUAUAAUAUAAUUUUUGUAACUAGUAUAAAAAUAAAUUUUUAAAAUGGGAUUUGAGUGUAAUUACGUAUGUAAUCAUUUUAAUUCUCAGUCCCCUAAGAAUUAAAAAGUGUAAUUGAGUGCUCUAAUUACAGCCAAUUCGUGGGACUCACCAAUCAAUGGUUACCCAAACAUGUCAUCUUUGUGUAAUUACUAGCAAUUACACCCAAAUUCAAUUACUAGGUGAUUUUCCAAACACUGUGUAAUAUGUCGCGACAUCUAAGCCCUUUUGUUUUGUACUUUUUUUAACUUAAUUUUUAAGAGUCCAAGAAAAGUAAAUUACUUAUUUGGUAACACUUAUAUUUAGUCAAGCUAAAAAUAGCUUAAUAAAUUGAUGUUAUUUACUAUAUUUGUCAAACCAUUUUAAAACUAAUUUUGGCUAAGUCAAAAUCACUUUUUAUUCAACUUACCUUUACUAUUUUUAGCCAAUUGAAGUCUUAUAAAUACCUUGUUCAUUUUCAUAAUAUACACACUUGCUCAUCCUUUCCAUCCUUUUAAGAUUGCUAAGUAUUUUUUUGUUGUGAUCUAUUAUUGAUUCCUACUCCCUUUUUAUAAUGAAAGAACUUAUUAAUACCUUAAUAUUUUACUAUUGGUUCUUUCUCACUUUUGUUUUAUUUUCAUCACUUUUAAAAUGUUAUUGUAGCGACCUAAAACUUUCUGGGCACGGGCGCUAGUCGAAGUAAUUAUUGAAGGUUUGAAAACAGUGUCUCGAUUUUAUUCGAAAAAGGGAGUCGCCACCGAUCUUUUUUUUUAGGUGUGAUCGGACACCUACAAAAUUCCCUUUUUAGAAGAAAAAUUUAUUUUUAAGCUUUUCUAAAAAGAGGUAAUUUUAGGUCCACGUAAAAAUCCAGAGAAAAUUAGGGUUCGGGAGUCGGUUACGCGCGAGGAAGGUAUUAGCACCCUCGCGACGCCCAAAAUUGGUAUCUCGUUAAACGCAUGUUGUCUUAACUUUCAAAAAUACGAGUUCCAUUUAAUAUUUAGUCGUGAUCCGAUUGAAACACGAGAAUUUUGAAACACAACAACCCCUUUUUUUUGAAAACACGAAAUUUUUUUAAAACGCAAGAAUUUUAGAAACACGAAAUUUUUCUUUAAAAAAACACGAAAAUUUUGAAACACGAGAAUUUUUUCAAAACACGAAUUUUCUUUUUGAAACACGAAAAUUUUGAAAACACAAAGUUUUAUUUUGAAAACACAAAAGAUUUGAUAAAUUACGAAACAUGAGAUUUUUUUUGAAACACGGAAAUUUAUGAAACACGGUCAAUUUUUGAAAACACGAAAAUUUUUGAAAGACGGGAUUUUUUUUUGAAAACACGAAAAUUUAUAAAACACGGAAAUUUUUUCUAAAAACAAGAAAAUUUUCGAAAAACGAGAAUUUUUGAAAACACAGGAAAUUUUUGAAAACAUGAAAUUUUUUGUUACACUAGAAUUUUGAAAACACGAAGAUUUUUGAAACAUGAGGAUUUUUGAAAACACGAAGCUUUUUGAAACAUGAGAAUUUUUUGAGAACAUGAAAACAUGAAAAUUUGUCAAACACGGGAAUUUUUUGAAAACACGAUAACAUCAAAGAGUAGUCAAGAGAGUUUUUUGAAACACGGAAUUUUUUUUGAAAAAAAGAAACACAAAUAUAUUUUUUUGAAACACGAGAAAUUUUUUGAAAAAAAGAAACACGAAUAUAUUUUUUUGAAACACGAGAAAUUUUAUUAUUAUUAUUUUGAAACACGAGAAAUUUUGAAGACAUGAAAAUUUUUGAAACACGAUUUUUUUAAUAAUACCAUAUUUAACACGAAUCGAUGAUAUUCACCCCGAUAUGGUGAUGAAAUCGUCGUAUUAGUGUCAAAACAAAUCAAAUUAAUAUUUAAUCAGGAUUCUAAUAAAACACGAGGAUUUUUAUUAAAACACGAGGAAUUUUGAAUAUUUUCGAUUUUUAGAAGGGCGUCCCGUAUUUAACACGAGCCAUCGAUAUUCACCCAACAUAGCGAUGAAUUCAACGGCUUGAUGCUAAAUCGGUUCGUUGCCUUAUGCAUUAAAAUAUUUUUUCUAUAAAAAAAAUGCAAAUAAAAUUACAUAUAAUAAUAUUUCUAAACUAUUAAAAAACUAAUUUAAUUGUAAUGGGGAAAUAUUUAAAUAAAUGGACUUAAUUAGAGUGGGUUUAAAAAAUUACCAAAAGCCCAAAGUUAUGGGCUUGAAUUUUGGGCCUCCCUUUUCUUUUUUUUCUUUCUCUUUCUUUCCUGGGCGUUGGGCUGCCGGACUGGGCCGAGUCUGCUGGCCCGCUGGUUGUUGAAACAGGCCUGCUACCGCUGCUGGAUCGAGUACAGGCCUUCGUGCGGGUCGGGUCUGCCUCCUGGACUGGGUCGUGGCCUGCUGUCACUGCUGGGCUGCUCUGCUGCGCGUGGGCCUGGGCUGCUGCUUAGCUGCUGGAGUGGCCUGCUGUUGGCCUGCCCAAGAUGGCCUAUUGCUUGCUGGGCCGGUCUGCCACUGCUGCUGGUGUGGGUGGCCUGCUGCUGGCUUGUUGCUGGCUGCUGGCUGGGUUGGAUCCGGGUCAUCGGGUCGGGUUGGCCCGGCUGUUAUUUUUUUUCUUCUAUUUUCUUCUUUCUUCUUUCUUUUUUUCUUUUUUUCCUCAUUUCUUUUUCUUUCCUUUUUCUUUUUCUUUCUUUUCUUCUUCCUUUCAAACCCUAGCCACCGUCUUUUGCUUGGUGGCGCGACAGUGCCGGCGCUUCUCCCUUCUCCCUUCUCCCUUCUCCUCCUCUCUCUUCUUUCUCUCUUUUUCUUUUUCUUCUCUUCUUCCUCUCUUCCUUACUUCUUUACUGUUUGGGUUGCUGUUUUUUUUUGUUUUCUCUUUGCUUGUUUGUAUAGGUGCGACGGUGGUGGUGGUGUCACAACGGCGGUGCGACGACGGUGGUUGCGGGAGGAUGGUGGUGGAGGCUUUCGGCUUGCUGCUAUUUUUUUGUUUUUGAAUUUUUUCUGCUCUUUUUCUUUUGGUUGCCGAAAAACCUUUUCUUUUUGUUUCGGUUUCCCUUGGCUUUCUAGGUGGCGGUGCGGUGGUUGCGGUGGCGGGGUAGUGGCGCGACGGUGGCGAUGGCUUUUGGGCUGCUGUUUUUUGGAUUUUUUUGAGUUUUUCUCUGCUCUUUUUCUAUUUUUUUUUGGUUGCUAUCCGACCCCCUUCCUUCUCUUUUGAUUUUCUUUUUAAUCUCUUCAUUUUUUAUCCUCUUUCUUCUUGUUUUCAGAUGGCAUGGAGGUGAGGAGCAUGGCUGAUUGGCGGUGUCAGGCGUAGGGUGUGGUGCACGCCCAAAUGCUGGUUGGGGGGCAGUCUUGUCAUUCCCAGAAGGACUGAAUUGUAGAGUGUGCAAAGUUUUUAGGGCAAAAAUGUGAUUUUAGGAAAAUAUAGGGACAAAAUGUAAUUUCUAGAAAGUUUAGGGGCCUGACUGUAAUUUAUAAAAUAUUAGGGGUCAAGAUGUAAAUUUAGACAAAGUUAGGGGUCAAAAAAUAAUUUUUGAAAAGUUUGAGGGCCAAAAUGUAAUUUUUAUUUUUUGUAUUUUUAUUUUUUUCAAAAUUUUAUUAUGACUAUUUUAUUAAUAUUUAAAACAAAAAUUAAAAACGGACUAAAGUAAUUCCAAAAUUAAAUCCUAAUGGGCUCGAUCAUUGGGCCCAUACGAGACCGACCCGGCCUAAAAUUCAAACCGGGCAAAAUUCAGUGAUUACAGCUGCCCCUCUUUGCUCAUCGCUGUAAAACAGGGAUAGAGCAAAGACUUAAAAGCACUGAAUUUUGCUCGAUUGUCUAAUUUUUUAUAUUUUUUGAAAGCCUGAAAUUGAAAAAAAAAAGCUUGGUGUGCGAUCCGAAGUUCAACUCACUUUUCAGAUUAUAAGUUGACCUUUGAAAAAUAAAAAAUAAAAAUACCUCAGCUUGACUCGAGGCUCAACUCACCUCUAGGAUUAUGAGUUAAUAAUUUUUUUUUUUGAAAACAUAAAUUGAAAAUACCACAGCGUGACCUGAGGCUUAACUCACCUCUCGCAUUAUGAGUUGAUUUUUGAAAAACGAAAAAUUGAAAAAUACCUCGGCAUGUGACCCGAGGCUCAACUCACCUCUCGUAAUAUGAGUUGAUUUUUUUUGAAAAACAGAAAUUUAAAAUACCUUAGCGUGCGACCUGAGGCCCAACUCACCUCUCGCAAUAUGAGUUGAUUUUUGAAAAACAGAAAUUGAAAAUACCUCAGGAUGACCCGAGGCUCAACUCACCUCUCGUAUUGUGAGUUGAUUUUUGAAAAAAAGAAAAUUUAAAAGAAAUACCUCGGCGUGACCCGAGACUCAACUCACCUCUCGCAAUAUGAGUUGAUUUUUUUGAAAAACAGUAACUUAAAAAUACCUCAGCGUGACCCGAGGCUCAACUCACCUCUCGUAUUAUGAGUUGAUUUUUGAAAAACAAAAAUUAAAAAAUAUAAUUCUUGAAAGAAACAGGGUUUCAAAACAUCAGGUGAAACUAAAGCCUUCUUCUUCGUUGAUUCUGUGCAACUUUCUCUCAGUAUUCCCUGCUCUACUAAGAUACCUGUAUAUGUCAUGUAUGAUGUUAUUAUGAUAUGCACGUGUUUGACCUAAAUGCUUUUAUGCCUACAUAAUCAUGCCAUGAGCCCUGGGCUGUUUGUCUCAUGCCUCCUUUUCGUGAGGGACUGCAUUCAUUGCCUCAAUCAUUGACUUCUCUCUUCGGUUUUGUACUCAUCUUCAAGUUUGUCGGGUGACCCACAUGUCCAUAUUUCCCCUUCUUGCCCCUUUUGUUGAACUUUGUUCCUGCUUUGGGGUCCUUGUACUUAUCAAAUUCUCAUCCAGGUAAUGCUCAACAUUCAUUUUGUUUAGAGUAUGUCAUCUUACUAUUUAUCAUUUAAAUGAAUCAAACACAAGAUGCAUAAAUAAAAUGGCAAAGUAGGCAUGAAAGAAAUACCUCACAUCCAUUUCAUUUUCAAAACCAUCAAACAAAGAAAAUUGACAAGGAAAAAGUUCAAAGAAAGCAUCAUAUAGAAAGGAAAGUGAAUUCAAUGGCCACAAAUGCUCUAGAUAUCCAACGUAUGAACUUCUCCACGUUUCUUCAUCCUGGAUCCUUUCGAGCACGGCUUCUUGUGUAGAAGAUUUCGAGCUUCUGAGAAUGCUUCAAAUAUUGCGACUUUGUCAUUCAACUCUCCGUUCAAGUCACUUUGCUCCUUUAAGCUCGAGCCCACUUCAUUAGGACGCCCUUUCAGGUUUCCAUCCUAAUUCUUUUUGUUUAUCAAAACGCCCUUUUCAGGUUUUCAUCUUGAUUUUCUUUUUCUUUUCUUUUUUCUUUUUUUGUUUUUGUUUUUGUUUUUUUUUGUUCUUUUUGUUCUUUUUGUUCUUUUAUUUUUUUAUUUUUUUUUUGUUUUUUUAGGCAUAAUAUUUCUUUACAGCAUCUGAGUUCACUGGAUUAGGUAACUCUUUCCCGUCCAUCUCAGUGAGAAUCAGAGCCCCUCCUGAGAAUGCCCUCUUUACAACGUAUGGUCCUUCCCAAUUUGGUGACCAUUUUCCUCGAAAGUCCUUCUGUAUUGGGAGAAUCUUUCUCAGUACGAGCUCUCCUUCGCGAAAUUCUCUUGGCCGCACCUUUUUAUCAUGGGCCGUAAUCAUUCUCUUCUGGUACAUCUGUCCAUGACAAAUUACCUUCAAGCGUUUCCCUUCAAUAAGGUUUAGCUGAUCAUAUCGAGCUCGAACCCACUCUGAUUCCUCUAACCUUGUCUCCAUCAAGAUGCGCAGGGAUGGGAUCUCUACUUCGAUAGGCAGAACGGCUUCCAUUCCAUAGACUAGAGAAAAAGGAGUUGCCCCCGUAGACGUCCGUACCGAGGUGCGAUAUGCGUACAAAGCGAAUGGUAGCUUAUCGUGCCAGUCUUUAUAUGUCUCAGUCAUCUUCCCAAUAAUCCUCUUAAUGUUCUUAUUAGCGGCUUCUACUGCUCCGUUCAUCUUUGGGCAAUAGGGCGAAGAAUUAUGAUGUUUUAUCUGGAAUUGCUCACAUACUUCUUUCAUCAUCUUAUUGUUCAAAUUUAAAGCAUUAUCUGAAAUGAUUCUUUCAGGCAGACCAUAUCGGCAUAUAAUCUCCUUUUUUAAGAACCUACAGACUGUAGCCUUUGUCACAUUAGCAAACGAAGUGGCUUCUACCCAUUUUGUGAAGUAGUCUAUAACCACAAAGAUGAAUCGAUGCCCAUUGAAAGCUUUCGGGGAAAUUGGCCCUAUAACAUCCAUGCCCCACAUAGAAAAAGGCCACGGAGAAGUCAUGACAUGAAGGGGUGACGGAGCUGCAUGAAUUUUGUCGCCAUAAAUUUGACAUUUGUGGCACUUUCGUGCGUAACCAAUGCAAUCCCUUUCCAUCGUCAGCCAAUAAUAACCAAGUCUCAUAAUCUGCCUGGCCAUGGUGAAACCACUGGCAUGUGUUCCACAAAUUCCUUCAUGAACCUCUUCAAGUAUCUUUCUAGCUUCAACAGCGUCCACGCACCUCAGGAGCACUUGAUCUUUUCCCCUUUUGUAUAGAAUAUCCCCGUCAAGAACAAAUCCAAUCGCCAUUCUCCUGAUUGUUCUUUUGUCAUUCUCGUUUGCUUGCUCGGGGUACCUUUGAUUCUUGAUAUACUCCAAGAUAUCAUGGAACCAUGGUCGUCCAUCUGACUCCUCCUCAAUACUAAAGCAGUGUGCGGGGGUCUCAUAUAUACUCAUUUGGAUGGGCAUUAUCUCAUUUUCUCUGUUUGCCUUGAACAUCGAAGCCAAGGUGGCUAGGGCAUCAGCCAGUUGGUUCUCCUCUCGUGGAAAGUAGUUAAAAGUCACUUUAUAGAACUCCUUGAUCAGCUCUGCAACGAGAUCAUGAUAUUUGACUAAUUUUGGAUCUCUCACUUCCCAAUCUCCACGAAUUUGAUAAAUGACUAAUGCUGAGUCCCCGUGUACCUCUAAAAUUUUGAUUUUUCACUUGAUAGCUGCACGAAGUCCCAUGAUGCAAGCCUCAUAUUCCGCUAUAUUAUUUGUACAGAAGAAAUUCAAUCUGGCAGUAAGCGGGUAAUGGUCCCCUUCAGGUGACACUAAGACUACUCCUAUCCCAUGCCCCAAUACAUUUGAUGCACCAUCAAAGCUCAUCUUCCAUGACUUUCCUUUUGAUGACUCGCCCUCUUUUUCUGAAAUACACAUCAAAUCUUCAUCUGGGAACUCAAAUCUCAAAGGCUCGUAUUCCUCCAUUGUUCGACUUGCCAAGAAGUCAGCUAUUGCGCUUCCUUUUAUCGACUUUUGGCUCACAUAUACAAUGUCAUACUCAGUCAAUAGGAUUUGCCAUCGGGCCUUUCUCCCUGAGAGUGCAGGUGACUUCAUCAUGUACUUUAUUGGGUCCAGUUUUGAAAUUAACCAUGUCGUGUGAUACAGCAUGUAUUUUCUGAGCCUUCGAACUGUCCAAAUCAAUGCACAACAAAACUUCUCAAUUGACAGGUACUUUGCCUCAUAUUCUGUGAACUUCUUGCUGAGGUAGUAAAUUGCCUUCUCUCUUUUCCCUGACUCAUCAUGUUGUCCCAGUACGCAACCCAUUGAGUUCUCAAACACGGUCAGGUACAAUAUUAAGGGUUUUCCAGGGGUCGGCGGUACUAGCACAGGAGAAUUAGAUAGAUACUGUUUUAUCUUGUCGAAGGCCACUUGGCACUCCUCGUUCCAUUCUCCCGGAUUACGUUUUCAAAGGAGUCGAAAAAUUGGGUCACACUGAUUGGUAAGUUGAGCAAUGAAUCGAGCAAUGUAAUUCAACCUUCCUAAAAAACCUCUGACUUCCUUUUGUGUACGCGGGGGAGGCAAUUCUUGUAUAGCUUUUAUCUUAUCUGGAUCAACCUCGAUACCUCUUUCACUAACAAUGAAACCUAGCAGUUUUCCUGAGGUAGCCCCAAAUGUACAUUUGGCCGGGUUAAGCUUCAACUGAAACUUUCUUAAUCUUUCAAACAACUUCCUAAGACUCCCAACAUGCUCUCUUUCUUCCCGAGAUUUGGCAAUCAUAUCAUCGACAUAAACUUCUAUUUCUUUGUGCAUCAUAUCAUGGAAUAACGUCACCAUGGCUCUCUGAUAUGUUGCCCCAGCAUUCUUUAAUCCGAACGGCAUUACCUUGUAGCAGAAGGUUCCCCACAUUGUUAUGAAUGUAGUUUUCUCCAUAUCUUCGGGAGCCAUCUUUAUCUGAUUAUAUCCUGAGAAACCAUCCAUGAAAGAAAACAGAGAAUGCUUUGCCGUAUUAUCCACCAAAGUGUCGAUGUGCGGUAAAGGAAAGUUAUCUUUAGGGCUUGCUUAAUUCAGAUCAUGAUAAUCCACGCACAUUCGCACCUUGCCAUCUUUCUUCGGCACUGGGACUAUAUUAGCUACCCAUUCUGGAUACUUUGAGACUUGUAGGAAGCCAGCGUCAAAUUGUUUCUUGACUUCUUCUUUUAUCUUUAACAGCAUUUCGGGUCUCAUCCUUCUUAAUUUCUGCUGAACGGGCUUGCAUUCUGGUUUCAGUGAGAGCUUGUGGACCACAAUAUCCGUGUUUAAUCCUGGCAUAUCUUGAUAAGACCAGGCAAACACAUCCUUGUAUUCAUGGAGCAAGGCGAUCAAAUCUUGCCUUGUGUUUUUUGAAAUCGAAGUCCCAAUCUUCACUUCUUGUUUCUCUUCUUCAUUCCCCAAGUUCACUACCUCAACAGAUUAUUGAUGGGGUAGGAUUUGUUUCUCUUCUUGUUCCACCAUUCUCAGUAAGUCAGGAGAUGAGACACAAUCUUCAACAUUUUCGUCAGCUUCGAAUUCUCCUAAACAAAUAACCUUCUCAAAAUUGAUUUCAGGAUUCAUAACGGGAUUAUUCAUGCCAUUGAUAUCUGAACACCUGAAAGGUGAAUGGAAAAAGGAUAUAGAAGAGUAUUGAGGUAUUGUAAUCAACACACAAUGAUAUGAGAUGAUAUGAGACAUAUGCCAGAAAAGGAUAUGAACAGAAGGAGUAGUCGCAAAGUUAAUGAAAAGAAUAUGACAAUAUAAAACAAAAUGCAUCUUCAUUAAUGUUCAUUGAAAUGAUAAAGAGCAAACAUAAGCUCUUACAAAAGGAACCCUACUGUUUAAGGACACACAAAAUGAAGGGUUAACAUUGAGCAUUACUCUGAAGGGGACUUAAAAACUACAAGGAGGUCCUCAGCAGUCCAGUUGUUCAAAACAUAUCCUGGAGGACAAUGGCGUAUCAUUGAAGCAUUCUUAAUUUCAUCAUUCUCAUUGUCAAUAGCAUUUAGGCUGAGAUUCUGAAGACCCUUUUCAAUCAAUAAUGUGGCUUGCAAAUUGUUCUGCCCUGGGUACAUCACUCCUGCUGAUGUAAAUGUUCUCGACAAAGGAGGAUACGCCAACGGCCCCCAUUCUAAUUCCUGGCCCGAAGCUCUUGCGAUUCUUCUUUCUCGAUUUUUCUGAAAUUGUUUUUAUCUUUGAUGUACAUCUGGCUUGAACCCCAAACUGUAUCGACCCUUAUGGUGCGUUGGUUUCAAAGCUCUAACCAUCCUUUGUUGAUAUUUUCCCAAACCUUUCCUCGCUCGAGCUCCUUUUCCCACAGUCAGCUUAAGUCCCAUCUUGGUAUUCCUCGACAGUUUGGGAAUGGGGAUCUUAUUCCCUUCAGUAACAAAUGCAGCAUUGAUAAAUUUCAAGAAGCGAAAAGAACAUUCUACAGCAUCUUCGCUUAUUUCGAUGUAGGGUGCAUCAGUAGAGAUAGAUGCGACGAUGUCUUCCUCGCCACCAACAGUAAUCAAACGACUAUCCAUGAUGAACUUUACUUUCUGAUGGAGAGAUGAAGGAACUGCCCCAGCAGAAUGGAUCCAAGGUCUUCCUAACAGGCAAUUGUAUGAAGGUGUGAUGUCCAUGACCUGAAACUCGAUAUCGUAUGCACAUGGCCCCACUUUUAAAGGAAUUUCGAUAUUUCCCAUGACCUCUCGCCGUGUCCCAUCAAAUGCCCUUACUAUAGAAUGACAAGGCCUCAGAUAGGACAUAUCAACCGGCAUCCUAGAAAGCGUGGCCAAAGGCAUAACAUUGAGUGCAGAUCCAUUGUCGAUGAGCACAUUUGGUAAUAUGUAACCUUUGCAAUUGGUUGUGAUGUGCAAUGCUUUUAUGGAGCCCCUUCCAUUUGGCGGUAUUUCGUCGUCACUAAAGGAGAUGAAAUUAUCUGCAUUUAGAUUAUUUGCCCACCUAUCAAGCUUUUCCACAGAUACAUUGUUCGCCACAUAAGCUUGAUUUAACACUUUUAACAAGGCAUUCCGAUGUGGCUCUGAAUUCAACAAUAGAGACAGUACCGAGAUACGGGCUGGCUGCUUGUUUAAUUGUUCUACAAUGCUAUAUUCACUGUGCUUAAUGAACUUUAAGAACUCACAUGCUUCCUCCUCAUUCACAGCCUUUUUAACUUCUUCCUCGGGUGGUAUUUCAACAUCAUCCUCAGCCUCAUACAUUGGUGCUUUUCUUUUUUGGCUCGGACCAGCAACCUUCUUCUUUGGCUCAACCGUCUCGGGAGAAUAACAUCUUUCGCUACGAGUAAAAUGUCCUACUCCGCUAACACCUUCACUCACAACCUUGGACUUUUCACCCUCAGGUACAAUGAUAUUGACAUCAUAAUUCUAAGGCACCGCCUUGUUGUCCUUAUAAGGGAAAGGAGCAGGUACUUCAAUUAUCAAACUUGGUUUAACUUCUCGACUAACUUCUUCCUUCUUUGUCCCGUAAUAAAUCACCAAAGGUCUAUCGACGCUAUAAAGGGAAGCCAUUGAUUGAUUAUUAGAGGCACAUAUUUCUCCUUCUUCGGCCCCCUCCACCCUAUCAAAGACCUUGACCUCUUUGUUAUCCAUCAUGUCUUGAAGUAAUUUCCUAAAUUCCUUACAAGAUUGGAUGUCAUGCCCUUGGACGCCAUGAAAAUCACAGAAACUCUGGUCUUUUGUACUUUCUUCUUUAAGAAUCUUACUAGACGGACAGAGCAAGCCAUUUUCAAUCAUCAUCUCCCAUACCUUCCGUAAAGGUGUCUUUACUUCGGUAACACAACCUUUGGCUUGACAAUUGUCUUCAUUUGUCACCGCAUUUACAUUCCCGUCAGUAUGGUUAGGAAGAGGAUUUCCUGUCACAUUGCUAACAUCGUCGAACCGUAGAACACCGGCAUCAAUAAGACCUUAAACCCUCCUUUUAAAAGCAAGACAGUUUUCUGUAGAAUGUCCCUGAUUCCCAGCGUGAUACAUGCAAUUAGCGUUAGGAUCAUACCACUUCGGGUAUGGAGGCUUCAGGGGUGCCAUGUAAUGUGGGGAUAUUAAUUGUUUUUCCAACAGCUUUGGGUAUAAUUCUCCAUAUGAUACAGGAAUUAGAGUAAACUGAGGUCUUUCAAGAUUGGGUCUUGCCGGUCUUUGUUCAUUUUUGGGUUGGCUUUGUACAGGUAUGGUGUUUGGCGGGAACACGGUGAAUGGUCUUUGGUUAUUCACAGCAUAAACGGGGUAAGAUAGGGGUGCUUGAUAGUAAGGACUUUGAGGAGGAAAGUAGAAGUUUGAAGGUGGGCGGUAAUGAGGUCGUGGUUGGGUGAGGUACGGAUUAGGGGUACAUUGGCUUUCAGUCCCAACCAUAUGGGCCUCUGCCUCCUUUUUCUUUGCGGGUACUGUCCUCUUCGAACUCUCAGGACCUUCCAUUCUCCCACUCUUGACGGCGUUUUCGAUAAGUUCCCCGGAUAUUACAAUAUCUGCAAAGUCCUUUGUGGCACUUCCCACCAACUUAUCGUAAAAUGGCGCUUUUAGAGUGUUGAUGAAGAGGACCGUUAUCUCUGUCUUAGUUAACGGAGGCUCCACUUGAGCCGAGAUAUCCCUCCAUCUUUACGCAUAUUACCGAAAAGUCUCUGUCGGCUUCUUUUCCAUCAUUUGUAAGGUUAGUCGAUCAGGCACCAUAUCUGUUACAUGCCUAUAUUGCUCACAGAAUGCUGAAGCCAAAUCCUUCCAUGAUCGGAUUCUCUCUCUACUGAGUUGAUUAUACCAUCGAAGGGUUGAGCCAAUCAAACUAUCUUGAAAGUAAUGCACCAACAAUUUAUCAUCGUUUACAUAACCAGUCAUCUUUCGGCAAAACAUGAUCAGAUGCGCCUUUGGACAUCUUGUUCCGUCAAAUUUCUCAAAAUCAGGUGCCUUAAAUUUUGGUGGUAGGACCAAAUCAGGUACCAAACUGAGCUCUUUGGCACUCAAAGCAGAGAAAACUUCAGCGCCUUCUACUGCCUUGAUCCUCUAUUCCAGGACUCUAUACUUAUCCUGAGCGUUAUUGUCAUCAAUUCUCAGCCUUGCUACUUCUACAGGAUCAUCUAGGUCUGGAACAAUUGGAUCUGAAGGAUUAGCCCCAGGGUUCGAUACAAACAUUCCUUGUCCUAAAUGAGCAGAUGGAGCAGGAUGUUGUUCCAGGCCUGUAGGUUCCCUUUGGGGGUAUCCUCUUUGCAUUGCGUGGACAUGAGGUGGAGUAAAUCCCGGGGGAUAAAGUGGGUCUUGAUUAGCUCUUGACUGAGGCGGUUCUACGACAUUAGGGCUCUGUAUAGGUCCCUUUCCUUUGACCAAAGCCGUCAUCAUUUCUAUCAUUUUAGCCAUUUGAUCCCUUUGCUCGAGCAAUUCUUCUCGAGAUCUCACCAUCAAAUCUCUUGCCUCUUGCUGCGACUUGGCCAGUUGCUCCUGCAACUCUCUUUGGGUUCUUUCCAUCCUUUCCAUCCUUUCAUUGAGUUCAGCAUCCAUAGCUCUAGCUCUUAAGCGCGUCCUAUAAGAGUGACGUGAUUCCAGACUCGUAGUGUAGUAACUGUGGAUUAGAUGGUUUUACCCUUAGCGAAUGAUUAAGGUGAUAUGAGAAUACAAUGAAUAAAUGAAUGAGUAACUAAUGAAUGUUAAUCAUGCGUAAAUAUGCAAAAAAGGGUGUUGAUUCCAAAAUGGCCCCAUACUUGGGCGUUUCAUUUAUCAAAAGAGUCCGUUACAAAAAGUUUUGCCAUCCUAGUUCAACAAUUACACGAAUUUCCUAGCCACAUCGCCUUGCUUCUUCAUACGUUCCAAGAACUCUGAUAUGCUUGAUCUUUGGCUAGGAGGGUAUUGGCAACUGAGAACUUCCGCUUCAUCUGAUAAUUGUACUAUUUGUGCAGCCGCCUUACGAAUUUCAUUGAUCAACCUACCGAGAUGCAUAUCCUUUUCUUGGAGGGCUCUUUCAUAAGCACGAAUGUCUCUGUCAUGCUGAUCAUUCUUCUCUUCUAAAGCUCUCAAGAGGUCAUCCAGAUGUUGCUGAUGAGCUUGCAGUGUACUCUCUAGACUUCAGAUUUUUCCUUUUAGCCCUUGAUGCUCAGACUGACUAGCCGUUAGUUCUGCAGUCACAGUUUCGUAUUCAACGUUCUUCUUCCUCAACUCUAUCAUAGCACAUGCAGCUCUUUCCUCUUCUUUCUUUGCUUUGGCUUUCCAGAAUUCCAUCCCACCUUUGAUAUUACUUAGUUCCUCUUUCCAUUCUGCUGAUGCUUUGCCCAAUCCACUAUUUCUUAUAGUGCCCCUUAAUUUCUUGUUUUCCAAAUGAAGGUCCCUUAAAUUCUUUCUCGUAACUUGAACUUCUUUUUGGACUUUUUCGGCUCUGGAUUUUUCAAUUUCGACAUCAAUCUUCAGCUGGUAGUUCUCCUCCUGAAGAGAUUAAUAUCUCGCAACAUUUUGGCCUUUUCACGUUCAAAUUCAUGUCUUGCAAUUUCUAGCUCGGAUGGGGUUUUCUCUGAGAACGGAUUCUGGCAAGCUUCAUUAAUUGGUGGGGUUACUUGACUCUUCACUCGUUGUUGCCUCCAUAGGUCAUAGUCUACAGUGAUAGUAUCAGCAUAUAGAGCCAAUUCCAUUAGGUAGAUUCGCCUCCAAGAAUUCGCAGUAUCUCAAACCUUUUUCAUGUAACCCUCACCCAUAAAGGCAAACUCCGAUUGUGCCAAUCCAUCGGUAACUGGUACAAACUGUCGCGAAGCGAACUGUCUUUAAACCAACAAUGGAGCAUAUCCAACUCCUCCCCAUAAUCCUAAUAAAGGUAUCCAGUCUUGGUUUCCACACUUGUAUAACAAGACAGAGGGACGAAUCCAAGGUGCUCUCCAAGUUAUAUCUUCGACACGGAGGUUCUGAAAGACCGAGACCCAGUGUUGUUCAGUGACAUCUUUCGGCCAAUCUUUUCCAAGGUGUGCUUCCAACGGGGCGAAUGUCUUUGAAAACAUGUGGAAAGGCGUACGCUCCACCCUCCAAAAAUGGCUAAAGAUCCAAACAUUCAGUAACUGAGCGCAUUCGAUAAAACGUCCUUCCCCUUUUCUCCUACAAGCAUUUAGAGAUCUAAAAGUCUCAGCCAAGAUGGCUGGGACCGGGUUAACUCUUUGCCUCAACUUUUCGAAGAAAUCCACAACCGCAACUUCAAUAUGCCCAAGAACCUUCGGGAAGACGACCAGUCCGUAAACAGCCAAGGCAAACAAAUCUACUCUUUUUAACACAUCUGGAUGAUUCUGAACUAACUCCCGCAGAGAAAACCACGGGACACAACUGACUUCAUUCUUCUUCUUUAUCUGUUUUUCAGCCCAUGUAUCAGUCAUUCCCGUCAACUUCAUUAGCUUUUUCUUGAAGGUCAUUGGUUUAGGCUCCUUCACAUAUAUCUUGUUGAGUUGCACAUUAUCGAUGCGAAGCAAAGCGGCAUACUCUUCUAUGGUCGGAGUCAUAUCUUCCUGAUUGAAAGUGAAACACUGAUAGGCUGGGUCCCAGAAUCGAACCAUGGCUUGGAUCAACUGCUCGUUCACAUCGAUUGCUAUCAAGUGAGCUAUAUCCCCAUACUUUUCAGUGGAGAUGCUUCUAGUAUCUGAGUCCCACUGCUUCCAAAUCCUAGUCAAGUCUUCGAGAUCAUUUUGACGAGCAUUCAAAGUCACACGCUCGGGAAGAUCAGAGGUGUAUCCUUCCUUCAAACUGUCCCCUUUCACUUUUUGAGUUCUCAAAGACCAAUCUCGGACUACAGCAUUUUUCUCGGUUACUCGUGUAAUUGACUCCUCCAUCAGAAACCCGUUUUUGGCAACCAAUAUUUAACCAACACCUUCCUAAUGAGAUGUCUACGAUGCAUGAUGGAAAAUAAGAUGAAAAACAAAUAACCUUGGUUAGAGAUCACAACAGAUAUAAACAAAAGAAAAAUGAAAAAUAAAGACUAUGGAAAAUUUAACAAAUUAAGCUAUUCAAUCAUGCAAUUUGGUGGAACAGACCCACAUUUUUUUUUGCCCCAACAUGCUUUACAAGAAACCUACCCCACAUACCAUCAGACCAUCUAUCCGACCCAAUUUAUUGAAUAGACUCAAUUUAUCUGCAAAUAAGUGUAAAUGUAAAAGAAAUAAAAGGUAAGAGGCGUUUCUCCCGUGCACUUAUUUUGGUAACUAUCAAACGGACAGAGGUUCUGUAUGGCUCUACUCGGGUGGCCUAUACGGUUCACUAUAUGUAGUUUCGGUUUUAGAAAGGUACUCGAAUUGUCCAUACUAUCACCUACUAAGGUUAGUACAGAGCUUCGGUUAUCGCCCGUCAGGGCUCGCGAGCUCAAUUCGAGGGAUUACAUUUACUUAUGCCUAUGCGGAGGGACAAGUUAACUCACGAAAGCAUAAGUCAUAUGUAACCCGAAAGUAAUUACUAGCCUGUGCGGAGGGACGAGUUAACUCACGAAGGCGUAGCGUUUACUUCCACUUAAACGGACAGAGCCCGGGUAGAGAGCUCAUGUUAUGCAAAAAAUGCAAGUGCACUGUGUGUGGAGAGAAACUCACAAACCUUUUUAUUUUUACUUUUACUAAAAAAAACAAACUAAAACCAUAAAACUUAAAGCUGAAAAAAACACGAAAAUAAAAAAGGUUAGAAAAAUAUUAAUUUCAAAACUGAAUACGGAUGCAUGAUUUUUUUCAAAACAAAAUUCAAGGAUCACGAUUAAAAAUUAAUUUGAACAAGAAAAUUUGAAAAUUUUGACAACACACGUUUAACAUCAGACUCGACUCUCAAAAAAAACUCCCCAGCGGAAUCGCCAGCUGGAGCGACCUAAAAAUUUCUGGGCACGGGCGCUAGUCGAAGUAAUUAUUUAAGGUUUGAAAACAGUGUCUCGAUUUUAUUCGAAAAAGGGAGUCGCCACCGAUCUUUUUUUUUAGGUGUGAUCGGACACCUACAAAAUUCUCUUUUUAGAAGAAAAAUUUAUUUUUAAGCUUUUCUAAAAAGAGGUAAUUUUAGGUCCACGUAAAAAUCAAGAGAAAAUUAGGGUUCUGGAGUCGGUUACGCGCGAGGAAGGUAUUAGCACCCUCGCGACGCCCAAAAUUGGUAUCUCGUUAAAUGCAUGUUGUCUUAACUUUCAAAAAUACGAGUUCCAUUUAAUAUUUAGUCAUGAUCCGAUUGAAACACGAGAAUUUUGAAACACAACAACCCCUUUUUUUUUUUUGAAAACACGAAAUUUUUUUAAAACGCAAGAAUUUUAGAAACACAAAAAUUUUCUUUAAAAAAACACGAAAAUUUUGAAACAUGAGAAUUUUUUCAAAACACAAAUUUUCUUUUUGAAACACGAAAAUUUUGAAAACACAAAAAAUUUGAUAAAUUACGAAACAUGAGAUUUUUUUGAAACACGGAAAUUUAUGAAACACGGUCAAUUUUUGAAAACACAAAAAUUUUUGAAAGACGGGUUUUUUUUUUGAAAACACGAAAAUUUAUAAAACACGGAAAUUUUUUCUGAAAACAAGAAAAUUUUCGAAAAACGAGAAUUUUUGAAAACACAAGAAAUUUUUGAAAACAUGAAAUUUUUUGUUAAACUAGAAUUUUGAAAACACGAAGAUUUUUGAAACAUGAGGAUUUUUGAAAACACGAAGCUUUUUGAAACAUGAGAAUUUUUUGAGAACAUGAAAACAUGAAAAUUUGUCAAACACGGGAAUUUUUUGAAAACACGAUAACAUCAAAGAGUAUUCAAGAGAGUUUUUUGAAACACGGAAUUUUUUUUUGGAAAAAAGAAACACGAAUAUAUUUUUUUGAAACACAGGAAAUUUUUUGAAAAAAAGAAACACGAAUAUAUUUUUUUGAAACACGGGAAAUUUUAUUAUUAUUAUUUUGAAACACGAGAAAUUUUGAAGACAUGAAAAUUUUUGAAACACAAUUUUUUUAAUAAUACCAUAUUUAAUACGAAUCGAUGAUAUUCACCCCGAUAUGGCGAUGAAAUCGUCGUAUUAGUGUCAAAACAAAUCAAAUUAAUAUUUAAUCGGGAUUCUAAUAAAACACGAGGAUUUUUAUUAAAACACGAGGAAUUUUGAAUAUUUUCUAUUUUUAGAAGGGCGUCCCGUAUUUAACACGAGCCAUCAAUAUUCACCCAACAUAGAGAUGAAUUCAACGGCUUGAUGCUAAAUCGGUUCGUUGCCUUAUGCAUUAAAAUAUUUUUCUAUAAAAAAAUGCAAAUAAAAUUACAUAUAAUAAUAUUUCUAAACUAUUAAAAAACUAAUUUAAUUGUAAUGGGGAAAUAUUUAAAUAAAUGGACUUAAUUAGAGUGGGUUUAAAAAAUUACCAAAAGCCCAAAGUUAUGGGCUUGAAUUUUGGGCCUCCCUUUUUCUUUUUUUUUCUCUUUCUUUCCUGGGCUUUGGGCUGCCGGACUGGGCCGAGUCUGCUGGCCCGCUGGUUGCUGGAACAGGCUUGCUACCGCUGCUGGAUCGGGUACAGGCCUUCGUGCGGGUCGGGUCUACCUCCUGGACUGGGUCGUGGCCUGCUGUCACUGUUGGGCUGCUCUGCUGCGCGUGGGCCUGGGCUGCUGCUUAGCUGCUGGAGUGGCCUGCUGUUGGCCUGCCCAAGAUGGCCUAUUGCUUGCUGGGCCGGUCUGCCACUACUGCUGGUGUGGGUGGCCUGCUGCUGGCUUGUUGCUGGCUGCUGGCUGGGUCAGAUCCGGGUCGUCGGGUCGGGUUGGCCCGGCUGUUAUUUUUUUCUUCUAUUUUCUUCUUUCUUCUUUCUUCUUUUCUUUUUUCCUCCUUUUUUUUCUUUCCUUUUUCUUUUUCUUUCUUUUCUUCUUCCUUUCAAACCCUAGCCGCCGUCUUUUGCUUGGUGGCGCGACGGUGCCGGCGCUUCUCCCUUCUCCCUUCUCCUACUCUCUCUUCUUUCUCUCCUUUUCUUUUUCUUCUCUUCUUCCUCUCUUCCUUACUUCUUUACUGUUUGGGUUGCUGUUUUUUUUUGUUUUCUCUUUGCUUGUUUGUAUAGGUGCGACGGUGGUGGUGGUGUCACAACGGCGGUACGACGACGGUGGUUGCGGGAGGAUGGUGGUGGAGGCUUUCAGCUUGCUGCUAUUUUUUUAUUUUUGAAUUUUCUCUGCUCUUUUUCUUUUGGUUGCCGAAAAACCUUUUCUUUUUGUUUCGGUUUCCCUUGGCUUUCUAGGUGGCGGUGCGGUGGUUGCGGUGGCGGGGUAGUGGCACGACGGUGGCGAUGGCUUUUGGGCUGCUGUUGUUUGGAUUUUUUUGAGUUUUUCUCUACUCUUUUUUUAUUUUUUUUUGGUUGCUAUCCGACCCCCUUCCCUCUCUUUUGAUUUUCUUUUUAAUCUCUUCAUUUUUUUGUCCUCUUUCUUCUUGUUUUCAGAUGGCAUGGAGGUGGGGAGCAUGGCUGAUUGGCGGUGUCAGGCGUAGGGUGCGGUGCACGCCCGGAUGCUGGUUGGGGAGCAGUCUUGUCAUGCCCAGAAGGACUGAAUUGUAGAGUGUGCAAAGUUUUUGGGGCAAAAAUGUGAUUUUAGGAAAAUAUAGGGCCAAAAUGUAAUUUCUAGAAAGUUUAGGGGCCAACUAUAAUUUACAAAAUAUUAGGGGUCAAGAUGUAAAUUUAGAAAAAGUUGGGGGUCAAAAAAUAAUUUUUGAAAAGUUUGGAGGCCAAAAUGUAAUUUUUAUUUUUUGUAUUUUUUUUAUUUUUAUUUUUUUUUCAAAAUUUUAUUAUGACUAUUUUAUUAAUAUUUAAAACAAAAAUUAAAAACGGACUAAAGCAAUUCCAAAAUUAAAUCCUAAUGGGCUCGAUCAGUGGGCCCAUACGAGACCGACCCGGCCCAAAAUUCAAACCGGGCAAAAUUCAGUGAUUACAGUUAUUUUAUUAUCUUAAUUAUUUUUCAAAAUUAAUAGAAUUUUAUUAUAAAUUAGGGCAGUUCUCAUUUAAUUAAAAAGUUUAUAUAUAUUAAAAUUAUAAAAAUAUAUUAUUUAGUAAAUUAAAAAAUAAACAAAUACAUAGUUUAAUUAACAGUAAUAUUGUAUUUUCUCCAUUAUGUGGUAUUUUCCCUAUAAAUACAUAGUUUUAGGUUUAUACCUAGAGUUAGCCACCUUAGUAUUAUUUUGCUUUAGUGUUUUCUUUUGUCCAUGAAUUUCUAAAUCAUCUUUUCUAGUCAAAGGGAUUUUGAACUUUGAUUGUAAUAGUUUGUAAGAUCUAAUUGCUCUUCAUCUAUUCUUUGUUCUUUAGCGCUUGCAUGUGUUCUAUUUUAAUUACAAAUAUUCAAGUUUGUUGGAUAUUGGUACCAUAUUCAAUUGCUUAGAACAUAGUGACAAAUAACAUGAUUACAUAUAAACUAUGUAUGCAAUUCAUGUUAUGUGGAUACCCGAUUUAAUCUAAAUGAACCCCGUUGGUGUGUGUUAGUUGGUCAGAAAUAGGUUUCUCUCAUUCUUAAUACUACCUAUAAUUAAGCUAAAUCCUAGGCACGAAGUUAUAGGGCCUCUUGGUUAUCGAAAGGUAAUGAGAGAUUGUUUAUAUGGUUCUUAAUGCUAGGUGCGACAUGGGCAACUAUAACUAAUUUAUUAAAAACACUAAAAUUAUAUUUGCAUCAUUGAUCAAACUCAUGAAUCAAAAUUGAGAUUUUACCUUAGUUAGACUCUCAUUAUAUUGAUUUUGCUAUAUUUUAUUUUGCAAUCUUUUUCUUUUACAAAGUUUUAAUUUUAAUUUUAAAAAUCCUUAUUUUUAUUUUACUUGUUUUUUUAAAGAAUUAGAACAAUCACUAGUCUUUGUGGAUAUGGCUCUACUCACAGUCAUCUACAAAUUUAUUUUUUUAGUAAGAAUUUAUUUUUCUAGGUCACAACAACCAUACAACUUUUGACACCAUUGUUGGGGAUUGGUGUCAAUAAUUUUAUUUCCUUUUAAAUUCAAAUAAGAAUUUUCAAGAAGAGUGAAUGAGGUAAAUAUUUCUUUUUCCUAAUAAUCAUUGAGACCAAACGAUAACAUUAAUGAUGACCUUGAUAUUUGUGGGUGUCGAAAUAUCCCUUAAAAAAAUGUAUUUCAAAUUUUAACUUUCCUGAAAACAUAUAUUAUAAAUAAUAAAAUAUCUAAUAACAUAGUAAAAAAAAUCCAAGUUUUGGUUCCCCUAUAAUCGAUGGCCCAGUUUGCCUUUAACGAGCACUACACCAAAACAGGCUUUUAGCGGCGUUUGAAUAAAAAAUGCCUCUAAAGAUCGAGCAUUAGCGACUCUUUUCGGAAAACGCCGCUAAAUAUCGAACUUUAACAUCGCUUUAUGGAAAACGCCGCUAAAUAUAAGCAUUAGCGGCGUUUUCUAAAAAGCGCCGCAAAAAACCUAUGCUUUCGGGGUUUUAGCGGCGUUUUUAAUGAAGCGCUGCUAAUGCUCAGGGCUUUAGCGGCAUGUUUUGGGAAGCGCCGCUAAUGCUUAGGGCUUUAGCGGCGUUUUUGAGAAAGCGCCGCUAAUACUCUAUUUUUAGCGGCGUUUUCUAAAAUGCGCUGCUAAUGCUCAGGGAUUUAAAAUAAUCUAAAAUAUUUUUUAAAAAUGGAAAAAUUAAAAUACUAUAAGUUCUUUUAAACAGAAUAUAUGGCAUAACCUAUAAUAUGGAAUAAAAGGCGGCAUCACGUGUUAAUUUAAUUUAAUUAUUAUUUAAAAAUUUAUAUAAAUAAAAUAGACAUAAUGAUUUAUUUAUCCUUCUAACUUUACAAAAAAACCAUUACAACCCUUUAUUUAAUUUUUAUCUUUUUAACCCUUAAAUUUAUAUUAUUUAUUAAAUCAGCUCAAAAUAGAUGGGAAAAUUAUUCUUUAUUAACUUUACUAAACAUGGAAGCCAAAGGCCCUGAAAUGAAAACAAUUUUCACCAAAGCGUUUUUAUAACUUAUACACUUUUAAAUUAAUAAUGAUAAAAUUACAUGUUAACCCCCUAAAAAUGAUAAAAAUUUUAUUUAAUCCUUAUAAAAAUAUAAUUAAAAUGGUAAAAUUACAUUUUUAACUAUCCUAAAAUAUACAAUUUAAUUCCAUCUCCUCCAAAAAAUAAAAAUAAAAGAAAAACAUUACCGUUAACCCAGUUCAUAGGAGGCUGAAAGUGAUACCCGGUUCGAUGAAGUUGUUUUACAGUAAAUGCAGUUUUAGAUUAUAAAUGUGGAUGAAUCUUAUGAAAUGCUUCAACGAUGCCAUUCUUACUUAUUAUCUCACAAAAACACCCAAUUAUUAAAUAAACUAACAAAAUAUUUUUUGUAAACUCCAUUGAAAUUUCGAAAGCCGAAUGUUGAAACAGGAUGGUGAUUCAUUUAUAUAGGACUGAAAUUUAACAAUUUCAAAAAAAAAAUAUAUAUUUUAAAAUGUUUAGAUAAAAUAGUUUUUUAUUUGAAUUUACCAGUAAUUUAUAAUAUCAACAUUAAAUCUACAAUUCUUGAUUUUCUUUUUUUAAAAUAAUUAAAAUUUUAUUCUUAUAGUAUUUAAAUAAUUAGGGAUUAUGAAUUGUGGUUUAUGGUUUAAGGGUUGGGGUUUAAGGUUUAGGGGUUAGGGGUUAGGGGUUUAGGGGUUAGUGCUUGCUGAUUUUUUUUAUUGAUCUUCUACCCCUUGUACCUGGAUCCGACCUGACCUGGAUUGUUCCUUGUGUUCUUUUUCUGCUUUCUCAGCAGGGAGAUCCCAUUCUGCAGACAAAGAAGAACACAAAAGAUCAAAGGUAAUUUUAUUUCAAUUUGAUCCAUUUUUCUUGGUUAUCUUUUCCGUGUUUUUUUAUUUGUAAUUUGUUAUGUUUUCUGGGUUUUGCUUAUAAUGUCUGCAUUAAUAUUCAUUUCACAUUUUUUGUUUGUAUUUGCUUUUGUUUCUUUUUCCCAUCACAAUCAAAGUUCUAAACUAAUUUUUUCCCUGUAAUUUCAUUUUUAGAUUCAAAGUUUCUUUUUUUUUUUAAAUUUUUUUAUUAAUAGCAUUGACUUUUAAUAUUUAUUUUGAUAGUUUUUUUGGGGGAAGUGUGGGGGGGGGGGUCAGCAUAUUUGCUUUUGAACAUAAGAUUGAUUCUGCCUGUGUUGUGUAUUUGCCAAAUUCCAGUCCUGGAUUCAAAGUUUGUAUGUGUUUCUUACCAUUUUCUAAGAAAUAAAAAAUAUGUUAUUAAUAUUGUCUUUGUUAAGUCUUUUUCACAUAAUAUUCUUUGAAGUUUGAACAUUGUUUUGCUCCUUUUCAUUAUGGAAAAACAAAUCUUUUUUUUCCAAUUUAGUCUUUGUUUUUAAUUAUUUUAUAUAAUUAAAUUACUCAAAGUUUAUUUCCCUUUUUUUGAUCCAAACUUUUCUUUUGUACAAAAUUACUCUCUUUCUUAACUUUUUAUAUUAUAUAUAUGUUUUAUAAUAUUAGCUUUAGCUCUCAGUUUUCACUUUCACAUUGAGUUAUUUGAGCAUUUUUCAUAUUUCUUGCUAAUGUGGGACAGAUUUCAUUUUCUUAAAAGGAAAAAAAUUAUGUUGUUUUUGUUGCCUCAAUCCUCUUUAUUUGUCUCUUUAACCUCAUUGGAUAUGGAGUCUAUGUUGUCUUUUCUUUUCAGUUUUUCCAUUUUAGAUUUAUAGGUAAACUUCAAAGUGGUUCUUCUUCAAGUUAAAACAGUGGGGUUUUUUACAUUGAUCAUCUUAAGUUUUCAGAAAAUAUUUUUCCUGUUGAUUUGGAUUUUUUAAGGUUAUUUUUGUCUUUCCUUCCUAAAAUACUUUUUUUUGGAUGAUUUAAUGAAUAUGGCAGGAUUAAGCUUUAGAAAUCCAUGAUUAACUGAGGACUCUAUAUUGGGUCCUCAGUUCAGUUGUUUAAAAUCUAUAUAUUUUUUUAUAAUAUGCUAUGUUAUUCGGACUUGGAUAUGUCCUUGGAGGAUCAUAUCCCGGUACUUUUGUUUGCAUAUGUGCUGGACACAGAUGCUUUAAAUAAAAUGAAGAGUGCUUGCUGUCAACUAGGAGUUUUGAUGAUUAUGAUCAUGAUUGUUUCAUAUAUAUAUAUAUAUAUGCUCUAUUUUUCACCUAUAGUAACAUUAAUUUUGUAAAGAUAUUUUCUUCAAUUCUGAAACUGCUUUAAUAUCUCUUAUCUUAAAAGUUUUGUUUAUCUUGGUAAACUUAAUUUUGCAGCUGCUACUGGAUUUUUUGAGCUUCUCUGCUUCUAGCUUUUCAUCUAUGGCCAGAUACUCAGUUGUGACUGAUAAGGUCUCAAUAGAGGUUGUUGAAGAAUUCAUUCUAGUACAGUUGAAUCUGACAAAAGGCACAAUAUCUGAAAUUAAGGUACCUAAUUCUUUUUUUUCCUUCUUAGCCAUUAAUCAUUAUUGAGUGUUGACAUGGGGGAUCUAUGCUACUAUAUCUAUGUUACUCUAACUCAUCAUUUUUUCUGAAGUGCUCAUGUUUGACACUUGUGUUUGAUGCAUAUUUGGACAUGGAUACAUGAACAUGAUCCUCCAAAUAUAUGAAAAUCCUUAAAAAAGUUGAGCAUACCUAUGUGGGAUAUAUACCUUAUCUGAAAAUAAAGGUUAUGCCUUUUUAAAAACCUGUUUAAUACAUUAUAUAAAUUUCUUCUUAAAAGUUUGUUAGGGCUGAAGCAUGCAUUAGUCUACUAUAAUUUGCUGCAUAAAUGGAAAUUAGCUAGGUGUCCACUGCACAACCUUCAAUUAGACUUUACAUAAAAAAAUUCAUUAUUCAAGGCAAACUGCCUGGCUUGCUGAAAAAUGAUAGUUACAAACUGCCUUCAUUUCUCCCAUAAAGAUCUGCCGAAAUAUGUUUCAUCUAACAAGAUUUUGAUUGACAGCACAUUCAUUUGACAGGAUAAUUUGGAAACCCUGUUGCAAGAGGACAUUCAGGCUGAUCUAGUCUGCUGCUUGCAGCAUUUGCAGGUAUUUUGUGUAGUUUAAGUUGUGAACAUUGGGUUUUGAUUUGUCAUGUGAACAAAUAUGAUGAAUCUGAAGUGCAUUUCUAUUCUUCUAUUUGCAGUUAAGAUUUGAAAUUGAAGACAAAGCAAGGAGACCUCUAAGUAAUGUGUCAUUUUUGUUGAAACCAGGGGGUUAUUUUUUCGGUAUUACUCCUGAAAAAGUGAUUGCCAAAAACUGUUGUUUCUGGAUUUAUGUAUUUUCCUUUUUUUUUCUUGUGAUUACUGCUGCACCUGUUUCUGGGAGGUGAUUGUGUAAACAUUUUAGUGUGCUUUAAUUAUUGUAAGAAUAUUAAAUUUUAACAUUGUUAAUUUUAAUAUUAUUGUAAGAAUAUUUUGAAUUAUAAUUCAGUUAUCAAUUAAUAUCAUAUAUCUUUCAUUGAAUUUGAAGUAUCAUUUAAAUUUACUGUUUUUGGUUGGAUUUUAUGUUACAAGAAGAUUUGUAUAUGGAUGAAAAUCGGCAAAUUUGUCAAAAUUAGUGGCGUUUUCCCAUAAACGCCGCUAAAGUACGUACUUUUAGUAGCGUUUGUGAUGAAAGCGCCGUUAAAGAUAAUGUUCUCUAGCGGCGUUUGUGGGUCAAGCGUCGCUAAAGGUCAUGUUCUUUAGCGGCGUUUGUGUGUAAAGCGCCGCUAAAGCUCAUGUUCUUUAGCAGCGUUUGUGGGUAAAGCGCCAUUAAAGGACAUGUUCUUUAGCGGCGUUUGUAGCUAAAGCGCCGCUAAAGGUUAUGUUCUUUAGUGCGUUUGUGGCUAAAGCGCCGCUAAAGAUUAAGUUCUUUAGCGGUGUUUUUUUCACAUAAACGCCGCAAAAGUUAGCGACGUUCUCAAUAGCGGCAUUUUUUGCGGCGCUUUUGUGUAGUGGAGGAUGAUGAGGAAAGUCUUGACGAUGUUGUGGAUAGCUCGGUUCAAGUUUAGGGUGCUUCUAAUAGUGCUAAUGUUUCUUCUAUUGUUCCAUCGACUGGGAAUCCUUCUUCUAUUAGUGUAGCUGCUGAUACAGUUACCUCUACUUCAAUAAGAGAUGAGACAAUACAGAUUGCCUGGGUCAUGUUUAGUCUUUUUGUAAAACUUUGGUAUUUAAUGCAAACUUUAUCCCUUAUUUGGAUUCCGUGUUUAUGUUAUGCAUCCUUGCAUUUCUUUAUCAACUUAUUGUAUUGAUCUUGUGUAGCUUUAUCAAGCUUUUAUUUUUACUACUUGGAAGAUGUAGGGAAUUUUAUUCUUUCCUUAUUUGUUGUAUUGUGCUUUUAGAUUAACUUAGUGAGAAGUACCCUUGGCUAAGUCUUUCAGAAGGCUAGUAGUUUUAUUUGCUAUUAAUUUAACGGGCAGUAUCCUUGGAGGGUCUGUGCUAAAUUAAUGGGCAGUAUCCUUUUUUAGUUGCAAUGUGACACCUCACACUCGAUUCGGACGACGAAUUUAUAUAUAAAACAUCACAUUCAUUAUCGAAACAACUCAAACAAACAAGAAACUGACGUCAAAGCCAAAUCAAGAAGCAUAGCACAUAAUUCAUAAUUUCCAAAACGCUAAUAAUUAAUUUGUAACUUUUUUUAAUAUAGUUAAUUUAAUGACUAAUGCCGUAAUUAGUCUCACUUAAAAAGAGCCCACCAUUUGACUUGACGCAGAGGUCAAGAGAUAUCUCUAAAAAUGGGAAGCAAUAUAUGAUGUUUAUGGUUGAUAUUGUUCUAUGUGAGGUGUUCAAAUGGUUGAUUGAUCAGUUAACUAAAUCGAACUAGUAUUAAUUGAAUUAAUCUAACUUUUUAAUCUUUAACUGUUAAUUAAAUCGAUUUUUUUUCAAAAAGAUUAACCGAACAAAAAAUAUUUCAAUUAAUUCAAUUGGUUAACCAAAAUUUAUAUAUAUUUUUUGUUUAAAAUGAAUAUAAAACAUAUAAAAAAAUUGAUAAUGUUCAUUUGACUGAAUUAACCUAAUUAAUCAAAUUAGUAAUAGCCUAAUACAUAUGACAUAUAAUAUUAUUUAUUAAGUUCAGUUAAUUCGGUUAAUUACUCGAUUUCGAACUGAAUUAACCAUUAACUGAAAUUCCAAAAAUCAUUUAAUCGAUUUUUAACCAAAUUAAAUCAGUUAACUGAUCAAUUAACCGAAUUAAAUCAAUUUAAUCAAUUAAUUUAAUUUUAACCGAAACUUAAACACCUUUUUUAACUCUAUGAAUGCCAAAAUCCAUAUAUAGACUUAUUUCGGAUGUUAGAAUUUUCCACCAAAAACCAAGUCUUUGUGGAAUUAAAGUUUUGUUGCUAAGACCCACUGGAUUUUUCAUAACCACUAUAAUUAGAUUAGAACUAUCUCUCCGCGUAUGCUCGAGUUUAAAAUUUUUUAAUUAAAUUUUAUUAAUCUAUUUUUUAAUUAUUAUAAUAUUAACAUAGAAAUUAAAAUUGUGAUUAUUGUUUAUAAUAGAAUAUAAAGUCUUAAAUUAUAAUGAUAAAAUCAUGGAGAAGAUAUUUUAAUUUAAAAAAUGUAUAAAAUUUAUAUAUUAUCUCUUCAAUAAUUUAAAUUAUAAUGAUAAUUUUUAUAUAUUAAAAUUAAUAUAUUAUCUCUUUUACAAUUACAUAAAAAAUUAUAUUAAUAUAUAAAAAUGAUAAAUUAAAAGAAAUUCUCUUUUAAUUGUUUGCCAUUAGAUAUCUAGUGAACUGAUGCCACUAAUUUAACUCUCAAAAAAUGGAAGUUUGAGAAAGCUAAAGGUUGUUAAAUUAGACAAAAAGAAACAAGAAGCCAUGCCAAUAAUUCCGUUAACAAUUUAACCGGACCAAAGUAGAACUAAAUGAUAACAUUAAUGAUGAAAUUAAAAGUUUUUUGUAGUUCAAUGACAAAACAAAAAUACGCUAAUAAUUGAGCCAUUCAUUGUGCAAUUUAGACUUAAUUUAUUUUUGGAAGAAAUUGUAUUUAUGUGAUAAUAAUAAAUUUUAAAAAAAUAUUUAUUUUGUCAAAAAUUUGUAAUUAUAAUCAUUUAAAUAUAUAUAAAAAAGUAUCCAACAAAUAUAUCAAAUUAUUGCAAUAAAAGGAUGAAGAAAUCAUAAUAUAACAAGACACCAAUUAGAAAUAACUUCAUUUCAAAUAUAAAUGAAAUUUAAUAAUGAAACAAAUUUUAUUAAAGGCAAGGACUAAAUUAAAAAAAUUAAAAUCAAUUAUAGACUAAGGGUGAGUUUGGAUGGGCGGUGUGUUUACCUGUGGUUAGAGUAAAAACAGCGGUGGUGGUGAGAUUAGAUACUGUAGCGAUACUGUAGCGUGAGACAAAAAAUAAGUUAAACGCACCGCACCGCACCCAAUCGCCCAUCCAAACUCACUCUAAGAUAUGAAUAUAUAAAUAGUGAAAAGCGUAAUCAUAAACUUUUAAAAUAAAAAUAUUCUAGAAAGCAAUUAUUUCUAAAAAGUAAAAAUCAUCCACCCUCUUUUGUUUAUUAUACUUUUAUAUUGAAUAUACUAUGUCUUUUUACUUGCUGAAAAGGUUACAAAGUUAUCAUAAAUUUCCUAAAAUCUUAUAGCACUUUUCCAAAGAUCCAAUACAGCAUGAUACAAUAGCUGAAUUAUACCAUUAAUUAUUAAAUUAUAGAUAAUCAAACAAGAUUAUAAUUUAGUCAUUAAUAUUUUCAAAAUUAUUUUUAUGGUCACCUGAUUAAGUGGCACUUUUUUUUGUUAGUAUGAUAAUAAUUUUAUUCUUUGAUUUUUCUAUUAAUUUGACUCUGAUUCUAAAUAAAAAUUAUAAAUAAAUAAAUAAAAAGACAAUUUCAAAAAUAGUGGUAAUCAAAUUGUAACGUUUUUAGUUUAAUGUCAAAAACAAAAAUUUAUCUAUAAUUAAUUUAACGCAUAUAUACCCUUUAUUUUUUGAAAGGAAAUCUUACUUAAAAAUAUCCCACCACUUGACUUACACACAAGUCAAGUAAGGAAAGCAAUAUUUGAUGUUUACUGUUGAUAUUAUUUUAUGAAUGCCAAAAUCCAUAUAUAGACUUAUUUCGAGUGUUUGAAUUUUCCACCAAAAACGAAGUCGCUGUUGAAUUAAAAUUUUGGUGCUAAGACCCACUGGAUUUUUCACAACCACUUUUAUUAGACGAUAAUUAUCUCUUCACGUAUGCUGGGGUUUAAAAAUUUUUAAUUAAUAAAUAAACAGAGAUAAUAAAGAACAAAGAAUAUGAGAGUUAACAAAAGAGAGUGUGUGUUUUAUUGAUCAAUCAGAAUAUUUACAAAACUUUUUCAAAAUCUUUAUUUAUAGGUAUAAAAAGUAUAAAUGAAGUAGAGAUCUCCGGAUGACUAUUAAAAUUUAAAGUACAUCAAAACUUUUCUCGGUUUUAAUGGAUAUCCGUUUAAUAAUAUAUCCAAAACAUUUAUUUAUUUUUAAAAAAUAUUAUAAUAUUAACAUAGAAAUUAUAUUUGUGAUUAUUGUUUAUAAUAUAAUAUAAUAUAAAUGAUAACAUCAUGGAUAAAAAUAUUUUAAUUUAAAAAUUGUAUAAAAUUUAUAUAUUAUCUCUUCAAUAAUUUAAAUUAUAAUGAUAAUUUUUAUAUAUUAAAUUUAAUAUAUUUAAUCUUCCUUUAAACGAAACAAAUUACUUGUUGAGUUAUUGUAUUUAUUCUAUGAAUUAAUUUUAAAUUUUAUUUGUUAAUCUUCACAAAAUUAUUAGACACUUUGAGCAGUUUAGAAAAUCAUUUAAAAGUAGAGAAAUUCUAUUGAAGAAUGAUAUUUUUGAUUAUUGAAAAUAUUUGCUUAUUGAAGAAUGAUAUUUUUGAUUAUUGAAAAUAUCUGCUUAUUAUCAGACGGAUGAUAUUUUAAAAACUCAAACUAAUAAAACAAUAAUUUGAAACAGUGAAGAAACUUAUAGAAAGGGUGUAGCAAGAGAGCUAGAGGGUUGACACCAGAAGUCAAGAGAUAUCUCCAUAAUGGUCACUUGUGUUGAGUGGUCUGGGGUGAUUGAAUUUUGUACAUUGAAAACGAAGGUAGAGGACAAUUGCUUUCUUGUCACUAUUGCUACAAAUGCCAUUGAAUUUCCACAAGAAAUUUAUCCCAUAUUUAGUUAAGGGAACCUCACUUGACUUGACACGUGACACAAGUCAAGAUAUAUCUCUGAAUGUAAGUAUUAUAGAUUUUUAUUUUUUUUCUAUUAUAUCAAGUAAAUUUUUUAUAUUUAUGUCAUGUAAUUAUAUUAUGCAGUAAAACGUACAAGUCUAAUUCAUAAUGACUUUCGAUAUUGCCUCACGUAUCAUCAUGCCUAUGCUAUUUUUGUAUUAUCCUUGUUUUGAAGGCUAUAUAUAUUUAUAUAAAUUUUGUUUUAGGUAGAUUUUAACAUGUUUUUUCUUCAUCUCAAGUACAUUUUUUUUUAUUUUUUUUUUCAUAUUUUAGUUAUUGAAUGUUGGGCUUAAAAUAUUAUAAACAUUCCUAAUUAUAUAUUAAUUUUACAUUAAGUUUUAACAGAUAAAUUUAGCAUUAUUAUAUUAUACUAUAAUAAAUUUCUUAGGUCAAAAUUAUCUUUGAUUUUUUAUCCAAUUAGAUAUUCCUACACCUUUUUUUUUAUUUCUAAUAACAAAUUCAAAAUUAUCUAUAUCUAUCUAUAGUACAAACUGGCUCUUAAGAGAGUUUUAAGAGUAAAUGGGUUGAUAAUAGUGUUUUUCAAUUUUAUACAUAUUCACAAUUUUUAUCUUUAAAGGUGUCAAGGUUCGUUCAUUUAUUUUCAUAUAAUUAUGUUCAUUUAUCUUCAUACCAGGCUUUCUUGCAGGCUUACAAUCUACUCUAGCUUAUUAUUACUUUAAUGCAAGCUGCAGGACAGGAUUAUGAGUGUAACACCCUAAAUUCGGCCUAGACGUUAUAGUCGUAUCUGGUAAUGUCACACGAUAGUGUUUUUGAAACUUCAUUGUUACGAUGAAAACAUUCCAUAUUUUUUAUUUUAUUUUUUAUUUUAGUAAACCUUUGUUAGAACUUAGGAAGUCGUCUUUACUCAUUUAAAACAUUUUUUUUGAAACAUCCCUCGUUAUAAAUUCAUAAAGUAAAAUAAAUAAAUAAAAACCCAAAUUUAAAACCAAAGUCCCAGAGGGUCCUUAAAUUACAACCCAAAUAAUCAAUAAUAAUCAAAUCGUAAAUCGUAAAUUGAAAACCAUGAAGUCCAAAAAUUACUAUGGUCACCGCUGAGUCCUCCAUCACACCUAUUCAUCUAGGUCUGGGGAUUACCUGUGCACAGUAAACAAAAAGGCGAGUUUAUGUAAACUUAGUGUGUAAUCCCAUAGAAACAAACAAACAAUCAAUAUUCACAGUGCACAGUUGAAUAGUCUUGGGCCUAAGCCCUUUUCAGUAUCAGUGACAGUUUGGGCCUUAGCCUAUCUCAAUACAAUGUCAAAAAUGCAAUAGGACCUUAGCCCAUUACAGUAUUAGUAGCAGUAACAGUUAUGCAGUAGUAAAAUCCUACCUAACCAGCCUCUACACACCAUCUCCGUCCAACCCUACACUCCAUAUAGGGAUAUAAUCAACUCACUCAUCUCUACACUCUAAGUAGUACCGAAUGAGGCACAAAACAGUAGUUUGCAACUGAGCUGCCAGUAAAUUUGGCUAAAAGCCUUUCAGUACACUUCUUCCGAAUAACAACCCCCAAUCCAAUGCAAUGCAACAUACAAUGGAUGACAUGCUAUUAUGCAAUUUCAGUACAUAUAUUCAAUUCAAAUAUUUUCAUACUCAGUACAGAUAUCAUUCAGUCAAUUUCACACAUUUAGGGAUCUAAGUAGCGUUUACCGACCCUACAAUAGGUUCACAGUCGACUUGGGUGACCCGUGCAACCUUAGAAACAUUUCGAUGAAAAUGGGCUCACAUACCUAUGUGAUCUGCCCCUGUGGGCCCACAGGCCUGUGUAGCCCACUCGGCCCAAAUUGGCCUUGGUCGUGUGAUCUAUUUUUAAUGUAACCCAUGCUAGCUAAAUAUUCAUAUAUGUUUUCACUAUUUACUUAUAUGUUCAUUCAAAGUUGUCUACUUGAGUCAUUGUCACUAAAUUAUUUAUAUCUUGAGUUACGAAAAUCCAAAUUAAGACCCGCUUGAUGUUUUUGAAACUAGACUCAAAUACCUUUCUACCAUAAAAUUUUCAGAAUUUAUAGUUUAUCAAAUAAGUACAUUAAAAUCUUCAAAUUUAUCCCAAUUCUGCUAUUUGACAGCUUCAACUUUUUCUUACUUAAAAUUAUUUAUCUCUUAGUACGGAAUUUGGAUGAUGUUUCUAUUUGUUUCUCUUGAAAAUAGACUCAUUAACGAUUUAAACAUAUAAAUUUAAGCCCUUAUUUAUUGUUUUUCAAUUUUUGAUGAUUUUCCAAAGUCAAAACAGGGGAACCCGAAAUUAUUCUAACAUUGUCUCACAAAAUUUAUUAUAUCUCAUAAUUUACAAUUCAAUUGCUUACAUUGUUUCUUCCAUGAAAAACUUAAUAAAAUUUAAUUUCUAAUUUUAUUCAACCUCUAACUCAAUUUCCACUUAUCUUGAUGAUUUUUCAAAGUUAGACUACUACUGUUGUUCAAAACUAUUUUAGUGCAAAAUGUUGAUUUCCAAGUUUAUAACACCCUUAUUUCCUUUCUCUAUAAGUUUUCACAUUAUUUUCCCUUAUUUCUCUUAUUUCUCGAUAGCAAGCAAUUUCGACUUUUCGCCGAAUCCUAUUUUCUGCGUUUCGGGUACACACCUGGUAUCGUUUUGCUGCAAAUACGCUCUCAGGCACUCCAAGACUUAAAAAUCGAUAAUUAGAGCCCAAUUUAGAUCACUAACGAAAACUCAAAACUAAAAAUCAUCUACAUCAAAAUCAAUAGCAAACCUAAACACUUACCGACAACGAACUAAAAUUUCUAACGCUCAAUUUGCUUGUGAAGCCGCAACUGAUUUCUGAUUUUCGCCUAAACCAAGAGAGCCAAAACAAUCCUUUUUAGGAACUAGCUAAGAAACGAUAAAAUAGAGACAAUUAGAUACUUACAGAACCAGUGUAUACAAUUGCUAGUUGGAAAAUAGGCUAGUAAAAAAAUCAAAUAGAGAGGGUGGGCUAGGGAACAAAAAUUUGGCAAAGCAAAGAAGAAGAGGACGGUAGAAAAAUUGGGGAAAAAAAGAGAAUGCCGAAAUUUAGGAAAAAUAAAAACCAAAUAGAAACUUAGAUGAUAUUAAUAACUACCCUACAUCCCUAAAUUUUCUCCCACCAAUCCUACUAACCUACAACCACUCCAGAAUUCCACUCUGCCGAAAUACUUGUCCAUCAUUGCGUAAAAAUAACGCCUAUGCUCCAGCAUAGAUUCGAACUCAGGACCUCAUAUAAUUAAACACUCUACUUAACCACUAGACCAGCAGACCCAUUUUGUUAUUUAAUUACCAACUAUUAAACUUAAGCUUUUUAGGCCAGGUUAAGGCUUUAUUUAUAAAAAUACUAAUAUUUGCCCAAGUCAUGGCUUGAACUUGGGACCUCCCACACACUUCCAAAACACUUACCCAUUGAAGCAGACAAGUACUUAUAUCACAAAAACAAGAAUUAAAAAUUUUGGUGCAUUAUAAUUCUACCCCCAAGAGAAAAUUUCAUCCUCGAAAUUUACCUGAUCAGAACGAAUGAGGAUGCUGCUGACACAUCGCAUCCUCAAGCUCCCACGUUGCCUCCUUAGUAUUAUGGUUACACCACAGAAUCUUCACCAGAGGGAUAGACUUCCUCCUCAAAACCUUUACGUCUCAAUCCAUAAUCUGAACCGGCUCCUCCUCAAAGGUUAAAUCUGGCCUAACCUCAAUCUACUCUAUUGGAACAAUAUGUGUAGGAUUAGAGAGGUAGCACCUCAACAUAGAAACGUGAAACACGUCAUGAAUUUGAUCCAACUCUAGAGACAGCUCCAAUUGAUAAGCGAUCGGUCCCACUCGUUUCAAAAACCUAGAGCUCAACUUGCUCUUACGACCAAACCUCAGACUCUUCUUCAUUGCAAAACCUUGAGGAACAUGAAGUCCCCCACGGAAUACUCAAUCUCUUGACGCUUUAGAUCCGCAUAGGAUUUUUAUCUGUCUGAUGGCAUUUUCAGACGAUCCCGAAUCAGUCUAACCUUAUCUUUAGUCUCCAAUACUAACUCAGGAUCCAGAACACGUCGUUUGCCCAACUCAGUCUAACAUAAAGGAGUGCGACACUUAUGACCAUACAAUGCCUCGUAAGGUGUCAUCUAGAUGCUAGACUGAAAACUGUUAUAAUAGGUGAACUCCGCCAGUGGCAGAUAAUCUUUCAAACUACCUUAAAAAUCAAUAGCACAGCUCUUGAAUUUGAGCCUUAAGCUCCACAAGCUCCUUCCGUGCCUUUCGAUAGGGAGCGAUGGACACCAGAGCUGUACCUGGAAGUAGCUCAAUCCCAAAUUCCAACUCGUGAUUCGGAGGUAACCCAAGUAGCUCUUAAAAAAAGACGUCUAAAAAAUAUUUUACCGUUUCAAUAUCCUUAAUUGUAGAAUCCUUAGAAUCCAAAACACUUACGGAAGCUAAGAAUGCCUCACAUCCCUUAUGAACUAUUUUCUCUGCCACCAGUAUAGAGAUCACAUUAGAUAAGUAAUUCUGGCAUUCUCCAAUCAUGACUACCUCUUUAUCCUUCUUAGUCCUUAGUACGACCCUCUUAGUCGCACAGUCUAAGCUAACACGAUGCUUGACCAAUCAGUCCAUCCCUAGAAUUAGGUCAAACUCCCCAAAUAGAAGCUCCAUCAAAUCAGCCAAGAAGAUUGCCCCUUGUACCUCUAAAGGAAUGUCCUUAUACAGUUUACUAACUCUAACAGAUUGCCUUAAUGGGAUCAGUACCGUAACUUCACUCGUAGUGCUCUCAACUGGAAUUGUUGACACCAUUUUUGGAUUAAAAACGGGGUCGACUUGGGUUUUGAAAAUGAAAAUGAAUAGAGGAGUCGCCACCAAUCCUUUUUGAUGAGGUGCGAUCGGGUCACCUCGAAUUAAUCAUUUUAAUAAAAGUUAAGAUUUACUAAAACGAUAAUUUUUUUUGGUCUACGAAAAUCAGAAAAUGAGUUCGGGAGUCGGUUACGCACGAGGAAGGAUUAGCACCCUCGAUACGCCCAAAAAUUGGUACCUAGUUGAUUAAUUAGUGUCUUAGUUUCGAAAAUUGAAAACUUAAAAUACUUUGAAAUACGAUCCAUCUCUUUGUAAAAAAAACUCAAAUAUUAAAGACCUUCUCAUCUCUAAGUGAUAAAAUAUCACAUCCAGUAAGUUAGGACACGACAUCUCGAGCUUUUGAGAGUGAGUUUGUCUUUAUUUAAAAUUCAUGCAUUUUAACUUUUUUUUAAAAAGGAUGUUCGGUUAUUUAGGGUAAACGAAGAAAGUCGAAACCCAGUAAGUUAGGGUACGUUUUCUCGAAUUUCCUAAAAACGAAAUAUUGCCUUAUUUUGAAUUUUUUUUUGAAUAAUAGCAAAUGCAACAUUUAGAUAGUGUGCAUUAUUUGUUUGGAUUAAAAUAAAACAAUUUAUUGGAUAAAUGCAACGAGACUUGAUUCAUGAAGCGAUGAUAUAAAAUAAAAAUAUAGUAAUAAGCCUAGAACAAUGAUACAUGAACACAACAUUAUAUGGAUGAAUCACAAUAAUGCAAAAAUACGAAAUAAACAAAUUAAAAUACACAAAGACAAUAAUCAUACAACAUUUAAAUAAUAACAUCGAUAGAUAAAAGACCAAUGAAUUAAAUAAUAAUUUUUUAAGAAAAUAAAUGGCAUAAAAUAAAUUAAAAUAAAUAAUAUAAAACAUUUUAAAAUGACAAUAAUAAGUUUGAAAUAAAUAAUGUGAAAAAGGAAAUUUAAAAAUCAAUAACACACUAAACGAUAAAAAAUAUGUUUAUACAAAAAAUUAAGAUAAACAGUAUGUAUAUAUAUGUAUAAAAGUAUGAAGUGAAUGAUAUAAAAAGAGCAAAUAAUAGCAGUAAAACAUUUCGGAAUAAAUAAAUAGGAUUCAAAAUAAGAUACGUAUAACAAUUUAAAAUAAGCAAUAUAUAAAUAAAUAGAGUUUAAAAUAAAUGAUGUAAAAAAAAAAAUUUAUUUAAAAAAAAGGAACAAUAAUAUACGAAAAAGAAAAAAAGAUAUAUGAAGAAUAGAAAAUAUUUAUAUAAUAUGUGCAAAGAAACCAAAAUAAAUAAUGUAUGUAGAGUAGUUUAGAAUAAACAAUAUAUGCAAAACAACUUACAACUUUGAGUAAUUGAUACAUAAAAUUGGUUAAAAUUAAUAAUAUAUGAAAAUGAACCGUAUAUAGAAUAUUUUAAACACAUACAAUAACAGUUCCUUUUUUAAGAAAAAGAAUUAAACAGGUGAAGGAUUAAUUCGAAAACAAUACAAAAUUCUAGGUAAAAAAUAAAAAGAUACUGCCAGGAUUAAAAUGAAGUGCACCUAAAAUCAUAAGGACCAAAUGGGAUAAAAACCAUAGCCCUAACAUGCGCAUGAGGCCCGACAGAUCAAAAGACUGAUUUAAAAAACAAGCAAAAUCUAACAACUAAAUUAAGAGAAAAAGCAAAGAUAAAAUAGGGCCUGAUCAAAGGACGCUAAAGAUGGAGGGACCUCGUGUGCAAAUAUCCUAAUAAUUGAGGAUACAUGAAUCCCCAUCCCCACCAACGGCACCGUUUUGUUUGGUGUUUAAAACACCCAUUCUCUUUAUUAUUUCAGCCCUAAUUUCAUAGAAGAAAAGAAAAAAAGAACAAAAAAAAUAGAAUGUUAAAGCUUCUCUCCCUCUCCUCUCUUACUGAAUCGUGAGCCCGUCGCCGUUGCAUCACCGCGCCCCCACCGUAUCGGUGGCUGGCGAUGCUCAAGGGUGGGUUUUUAGCCCCCGAUUCAACCAGGUAUGAAGGCUAAGAUUUUUUAACCAAGAAAACCCGAAAAUGAAGGGAUCUCCACCCGUUUUGGGUUCGGCUCCGACGACUGAGGGAACCGCCGACGGUGUGACCCAGGGGUUCGGGUAAGUUUUCUCCCCGUCUUCUUUUUAUUUCUUGUUCUUGAAGCUUAAAAGCAAAAUCAAAAAUGAAAAAAGAAAAAAAGAAAUCAGAAAUUGAAAAAACGUAACCUUUUUCUUUUGUUUUUGCUCUUUUAUUUCUGAAAUAUGCGUGUGUACAAGAAUGGGGAUCCCUUUUUUACAAUUGCUUUCGGCUUCUGUUUUUAGCCGAAUGAGAUAGAAUCCAAAAUCUCCCCCUUUUACAUUGAAAAUGAAUGGCUCUUUAUAGCCGAUUAUACAAAGUCCUAUUGUUGUUUUGUUACUGUUUGCUGCGUUUCUGUUUCUGUUGCUGCUUCCGUCAUGUUUGCAGGUGUUCAAGGAGGUGAUGGGAGCAGGUGGAGGAGAGAUGGCGAUGGGACGUGCGGCUGACAGAGAGCAGCGGCAAGUGGGAUACUAGGGUUUCAGUUUCUGAAACCCUAGUCUGAUGUGGGCUUGGCUGUUGGGCCAGGGUGCUGGGCCUUUUAUUUCUUUCUUGGGCCCGGGCAAAUGGGCCUGCAACAGCUGCCCCUCUUUGCUCGUUGUCGUGUAACGAUAACAGAGAAAAGACUAAGAAAGGCCCAUUUUGCCCGGUCUCGCCGAGUCUUGACUUGUUCUGGUACUUCUCCAUUUCAAGUAGUUUCAUUCCAGUCCACUAGGUCUUGUUGCUUCGAUCCAUUCCACUGCAUUUUAGAGAGAUGCGUCCUGUAGCCUUUAUCUUCUUCGUAGCAACUUCAGGGGGACGAGGUUUGUGGUUUUCAAUCUAUUCCACUGCAUCUUCAGGGAAAUAAGACUUGAUGCGACCUACUCUGCUGUAACCUCAGAGAGAUAAGAUCCUUUAUUUUAACCCACUCCACUGUAACUUCAGGGAGAUAGGAUAGUGUCUUCGAUCUGCUCCGCUGUAAUCUCGGGGAGAUAAGAUCUCUGGCUUCAAUCUGCUCCACUGUAACUUCAGGGGGACAAGAUCUGUAAUUUCCAAUCUAUUCCACUACAGGUCAGGGAUAUAGGACUUGUGGUUUGAAUCCGCUUCCUUACACUUGAAGAUAAGAUUUGCUGUCUUUGAUCUGCUCCGCUACGGCUUAGGGAGACAAAAUCUGUAACCUUUAACCAGCUCCAAUGCAACCAAUGGAGGCAAGGCUUUGUUUUUGAUCUGCUUUACUGUUAAUGCAGGAAGGCAAGAUCUGCUUCUUUAACUAGCUCCACUGCAAUCGAUGGAUGCAAGGCUUUGUUUUCGAUCUGCUUCGCUGUUAAUGUAGGACGGCAAGAUCUGCUUCUUUAACCAGCUCCACUACAACCGAGAGAGGCAAGGUUUGUGUCUUCGACCUGCUUCAAUGUCAAUGCAGGAAGGCAAGAUCUUUUGUCUUCAACCAGCUCUAUCACAACCGAAAGAGGCAAGGUUUGUGUCUUCGAUCUGCUUCGCUGUCAAUGCAGAAAGGCAAGAUCUUUUGUCUUCAACCAGCUCCAUCACAACCAAAGAGGCAAGGUUUGUGUCUUCGAUCUGCUUCGCUGUCAAUGCAGAAAGGCAAGAUCUUUUGUCUUCAACCAGCUCCAUCACAACCGAAAGAGGCAAGGUUUGUGACUUCAUUGAUCUGUCCCUUGGGGAACAUGACCUGUAUGUUCUAUUUUAUGAACCUAAUUGUGCCUAGUGAUUAGGAUGACAUAAUCAGAAUGAAUCAAAUGCUCCUAACUAGAUAUGUAUGAAUGACAUUUGAAUGAAUGCAAAAUGUCAUGAAGAUGAUUCCUUAAUGCUUAGGUUAACAUCACGUAAAAACUUAUUAAGGUUUUAUCACUGACGUACUACAACGCCUUUUUGCUCGUCUGGUAUAUCCAAAGAAACACUUAAUCUGGUUGCCCCCCACUGUAAACCUUAAAGUUUAAUCUAUUAGGGCACAAAAUUUGUACCAUCAUUCUCCCACUACAAUCCAAGGGUAGAAAUAUGGUUUUUCCUCAAUCCUCUUUUAUCACAAUUCAAGGAUAUAGGAUCUUAAUCUUUCUGGUCCCCCUUUACACCAUUUCCAGGGUGUCGUUUCAAAGACUCAUGCACAAAUGAAGGCUCUCUUCUCCGAGGUAACCUCUUCCUAUUGCCUAGUGAUCAUUGCUUGCUUGUUUAUUUAAGCUUUUUCAUUGACACGACAUCUUGUCAUUUUGUUCAAUCAAUGCAUUUGUCAACAAAAUCCAAAGAGAAAGUCUAAACUUAGACUCUUCCUUCUCAAAUUUCCAACCUUCAAAUUUGGCAUGUUCUAAACAAUAGUCCUGUUUUAGGUUCCUGUAUUAUUUAGAAACUUUUCAGAGUAAUAUGCAAAACUUCCUUUGUGAAAGUUUUAUUAGUCCAUUAAUCAUUAUUCCAAUGCUUGCAAAAAGGUCAUAACAAUGGAUAAGAAUAAAGUUGGUUCUGAGCAUAGCUCGAAAGAACAAAUUAUCGAAAAUAGUGAAGAAGGACAACAAAAGAAUUAAUUGGGAAUGUAUAUCUUGGAAAGAAAGAAAAAGUAUUCCAAGAACAACAAAUAACAUGAGAAUUGGGUGCCCCAGAUAUCACAGCUUGAACUUCUCUAUACAAACUUUCUGAAGACCCUUUUGAGUUGGACAUGUGUUUAGGAGAUCUACAAUGCUCUGUCGAUGCCCCCAAGAUGUCGCCUAUCCUUUCCUGUUGAUUCAGGCAUGGCAAGAUCAACACAUGCCUCAAUAUGAACAAAACUUGAGCAGCUUAUAUCACCCCAUGCCCCAUUUUGAUCAGUAUUUGAGCCGCCCUUUUCGGGUUUUCAGCUCAGAUCCCCUUUGGCCUAAGGCGCCCUUUGCGGGUUUUCCCCUUAGCCUCUCCAUUUUACUCUUUUCAUUUUCCAUUUUCAUUCUUCAUCUUUUUAUUUUUUUUGAACUUCAUUGUCUUACAAUACAGUGACAAACUGUGAUGUCUGAUUUUGAACCGAUUACAGCCCUCAACUAUCAUGUUGUCAUUCUAGUUCAAUACAUUUUCCCAUACCAUCGUCUCUAGAAUUCUAUAUUGGCAUAUGAUGACAUUGACGCAUGCUGUAGCCUUUAUCCAUUUGAUGAAGUAAUUAAUGAUCUCAAUAGUGAAGCAAUGCCCAUUAGAAGUCUUCGAUAAUGGUGAUGUCCAUGCCCCAUUUUGCUCAAAAUUUGAGUCACCCUUUUUGGGUUUUCCACUCAAAACCACUUUUGGUCACAAAGCGCCUUUUUGGUUUUUCGCCUUGGCCUCUCCUUUUCUUUUCUUUGCUUUUCGUAUUUUUAUUUUGACUUUGAUUGAUUUCUCUUUGUUUUUAUUUUUUAUUUUGAUUUUGAUUUUGAUUUUGUUUUUUUUUUUCAUUUUUCCUUGUUUUUUGAAUCGGAUCUAAACUCUUGGGAUUAGGCAAGUCUUUGUUAUCCCCUUCAAAGGAUCUUCUCUGAUAUCGAAUUUCCUUUAUAGAGCCUUUUAGGGCAAAACUACAACUGGAAACUUUUGAUCUUCUUCUUCCAUCGGGAUAAAAUCUAGCAACAUCUUGAAGGAAUAGAAACUCGACUUCAAACGGGCAAAGCUAUGCUGAAUUGACGAGAACGGUAUUGCCCCGGCAAAGAAUUGUAUCAUUCAUACGAGUUUGGACAUCGUGUUGUUGUGCAGAUUUCAUUAUCAGUGCUUAACCCAGCAUAUCCUGGUAUGAUCCUACAAAGACAUCUUUGAACAAGGUCUUGCUUCAUUUUUAAGGACAAGUCAAUUCCAAGCUCAGAAUUCCUAGUGAUCUGUCUAUCCUCCUACUCAACCAUCCUCAAUAAGUUUGGGGGUAAGCUACUAUCUAUGUCAUUUCCAAAGUCAUGAGAUCCAUCUAAGCACAUGCCUCACUCAAGUGGAAAAUCUGAGUUUGCAGCAGUUUCAUUCAUGUUAUUGAUAUCUGAGGACUCAUAAUAAGCACCGAGGAAUAUACAAAAGAAUGUAUAAAUUUAUGAAUGAUUAUUUACAAUAUGAUUAUGAAUGAAUGUUGUGGAAGAAAAUCCAACAGAAUGAAAUAAUCAAAAAUAAUUAUUAAAAAGAAUGAAAGAAUAUUGGCUCAAAAAGGAACGCAAAGAUGUAUUUUAUUAGAAUAAUAACGUUCAGACAUUAGCCUAUUUCACAAAGGAAUUUCUAUCGCUUCAGGCUAAAAACAGCAAAAAUGUUCUGAACAUUACUCUAAAUAAGCUCUAAAAACUACAGGGAUUUAUUCUACAAGCCCAUUGCUUGGAACACUCCAGGUUUAUAAGGGCAGACAUCUAACAAGAUCCCUUUUCAAUUAUGCCUUCAUAUAUGGUAUUGAUGUGAAAACUUCCCAACACUUUCUCAUAUAUUGCGUUCACCCCAUUGUUAAUCAUGAUUGGGUGGCGAAUUUUCUGCAUUAGAUGAGUCACCAAACUUGACGACACCCAUGUUGAUGAGCUUUUCAACCAGUUUCUUGAAGGCUAUGCAGUUCUCUAUGGAAUGCCCCGUAUUUCCCGCAUGAUAUUCGCAAUGUGCAUUCGCAUCGUGCCAUUUGGGGUACGGUGGCUGUGGAGGUUUUGAGUAGAAAGGAGAAACAAUGCGUGCAUCGAAUAACUUUUGAUACAGCUCAUUAUACGACAUCGGGAUUGGCGUGAACUGGAGGUUCUCAGUACCUUGUUUCACACUAAUUUCUUGUCUAGAUGAACCUUGCUGACUAGCAGUCACCUUUCUUGGCUGUGUAAUCGAUUUGUUGUAAGUGUUGACAUUGCUCACAUCAUUUUCCUUCUUCUUUAAGUCUGACCUUCUAUUAUUCUCCCCAGCAUCAAUCUUUCCACUUCUCACGGCACUUUCAAUCAUUUCACCGCUCAUGACUAUGUCUGAAAAACUCUUCGAAGCACUUCCUAACAUGUGGGUGAUGAACGGGGCCUUCAAUGUGUUGAUGAAGAGCAUCGUCAUUUCUUUCUCUAGGAGUGGCGGCUGAACUUGGAUAGCGACCUCCCUCCACCUUUGUGCGUAUUGCCUAAAACUUUCAUUAGGUUUUUUCUCCAUAUUUUGCAGGGUUAUUCUGUCAGGGACCAUAUAAGCUACAUGACUGUAUUGUUUCAUAAAGGCUUGUGCUAAAUCCCUCCAAGAACUAAUCUGGAUACGCGUCAAUUGAUUGUACCACUUAGACGCUGUCCCUGUGAGGCUAUCUUGAAAGCAGUGUAUGAGCAGUUGGUCGUUGUUGACGUAUCCGGCCAUACGCCUACAGAACAUAGUAAUAUGAGCUUCUGGGCAGCUGGUCCCAUUAUAUUUCUCGAAUUCCGGCAUCUUAAAUUUGUAAGGGAGCACCAAGUCCGGAACCAAGCUCAGAUCCUUUGCAUCUAUUCCAUAGCUUUCGAUGCUUUCUAUUGCCCUAAACUUCUCUUCUAUCCAUUUCCAUUUCUCCUCAAAUUGUUUUGGAAAUUCCUCCUUCGCCUUAUCCUUUUCAACCAUCUCGUCAAGAUCUGGGACAGCAAUAUUAUUCGGGCUAUCACCGGGAUUAAAGCCCGCUCCGGGUUGAAAAUUCAUUGGAAUUGAAGCAUCGCCUUGGAACUGCUGGGGCCUAACCGACACAGAGGGUCUCCGCGGAUGCAGCUCAGUCUGUACUUGCGCAUGCGGAGGCGUGAAACCUGGAGGAUAAAGUGGUUCACCAUUGUUUUCUUCUUCACUAACAAUCACAGGACCUUUACCCUUGUCUACUCCCUUCAAUAAUUGCGUCAUCUUAGCCACCAGAUCAUUUUGGGACUCCUCCAUCUUUUGCACCAUGUCACGCUGAAUCUUUUCUAUUUGCUCUUUCAUUUGCGCCUGCAACUGGUCUUGCAUUUCUUUUUGAAGUCGCUCUAGCUUCUCCAACCUUUGGUCCAUAAUUUUUGUCUUAGCUCGGGUGCCGUAACUUUGUUGGUUUUCCAGGUUAACUGAAAUGAUUUUAUUCGAUUAGGUUUUUAAUGGUCAUUAAUGCAUGUGAUGUGAUGCAAUGCAUGAAAAGAAUGCAAAGAAAAAGAGGCACUGAUUCUAAUUCAACUUCAUUAGAAAACUUUACUAGAUAAAGAGUUUCUUUACAUAAAAUAGACUACAUAUAUGGCUUUGCCCUCACACUCAAAGCCUUAACCUUUCUAAGAAGCCAAGCUAAUUCUCGGCCCCUGUCCGACUCUGACUCAUACUUCAAACUUAAUAGAUCAGCCUGAACCGCUAGAGUUUGCAGAUGAUCAGCUACUUCGCGCACUUGAGUCACCGCCUCUCCCAUAAUAUAAUCUCUUUCUCCAAUCUGCUCUUGAGACCGACGGAAUUGUCUUUGCCACUGCUCAUUACUUUCUUCCAGAAGCUCUAUCCGGAUUUCACUAUUUUGUAAUGCAUUCUCUAGCCCUCAUAUCUGUCUUUUUAAUUCUUCAAUUUUGUCUAAGCUCACCCUUAAUUCAACCGUAGCAUUACGAUUACAGUACUGGUGAAGCGAUCUUUCUAGUUCAGUUAUCCGGACCUUCAACACCGUCUUCUCGUCUUGGCAAACUAGUAGACUCUUUCCCAAGGCGACUUCUCGAGCCCGAGUAUCCUGAAAUUUCUUUUCCCAUUGAUUAGCUUUUGUCUUUUCCUCCUGAAUUUCUUGUCGCCAUUGUUCUGGUGUUUUACCCAAGCCAGCGGCUCUUACCGACUUACGCAACUUCUUGUAAUCUGUCUUCAGGCUGUCCAAAUCUUCUUCUGCCUUGUUCUUUCCUUUUCUCAAUUUGUUGGCCUCUAAUCUUUGAAUGUCCACAUCCAGUCCUAACUGCAUUUUUUCUUCCUCUAGUUGUUCUAUCUUCUUCCCUAAUUCUAAACUUCUUUUUUCGAAUUCUUGUUUGAUGAUUUCUAUUUCAGAAGGCAAAACUUGUAAGUGUUCCUCUAAAGAUCGAGCAGUUUCUGAAUUUGACGCCGGGAUGUUGUCAUUGAUCCUUUGAUCACGCCACUGACCAUACUCGGGGGUAAUUGUCGGACCCACGGCUAAGAUCUUCAUUCGACGAGUCUGGUUCCAGGCACUAGAUAUUUCUCGAACCUUCUUCUUGUAAUUGUCCUUCCUAUAGGAAAAAUCACUAUAAGCCAACCCCUGGGUUGCUGGUAUGAAUUGUCGUGAUCUAUACUGUCUUGAUACGAGUAGAGGAGCAUAUCCGAUAGCUCUCCAUAUCCCGAGCAGCGGAACCCAGUCAAAAUCUCCACAUCGGUACAAUAUCUCAUCAGGAAUUAACCAAGGAGCCCUCCAUUCAAUAUCUUCAUCUUGGAGAUUCUGGAGUAUCUCUAUCCAUUUUUCUUCUGAAAUAUCAUCUCGUCUUGGCGUGGCCACCAAUUCUCCUAGAGGGGAGUAGCUAUCAGAGAAUACCCGAUAAGAGACCUUUUCGACUUUCCAGAAGUGGCUAUGGAACCAUGCCAAUAAGAGCUGCGCGCAUCCAAUAAACCUUCCCUCCCCUACUUUUCGACACGCAUUCAAUGAUCUAAAAGUUUCAGCGAGUAUUGCCGGAACCGGUGUAACCCCUUUACUAAGCCGAUCGAACAAAUCAGAUACAGCCUCGUCUAUGUGUCCUAAAGCUUUGGGGAAAACCACUAGUCCAUAGAUACCUAAAGCGAAAACAUCGACCCUUUUCUUUAAGUCAGGAUGUACAAGCACCAAAUCUCGCAAACUUUUCCAAGGAACACAUUUACUGUCGCCCUUCUGUUGGAUCCGGGCAGCGACCCACUGCUCGCUCAUUCCAGUGAUGUUCAUUAAUUUCUUUAACAACGGAGGGACACAAGCAGCUCUGGAAUAAGCCUUGUCGACUUGAAUCUUUGGGCACCGAAGCAAGGUCGUAUACUCCUCCACAGUAGGCGUCAAAUCUACCUUCCCAAAAGUGAAACAACUGUAGGCAGGAUUCCAAAACUGAGCAAGGGCUCGGAAUAAAUACUUGUCCACUUUGACACUAAGCAGGUAAGGUAGGUCACCGUAGUUACAAUAGAACAGCUGCUUGGCCUCGACAUCCCAUUGAUCCCAGACUUCUUUCAUUUCUCGAAGGUCAUUUUGGAUUACACUGAUACGGGUAAAAUCCCACAAUUCUGACACGUACCCUUCGGUAAGACUAUCGCCUUUCUCCCGUUGUGUCGUUUCAGCCCAUAUUCGCACAGCCGCAUUAUCCUCUACUUUAUCAACAAACCCCUUUUCCAUGAUAAGCUUUCUACCAAGAAACUGAACGUAAAUCGACACCUCUUUUAGAAUGAAGAUGCCAUGCAAUCACAAACAAAGUAAAUUAGCAUUAAACACAGAAUAAGAUUUAAAAUAAGCGACAAAUAAAUACAACAUUCAUUUAGGUAAGCACUAAAAAUUUAGAGUAGCUCUACCUAGGUUGGUUCCUAUGGCUCAUUACAUGUGGUUUGGUUCUAAAGUAGGGUACCUGAACCAGCAAAUUCCUCGAUCCUCACCCAUUAUAGGCUCAUACGGACCAAGUUCGAUUCAGGGGGAUACAUUUCCCUAUGGCCAUGCGGAGAUGAAAAUCUCACGAAGACAUAGGUACGGAUGUAUCCCGAAAGCGAUUCACUAUCCCAUGCGGAGGUGAAAACCUCACGAAGGCGUAGUUUCUCACUCCCACUUAAAAGGGUGUGACCAACGGUCAUGCAAUGCAAUGUGCAGAAAGAUACAAAAACUUAAACUAACACAACAAUUAUAAACCACAACGAUGAAAAUUGUAAUAAAGAGCAAUGAAAUGCGAUGAAAGGAUCGUAUAUUUAAACCAAGUUUUGAUUUUCGACAAAAAGACAAAAAAUAAUCAACUCGUGGCCCGACUCACUUAUUGUGGUUGUCCCCAGUGGAGUCGCCAAGCUGUUGACACCAUUUUUGGAUUAAAAACGGGGUCGACUUGGGUUUUGAAAAUGAAAAUGAAUAGAGGAGUCGCCACCAAUCCUUUUUGAUGAGGUGCGAUCGGGUCACCUCGAAUUAAUCAUUUUAAUAAAAGUUAAGAUUUACUAAAACGAUAAUUUUUUUUGGUCUACGAAAAUCAGAAAAUGAGUUCGGGAGUCGGUUACGCACGAGGAAGGAUUAGCACCCUCGAUACGCCCAAAAAUUGGUACCUAGUUGAUUAAUUAGUGUCUUAGUUUCGAAAAUUGAAAACUUAAAAUACUUUGAAAUACGAUCCAUCUCUUUGUAAAAAAAACUCAAAUAUUAAAGACCUUCUCAUCUCUAAGUGAUAAAAUAUCACAUCCAGUAAGUUAGGACACGACAUCUCGAGCUUUUGAGAGUGAGUUUGUCUUUAUUUAAAAUUCAUGCAUUUUAACUUUUUUUUAAAAAGGAUGUUCGGUUAUUUAGGGUAAACGAAGAAAGUCGAAACCCAGUAAGUUAGGGUACGUUUUCUCGAAUUUCCUAAAAACGAAAUAUUGCCUUAUUUUGAAUUUUUUUUUGAAUAAUAGCAAAUGCAACAUUUAGAUAGUGUGCAUUAUUUGUUUGGAUUAAAAUAAAACAAUUUAUUGGAUAAAUGCAACGAGACUUGAUUCAUGAAGCGAUGAUAUAAAAUAAAAAUAUAGUAAUAAGCCUAGAACAAUGAUACAUGAACACAACAUUAUAUGGAUGAAUCACAAUAAUGCAAAAAUACGAAAUAAACAAAUUAAAAUACACAAAGACAAUAAUCAUACAACAUUUAAAUAAUAACAUCGAUAGAUAAAAGACCAAUGAAUUAAAUAAUAAUUUUUUAAGAAAAUAAAUGGCAUAAAAUAAAUUAAAAUAAAUAAUAUAAAACAUUUUAAAAUGACAAUAAUAAGUUUGAAAUAAAUAAUGUGAAAAAGGAAAUUUAAAAAUCAAUAACACACUAAACGAUAAAAAAUAUGUUUAUACAAAAAAUUAAGAUAAACAGUAUGUAUAUAUAUGUAUAAAAGUAUGAAGUGAAUGAUAUAAAAAGAGCAAAUAAUAGCAGUAAAACAUUUCGAAAUAAAUAAAUAGGAUUCAAAAUAAGAUACGUAUAACAAUUUAAAAUAAGCAAUAUAUAAAUAAAUAGAGUUUAAAAUAAAUGAUGUAAAAAAAAAUUUUAUUUAAAAAAAAGGAACAAUAAUAUACGAAAAAGAAAAAAAGAUAUAUGAAGAAUAGAAAAUAUUUAUAUAAUAUGUGCAAAGAAACCAAAAUAAAUAAUGUAUGUAGAGUAGUUUAGAAUAAACAAUAUAUGCAAAACAACUUACAACUUUGAGUAAUUGAUACAUAAAAUUGGUUAAAAUUAAUAAUAUAUGAAAAUGAACCGUAUAUAGAAUAUUUUAAACACAUACAAUAACAGUUCCUUUUUUAAGAAAAAGAAUUAAACAGGUGAAGGAUUAAUUCGAAAACAAUACAAAAUUCUAGGUAAAAAAUAAAAAGAUACUGCCAGGAUUAAAAUGAAGUGCACCUAAAAUCAUAAGGACCAAAUGGGAUAAAAACCAUAGCCCUAACAUGCGCAUGAGGCCCGACAGAUCAAAAGACUGAUUUAAAAAACAAGCAAAAUCUAACAACUAAAUUAAGAGAAAAAGCAAAGAUAAAAUAGGGCCUGAUCAAAGGACGCUAAAGAUGGAGGGACCUCGUGUGCAAAUAUCCUAAUAAUUGAGGAUACAUGAAUCCCCAUCCCCACCAACGGCACCGUUUUGUUUGGUGUUUAAAACACCCAUUCUCUUUAUUAUUUCAGCCCUAAUUUCAUAGAAGAAAAGAAAAAAAGAACAAAAAAAAUAGAAUGUUAAAGCUUCUCUCCCUCUCCUCUCUUACUGAAUCGUGAGCCCGUCGCCGUUGCAUCACCGCGCCCCCACCGUAUCGGUGGCUGGCGAUGCUCAAGGGUGGGUUUUUAGCCCCCGAUUCAACCAGGUAUGAAGGCUAAGAUUUUUUAACCAAGAAAACCCGAAAAUGAAGGGAUCUCCACCCGUUUUGGGUUCGGCUCCGACGACUGAGGGAACCGCCGACGGUGUGACCCAGGGGUUCGGGUAAGUUUUCUCCCCGUCUUCUUUUUAUUUCUUGUUCUUGAAGCUUAAAAGCAAAAUCAAAAAUGAAAAAAGAAAAAAAGAAAUCAGAAAUUGAAAAAACGUAACCUUUUUCUUUUGUUUUUGCUCUUUUAUUUCUGAAAUAUGCGUGUGUACAAGAAUGGGGAUCCCUUUUUUACAAUUGCUUUCGGCUUCUGUUUUUAGCCGAAUGAGAUAGAAUCCAAAAUCUCCCCCUUUUACAUUGAAAAUGAAUGGCUCUUUAUAGCCGAUUAUACAAAGUCCUAUUGUUGUUUUGUUACUGUUUGCUGCGUUUCUGUUUCUGUUGCUGCUUCCGUCAUGUUUGCAGGUGUUCAAGGAGGUGAUGGGAGCAGGUGGAGGAGAGAUGGCGAUGGGACGUGCGGCUGACAGAGAGCAGCGGCAAGUGGGAUACUAGGGUUUCAGUUUCUGAAACCCUAGUCUGAUGUGGGCUUGGCUGUUGGGCCAGGGUGCUGGGCCUUUUAUUUCUUUCUUGGGCCCGGGCAAAUGGGCCUGCAACAGGAAUCCCCAAGUUUCUAGAUAUGUUGCUAGCUAUGUAUGAGUGAGUAGACCCUAUGUCUAUCAAGGUAAUAUAUAGUACAUCAAGAAUAAAGAACGUACCCGUGAUGACGUUCGGAGCAUCUCUAUUCUCUCGGCGACAAGCAACAUAUACUAGGGCCGACUGCCUUGCCUCAGCCUGUCCAACACCUCUGCUUCGGUGCUCUCUACCUAUGACCCAUACCAUUACCACAUCUGGCCUGUCUAUGGCCCCUCGGUGGUUACUGUACUACCUUUUAUAACUAUACCGUACCAGUACCCGAAGUUUUCAUCUGAUCGGCCCUUAACGAACACUCCUUACAGUACUCUAAUGACUCAUACCGCAAGCACACCUCAGUCUUUCUCUAACACUCGCCCUGAUGGCGUCUACCACAAUCAGUACUUAGCUGCAGUUCAGUAACAGUAACAGAGGGCCCAGCUCUAACCGACCCAUCAACUCUGCCCUUUUUCUUAGGCCUCUGUGCAGAACUCGAAGGCUCUAAAUCCCUCUUAUUCUUACCUCUCUCACAGUAAUAGUUCUGGCGCUCAGCGCGCUUAAUCUCAUCGGUGAUCUUCGCCUUCUCCACUAGUGUAGAAAAAUCACCUCUCUCUACGGAGCUAUCAAGACUCUCAAAUUAUCUCUGAGCCCAUCCUCAAAACGAAUACAUCGCUCAUACUCAGAGGCCACCAUACCUCGCGUAUAGCGGCUCAGUCACAGGAACUCAGCCUCAUACUCGGCCACUGAUCAAUUUUUCUGAGUCAAAUUUAAGAAGUUCCUUUUACGGGUAUCCACGUAGCUCGCCCUCACAUAUUUCCCCUAAAAGGCAGUUUUAAAGAACUCCCAGGUUAGAUGUUCGGGCUGAGUGCCCUCCUUAACAAUGAGUCAUCACUGAUAAGCCUCAUCCCUCACCAGUGAGACUGCACCCUUUAAUUUCUGCUCUAGGGUGCAGUCUAAGUCAUCCAUGAUCCUCUCCGUGGCCUCAAUCCAGUACUCGGCCAUAUUAGGGGCAACUCUAGUGACACCCCUGAAAAGCUCAACUCCAUUGGACUAGAGUCGUUUCGUAUUCGAUCCUCGGACCCCUAAUCUAGUAUUGAUCCGAGCGACCCUCUCCAAAAUCCUUAGCAUAGCUUGGGAUAAUGCGUCGUCCUCAGCCAUGCGAUCUUGAGACCCAGUCUCAGUAGUAGGCGACACUAGCGUCUCACUAGUAUCCAAAUUCGGUAUGCUACCCAAUGAAGAGGACUCAGAUCGAGCUCCUUUGUGACCUCUACCUCAGCCUCUAGUACCCCGUCCACAGAUACAUCGUAUGCUCAUUGUCUAAUCACGUUUAUCUGUAUUAACAGUUUUAUGAAUCAGUUACGGUUUCAGUGUUUAUUAACAAAUGUUUUAUGUAAAAUAGUAUCGGUUAUUCAAAGUUCGUUUUGUAAAUCACAGUCUUACUAUAGUUUUUAGUUUUUUUACAAUUUUUAUUAUACACUAACUAGAGUGUUUUCAGUACAGUUUACUACCUAUAGUAGAUUCAGAAUAUACUAUCCAUAACAGUUUCAGUUUAAAACAAAUCACAGUUCAAAAUACUUACAGAAUCGACACCGGAGACUCGGUGUACCACUUACUUAGUACAAACAUUUCAAAUCAUUUAGAAAUUAAUCAACUUUUCGAAAGCUCAAUUUUUACAAAACCCAUAAUCCACUAUCGAGUUCUGUAACUUGGCUCUGAUACCACUAAAUGUAACACCCCAAACUCGGCCUAGACGUUAUGGUCGUAUCUGUUAAUGUCACAUGAUAGUGUUUUUGAAACCUCGUUGUUACGAUGAAAACAUUUCAUGUUAUUAUCUUUAGUAAACCUUUGUUAGAACUUAGAAAGUUGUCUUUAUUCAUUUAAAACAUUUUUUUUGAAACAUCCCUCAUUGCAGAAGCUUUAAUAAAAUAGUCUAGGUGAUCAUGCGUUUAGAAAAUAUAACUUUAUGAAAACUGAAUUUCCUACGACCAGCAGGUAUAAAUCUAUAAAGUAAAAUAAAUAAAUAAAAACCCAAAUUUAAAACCAAAGUCUCAAAGGGUCCUUAAAUUACAACCCAAAUAAUCAAUAAUAAUCAAAUCAUAUAUCGUAAAUUGAAAACCAUGAACUCAAAAAAUUACUAUAGUCACCGUUGAGUCCUUCGUCGCACCGAUCUGUCUAAGUUUGGGGAUUACCUGUGAACAUUAAACAAAAAGGGUGAGUUUACGUAAACUCAGUGUGUAAUCUCGUAGAAAUAAACAAAUAAUCAGUAUUCACAGUGCACAGUUGAAUAGUCUUGGGCCUAAGCCCUUUUCAGUAUUAGUCAUAGUUUGGGCCUUAGCCCAUCUCAGUAUAGUGUUAGAAAUGCAAUAGGGUCUUAACCCAUCAUAGUAUCAGUAGUAGUAACAAUUAUGCAGCAGCAAAAUCCUACCCAACCAGCCUCUACACACCAUUUUCGUCUAACCCUACACUCCAUGUGGGGAUAUAAUCAACCCACCCAUCCCUACACUCUAAGUAGUACUAAAUGCGACACAAAACAGUAGUUUGCAACUGAGCUGCUAGUAAAUUAGGCUAAAAGCCUUUCAGAACAUUUCCUCCGAAUAACAACCCCUAACCUAAUGCAAUGCAACAUACAAUAGAUGACAUGCUAUUAUGCAAUUUCAGUACAUAUAUUCAGUUCAAAUAUUAACAUGCUCAGUACAUAUAUCAUUCAAUCAAUUUCACACAUUUAGGUGUCUAAGUAGCGCUUAUCAACCCUACAGUGGGUUCACAGUCGACUUGGGCGACCCGUGCAAUCUUACAAACAUUUCGGUGAAAAUAGGCUCACACGCCCAUGUAAUCUACCCGUGUGGCCCACUUGGCCCAAAUUGGCCUUGGCCGUGUGAUCCAUUUUUAAUGUAACCCGUGCUAGCUAAAUAUUCAUACAUGUUUUCACUAUUUACUUAUAUGUUCAUUCAAAAUUGUCUACUUGAGUCAUUGUCACUAAAUUAUUUAUAUCUUGAGCUACAGAAUUCCAAAUUAAGAUUCGCUUGAUGUUUUUGAAACUAGACUCAAAUACCUUUCUACCAUAAAAAUUUUAGAAUUUAUAGUUUAUCAAAUAAGUACAGUAAAAUCUUUAAAUUUAUCCCACUUCUGUUGUUUGACAGCUUCAACCUUUCCUUACUAAAAAUUAUUUAUCUCUUAGUACGAAUUUGGAUGAUGUUUCUAUUUGUUUCUCUUGAAAAUAGACUCAUUAAAGAUUUAAACAUAAAAAUUUAAGCCCAUAAAUAUUUUUUAAAAAUUUUUGGUGAUUUUCCAAAGUCAAAAUAAGGGAACCCAAAAUUAUUCUGACAUUGUCUCACAAAAUUUAUUAUAUCUCAUAAUUUAAAAUUCCAUUGAUUACACUGUUCCUUACAUAAAAGACUAGACUCAAUAAACUUCAAUUUCAUAUUUGAUUCAACCUCUAACUCAAUUUCUACUAUUUUUGAUGAUUUUUCAAAGUUAGACUACUGCUGCUGUCCAAAACUAUUUUAGUGCAAAAUGUUGAUUUCCAAGUUUAUAACACCCUUAUUUCCUUUUUCUAUAAUUUUUUGCAUCAUUUUCUCUUAUUUCUCUUAUGUCUCGACAGCAAACAAUUUUAGCUUUUCACUGAAUCUCAUUUUUUGCAUUUCGAGUACAUAACUGGUAUCGUUUCGCUGUAAAUACGCUCCCAAACACUCUAAGACCUAAAAAUCGGUAAUUAGAGCCCAAUUUAGAUCACUAACUAAAACUCAAAACUGAAAAUCGUCUACAUUGAAAUCGAUAGCGAACCUAAACACUUACCUGCAACGAACCAAAAUUUCUAAUGCUCAAUUUUCUUGUGAAGCCGCAUCUGAUUUCUGAUUUUCGCCUAAACCAAGAGAGCCAAAACAAUCUUUUUUAUAAACUAGCUAAAAAGCGAUAAAAUAGAGAAAGUCAGAUACUUACAGAAUGAGUGUAUACAAUUUCUGGCUGGAAAGUAGGCUAGUAGAAAAAUCAAACAAUGAGGGUGGACUAGGGAGCAAAAAUUUGGCAAAGCAAAGAAGAAGAAGACGACAGAAAAAUUGGGGAAAAGAGGAGAAUGCCGAAAUUUGGGAAAAUAAAAACCAAAUAGAAACUUAGAUGAUAUCGUUAGCUACCCCACAUCCCUAAAUUUUUUCCCACUAAUCCUACUAACCUACAACCACUCCAGAAUCCCACUCUGCCGAAAUACUUGUCCAUCACUGCGCAAAAAUAACACCUAUGCUCGAACAUGGAUUCAAACUCAGGACCUCAUGCAAUCAAACACUCCAUUUAACCACUAAACCAGCAAGCCCAUUUUGUUAUUUAAUUACCAACUAUUAAACUUAAGCCCUUUAGGCUAGGUUAAGGCUUUAUUUAUAAAAGUACUAAAAUUUACCCAAGUCAUGGCUUGAACUUGGGACCUCCCACACACACCCAAAACACUUAAGCAUUGAAGCAGACAAAUACUUAAUAUCACAUAUACACAAAAACAAGAAUUAAAAAUUUUGGGGCGUUACAAUGAGAAGGAAAAACUUAACGAAAGAAAUUGAAGUUUCUUGGGGCUACCUUUGUAGAAAUAAGAGAUCAAUAGAGUUUCUUGGAAUUGAAGUUACAGUUUCAAAUUGUAUUAGCUUUUAUGUAGUACAACAUCAAUAUCAAUGUCCAUCAUCUUAUGUACUUUUUUAUUUGUUUACUUUUGUACAUUGAGUUGAAUGUUAGUGGUAUAUGUUAGUGGUAUACAUUUUAGCUAAAUGUUAGUGUAUUUUAAUUGUUGGAUCGAUUUUUGUAGUGAAUAUUAAAUCUUUAUUUUAAUUUUAAUUUUAUAUUUUUUUGUUGUAUUUAUAGCACAAUUCCUAUCAUUAUUCACUGUAAAUAUUUAUAAAAAUAUAUUAAUAUUGAAAUAAUAAAAAAUAGAAAAAAUUACAUUAUACGUGUCUAUUCCAAUCUUUUUAAGAUUACCUUAGACGGGUUUAUCCCAACCUUUUUUUAAAGGUUGCCUUAGACAAGAUUUAUCCCAACCUUUUUAAGGUUGCUCUAAACGGGUCUAUCCCAACCUUUUUUAAAAGUUGCCUUAGACAAGGUCUAUCCCAACCUUUUUAAAGUUGCCUUAGACGGGUCUAUCCCAACCUUUUUUAAAGGUUGCCUUAGACAUGGUCUAUUCCAACCUGUUUAAGGUUGCCUUAGAUAGGUCUAUCCCAACCUUUUUUAUAGGUUGUCUUAGACAAAGUCUAUCCCAACCUUUUUAAGGUUGUCUUAGACGGCUCUAUCCAAACUAUUUUUAAAAGUUGCCUCAGACAAGAACUAUAUCAACCUUUUUAAGGUUGUCUUAGAUAGGUCUAUCUCAACCUUUUUCAAAGGUUGGCUGUAACUAGGUCUAUCCCAACCCUUUUUAAUGGUUGGCCUUGACUAGGUCUUUCCCAACCCUUCAAUAAGGGUCGGCUUAUGUUGACUUAUGCUGACGUUUUUUCAAAAGUGUUGUGGAGCCUACGCCAACUGUAUUAUAGACAACCUUUUCGAAAGCAUCAGGAGAACCGUCGCGAAACUUAUGCCAACCUUUUUUACGUUGUCUUAGGUCAAAAAAAAGUGUCACGAUAGGCUUAUUUUAUUGUAGUGAUAGUAAUAUUUUUAGCUCUUAAAAAUCUAAAUUAUAUAUAAUAUGUAUUUACAACUCUAAAUAUUAAAGCUUGAUUAGAUAUAGGUUAUUUGAACUUUUCAUCUUAAAUAAAUUUGAGGAAAUUAAAUAUGGAAAUUUUAAUUAAAUUAUUUUAAUAUAUAUACACACCAUUAUUUUCAUUCAUUAAUAAUUUUAAACUAACAUUUUUUCUUCAGUAAAUUUCACUUUAAUCCCUUUCUUUACUUUUCUAAUGUUAUUUUUAUUUUUUUGUCCUUUAUUUUUCUUCUAUUUUAUAAAUUCUUUGAUCUUAUAUGUUUCAAGUAUCAAAGUGUAAAUAAAUAUAAAUAUUAAAAAAUGCCAAAUGUAACUCUAUGUGAUAUUAUUUAAUUGCUACUCAUUUCUUUUUGUUUCAAAAAACAAUGGAAAACUUAAGAAUUUUAAAGUUUUUGGUAUCAAAUAUAUAUAUCUAUACAUUUACAUUUUAAACUCCAAACUUAAAUAAAUAGAGAAAAUCUAAAAAUUUAAAAUAAAAAUAAAUAAAAAAUGAAUAUUUAACUUUUUUAGUACACAUGUAUCAUUCAGACAAUUUUAAUAUAACAAAUAAUCAAGUAAUUGGGAUUUAAUAUUUAAUUAAAAAUAUUCUUCUAAAAAUUGUAAAUCGCAUAACAUUGAAAGUCUUUAAAUAAUAUACUAAAGGGGUGAGCAUUCAAUCAAAUCGAAUGAAAAAAUUUUGAGUUAAUCGAGUUGACGAAUAAUAUUUUAUUAUCCUAACUAGAUUUAAAUUUUUCUCGAAUAGAGUCUAGUGAGAUGGAACUCGAAUCGAAUCGAAUAUAUUUGUUCGAGUUAAAUUAAGGUCCUUGUAAUCAUUGUCACCCACCGCAAUCAGAUUUGUUAUUAACUUUCACUCCCUCAUAAUUUAUUUAUUAAUCUUUUAUAUAGGGUUAGAUUCUUUGCUUGCUUAGUUGCUUCAAUUAUCUUCUGAUUUUGUCACUAUGUAUUCUGAAAUUUAAAAAUAUAUUAAAUGUAAAAAAUGUGAUUUUUUUAAUAAAAAAAUAUCUUAAAGGUAAAAUAUAAAAUUGAUACCAACAUAAAAUUUUAGCACGAAUAUUUUAUGCCAUCAUCAAUAAUUUAAUUUUAACAAAAAAAAUUAUAAAGAUUCAAUAUGAUAAAAUAAUUCAAUAAUAUUGAUAAGCUAUAAAAGUAACAUAUUUUAAUCUCAAUCUUAAUGUGUUUUUAGAUGAUUAAUUAUGCAAAUUAGUGAAUUUAAUGCUCCUAAUCCAUUAAAAUAAUGCAUGGUACUUUUGAUAUUGUAUAGUUCUUUUGAUGUCAAAAUAAUGCAUUAAAAUUUAUUCAACUGUCAAUUUAAGUGGAAAAAGUUGGAGAUGAAAUUUGUAAUUAAACCUUCUUUAAUUUACGUCUUUUUCCCUAAAAAUAUAUUUUUUAAAAAUAUUAAAUGUUAUAAAACUUGGGACAAAUAUUAAAUGUUGGAAAGUGGUUAAGAAAAUCAUUAUCAUUAUAAUUCAUCCUCAUUAUUGAUCAGUGUCACUGAAGCAAUGAAUUUCAAUGGGUUUGGUAAUGGAUGAGAGUUUGCUAAAAAUCUUCCUUUUGGUUUGUAACCAUUUUCACUUACAUAGUCUAGGAUAAGAAUGUUAAAAACCUAUGUUAUAUCCAUAGAAAUUGAGGGCUAUAUUUCUUAUCAUCACAACAAGCGCAAGCAUUGUUGGGGUAUAUCCACUUGUCUUAAACCACUAGAAUGUACAAGUAGCAAAAGAUAAUAAUGAUUAAAAGCUUGGGUAAUUAAUUUUGUAGUAUAUAGUCGGUCCAACACUGACUUAUAUCUAAGCAAAGUGCAUGCAUCAACUACAACAUUUUUUCUCUGAUUACCUUCUCCUUUCUUCUAUCAUUCUAGAGUGUAAACAAUUCACUCAAAGGCAAACAAUUUAUAGAAUUGUCUAACCAUGUGUAUUGCUGCUUUCAUUUGGCAAGCUCAUCCACUCUACCCUCUACUGCUUUUACAAAACAGAGAUGAAUACCACAACAGGUAUGUUUCCAUUUCACUUCAAUCAUUCUUCUCUUGAAAAUAUAUUUAUCUUAUUAAUAUAUAUGGGUGGAAUUGAAGGCCUACGAAGGCACUUGCAUGGUGGGAUGUUGAUGGUUGUGAGAUAUUAGGAGGAAGAGAUGAAGUAGCAGGAGGGACAUGGUUGGCUUGUUCAAGACAAGGCAGAGUUGCUUUUCUCACCAAUGUGUUGGAGCUUCAUCCCCGUCCCGACGCCAAGACCCGCGGUGAUCCCCGUCCCGACGCCAAGACCCGCGGUGAUCUUCCACUUCUUUUCCUGGAGGUAAAUAAAUCUAUAUGCCUUUUUUUUCUUCUUUUUAUUUGGUCGAAGCCAGCUCACCUAUCAAAAACGGUGGUCAUUCAUUAAAAGUAAACACACUGUUGUUGAUACAGAGCACAAAGAGCCCCAUGGAAUUUGCGGAGCAACUGGCCACCGAUGCUCAUCAGUACAAUGGAUUUAACCUCAUAGUGGCUGAUAUUCCUUCCAAAUCAAUGGUUUACAUCUCGAACAGGCCAAAGGGGGAACCCAUUAACAUUCAACAGGUUUCUCCGGGGCUUCAUGUUCUUUCAAAUGCCAAGCUUGACUCUCCCUGGCAUAAGGUACAUUAACUUGUUUCAUGUGUUAUAUUCCUAUAAAGUUAUGCCCAAAGGCAGAUGGACGCUGGAGAAUUGAUUCAUCCACUCCCAUUGUGCAGGCUUGGCGGUUAGGUAAAGGCUUCAAACAGAUGCUCAAUAGAUACGGUAAAAAUGAAGUAAACGUGAAAGAAAUGGUUGAGAAACUUAUGAAAGAUAAAGUGAAAGCUGAUAAAAGUAAGUUACCUGGCAUAUGUGAUCUCGACAUGGAGUUCAACCUUAGCUCCAUAUUUGUUGAAAUGGACACCCCACUGGUAAAAUUCCAAGUUCUAAACCAUCCUCCUACUAAAAUUUAUGUAGAACAAUGUUGAAGCCAAUAAAAAUUGUGGUUGUUUCAACUUACAUAUCCAUCUAUUUUCCGGAAUACAGGGGCUUUAUGGAACAAGGAGUACUGCAGCAAUAACCGUAGGUGCUGGUGGGGAAAUUAGCUUUUAUGACGAGUAUCUAGAAAAGGGUGUGUGGUUUGAGAGAACAGUCAAUUAUCAUAUCCAGAAGCUCAAGUAGAUUGAAUCCAUGUCAAAGCAAGGGAUUUUACUACUCAAGUUAUUUAUUGAUUUGCGAAUGUUAUAAGCAUUUUAAGUUUAUACUAAUUGUAACAUAGGAGUGAUGUAUGAUGUAUCUCAUUCUUAAUACUUUACAUUUUCACUUUAAACUCCAAACUUAAAUAAAUAGAGAUAAUCUAAAAAUUUAAAAUAAAAAUAAAUAAAAAAUGAAUAUUUAACUUUUGUAGUACACAUGUAUCAUUCAGACAAUUUUAAUAUAACAAAUAAUCAAGUAAUUGGGAUUUAAUAUUUAACUAAAAAUAUUCAUCUAAAAAUUGUAAACCGCAUAACAUUAAAAGUCUUUAAAUAAUGUCACAUACAUGAUUUUUUUUUUGUAAAUAUACAUGGUCUGUUUUUAUUUAUAAAACUUCCUUUUACCUCAUUUUUCUUCAUUAAUGUCUACAAAUUUGAAGGGAGUCAUGUACCGAUUAAAUUUGAAUCCUAUCAAGAAUGAGCUUUUGAUUGUUAUAUUUGAUGUUUUCCUAUUAGUUUAAGAUCCCCAAUAAUUAAGCAUGCUUUCUUAAUAAUUGGAAAAUAUUUAUUUAAAAUAUUACUGUAACAGCUUAAUUUUAGGCCUAGUCGGAACAGUAGUUUCGGGACCACGAAUCUGACGAGGAAAAUUUUAUUUUUUAUUAUAUUUUUAUAGUCUACAAUUUCACAGAAUGAUUUCGUGAAAAUUUUGUUCAAAAAUUUCGACGUUUGUGCACUCAAUUUAGCCAAAAGGACUAAAUUGUAAAAAGUGCAAAAGUUGAGUUCUACAUGUUAGAAGUGUCCAAUUGUUAUGAAAUUUUAAAUUGGAGGUCCUUAAAUGGUAAUUAGACCAUUGGUUAACUUUUUGGACAAAAAUGGACAAGAGAUAAGUGAAAUAAGAUAUUUUUAAGUUUGGGGCAUUUUGGUCAUUUAGUAAUUAAAAGAAUUAAAAAGGCCAAAAUAGCCAAAAAUUUGUCCAUCUUCUCCAUGGUGAACGAAAUCAGCAAGGGGAAGCCAUGGUUAGGGUUUUCAAGCUUCCAAGCUCCAUAGCAAGUGAUUCCAAGCCCCAUUUUUAAUGUUCUUUACAUUUUUGGAGUCUCAGUAACUUGAUUUAGCUUAUUCUAACAAUAAUUUAACCUAGGGUUCAUAUUUGGAAAAAUACCCAUAGGUGAAAUGUGUUUAUUUUGAUGUUUUAUGGUAGUGUAUGAAGCUUGAAAUUAUGUUAAAUAACUUUUGCUAGCCGAUUUUAAGUGAAAACGAGUAAAUUGACAUAAUCGAUAAAAAUACCUAAUGUUCAUAAGUAAGUGUUAGAGUGAGAAUUUGAUGUUGCCAUAGAAGGGAAAAAUGUUCAGCAUGUCAUAAAACAUAAGAAAAAGGAAUAACGUUUAAUCUCCGAGCCUAGGGGCAAAAUUAUAAUUUUGUAAAACUUUAGGGGCAAAAAUGUAAUUUUGCCAAAAUGUGAUUUUUGGACUGGAUUGAAUAAUGUGAGUGUUAAAUAAGUUAAAUAUGUUAUUAUAAGUCAAUAAAGACAAGGAAAUGACUUUGAUUAGUGAAAAAGAAAAAAAAAAGAAGAAAAACUGAGAAAUUUCCCGAUUGAACAUUCGGAAUAAAAAGGGAUAUGAAUGAAGUGACAGAAAUGAUCACAUGCGUGGCAUGGACUGUGUGUAGGCCACUAUGUGAAAGUGAAAGUGAUGGUCACGUGUGUAGUACUAUGUGCAGGCUACUACGUGUACCAGAAUGAUAGGUCGCAGGUGUAGUACUAUGUGCAGGUUACUAUGCGUACCGGAUAGCUUCGAUCACGUGUGUAGUACUAUGUGCAGGCUACUACGUGUAUCGGAUAGUGAUGGUCACGUGUGUAGUACUAUGUGCAGGCUACUAUGUGAACCGGUAUCAUUAAUUAUAAGGUGGUUGCUAUGUGUUAAUCCCACAAGAUAUCAUUGAUUACAAAGGGUAGUUGCUGUGUGCUGAAUCCAUCGUAUAUAUGUUAUUAUUCUAAACUGUUCAUCAGGAAAUUGACUAAGUGAAAAUACAUGAGAUCAUGUAAUGAUUAAGUGUGAUUGAAUGAUGAAUACAUGUGUGGAAUUGAAUUGAAUAAUGAUUGAAAGUGAAAAGUGAAAUUAUGAAAAAGUAAAACUAGCAACAAAUAGUUUUAGACAGUAACAAUAGUGUGACUUUGAAAAAUCACCAAAAAUGGUGGAAAUUGAAUUAAAGAGUGAAUAAGAUAUGAAAUGAAAGCUUAAUGAGUCUAUUUCUACAUAAAAGAAACAGAGCAAGCAAAAGAGUUAUAUAUUUUGAGAUAUUUGAAUUUUAGUGAGGCAGGGUUGGAUUGAUUUUGGAAUCCCCUAUUCUGAAUUUGGAAAAUAAUUAAAAAUUGUAAAAAUAAUAAUUAUGAGUUAUAAUUUAUAUUCUUAGAAUCCUUAAUGAGUCUAUUUUCAAAGGAAAUAAACAUAAAUAUCAUCUGAAUUCUGUAAAAUGAGAUAAUUUAUUUUUAGUGAAGAGAUGUCAGAGAUGCUAAGCAGUGAAAUAGGGGUGAGUUUAAAGAAUAAACUGUACUAAUUGGCUAAGAAAAAAAUUCUGAAAAUUUUAUGGUAAGAAUAUAUGUGAGUUUAGUUUUGGGUAAAAUUAACGGAACUUAAUUUGGAGCUUUGUAGCUCAGGAUAAAAAUAAUUUAGUGACUGUAACUCGACUAGAUAGCUUUUGAAUUUAAAUAUAAGUGAAUAGUGAAAUUAUGUAUAAUGCUAUUUAAGCAUGUUAUAUACAUAAAGGAUGUGGGAUGGAGAGGAGGAGGAGGACAAUAAAGCAUAUGCGUGUGGUAGAUUAGCAUGAAAUGAUGUCGUGAGUGGCUCAUGAAUUAACUCAUGUUGGUAAGUUGAUGCAUAAUUAUAGUAUUCAAAUAUAUUACAUAUUUGUAAUAUUUUGCUAUGUGAUUCGGAAAAAGGGGAAUAAAUAGCAUAAUGAAAAUUCGGCCAUGGUGCUAGUUUAUGUUAAAGGAGUGUUUUAUGGCAUAUCUUAAGUAAUGGAAUGUUAUGAAUUUUGAGAUUAAUUUGCUAGUCAAAUAAAUGACAAAUGAAUUGAUUGCGUAUUCGUAAUUUUGACAUAUGCUUGGUAUAUGAAACGUAAUAAUAUAUGCUUGAACAAACUUUAAGUAUUCGAAUGACAUGGAUUUGAUGGUGAUAAGAUUCGAACAUUGAAUUCAUGAAGCACAAGUGAUGUAUUAUUGUUGUGUGAUAGCUUGGUUUGAGAAAUUGGUUAGGUAAAUGGUAAGUUAAAGCAUUUAUGGAUAUAGAAGAAAAUUUGGAGUGAAUAUGAAAUUUAGCUCAAUUAAAUGAUUUCAUCAAUUAAACAUUGUGUAUACCAGAAUGUGUUAGUGAAUUACAUAUUCAUAAAUUGACAUUCGAAGUUCAGUUAGUGAUAUAUGAAAAUAACAUGAAAAGAUUUAUGAUUGUGAUUAAUAUUGAUUCUAACUUAAAGUGGAUUCUUCAAUAUUGGAUUGAUUUAACGGAUAUAUUGAGCAUAUGAAUGGGUAUGUAUUGGGCCUCGUAAACCUUAAUUAGCGACUCAAAGAUAAUAAUUUGAAAGUUUUUAAUUUGAAUGAAAUUUUAUAACUCAGUUUAAUAUGUUUAUAAGUGUAUUUAUUCUAAUAAUGCCUCGUACCCUAUUCCAGCGUAGAAUACGAGUAAGGGGUGUUACAAUGUGACAUCACUAGAUUCGGCCCUAAUGUUUAGGCCGGGUUUGGGGUGUUACAAUUACUUUUGAAAGUAUUUCUAUGAAGCGUGUCUCGUAUUUUCGGUCAAGCUAAAUGGCAAAGCAAAGGCAACAUUGAGACAUGGAGCAUAGGAUGUCACAAUGACGUGACGACAUUCGAAACUAAAUCGAAGCAGGGCCGACGUCACGAUGAGGGGACCUACGAUGUCGUGACGAUGCAACGAGGCAGCCACGUCUCUUGACAACUUAAUGGAUUUUCCUUCUCCCAGUUGAACUUUGAUUUUCGGUUCUCUUUUCUCAAUUUAACUCUAACUAUUCUAGGGAUAUUUUUGUAAUACCCUAUAUGUAGCACCUUUAACCCGUAUCCAUUGUCAGAUUAGAGUUACGAAAUAUUACCGAGUAAAACAAAACAUUUAACUUCACAACAGAAACAAUUAUAUUAAUUAAAUGUAAUCAUGGUAAAAAUAUAAUUACGGGUCUUAACUCGAGUUUACAGGGCCUUAAAAACAGUUUUGGAACAUUCAGGGAUCAAUUCGAACAAAUCAGAAAAUUUAAAAAAACAGGAAAAUUUUGAAAACAGGAAUCACACUAUCGUAUGACAUAGUUCAGAUCUUGUGGACAUUCGAAGUCUAGACACACAGCUUAUCCCAAGCCGUGUGAGUAUUCGGAAUAAGGCUACACGGACAUGUCAUAUGUCGUGUGCCAAAUCAUGUGUACUGUAAUAACCAAUUUUACCCGAGCUUAUUAAAAUUAAAUUAAAAUAAUAUAAAAAUCAAAUAAUAAUAAAAUGUCCAAUAACAGUCCAAUAAAAUAAACCCAUAAACCGAAUACACCCCAGCCCAAUAACCAAUUACAGGCCCAAUUCAAACCUAAUACCCAAAUUGCAACCCACAAGCCCAAAAGCAAGAAAAAUAGAAAACCCUAGACAGUAGCAGCUUCCAGCGCCGUUCUCCCUAUGUAGCCUCCGCGCGUGCUACGCCACCACCACGCGCGUUCCUCACAUGUGAACUAGGCCUCCACUCCAGCUUGCACCUGUAACAGACGUAACAAACUAGUAGAGAAAGCAAAGGAAAAAUGACAGCAAGGAAAAGGCAACACAGCAAAUAGGAAAGCAGUAAAUAAAAAAUGUAAAAAAUAUAUUUCGAUUGAUUUUAUUUUUAUUUUUAUUUUUAAGGAUUUCGGUUAUAAAAAGGCCAUUUGAGCACUAUAAAUGUGGACGCAUACAGAGAUUGAAUACAAAAAACAAAAAAAAAAUUCAAAGAAAAAGGUAAAUAGAGUUUUGUAAGAAAAAAAUGACAUUCUGCAUUCAUGCAAACAUCAUUCAUACAUUUGAAUUAUACAAGUCAUGUUCCCCCAGAGAACAAACCGGUGAAACUAUAAAGCCUGAGCAGCAGUGGAAUAGGUUGAAAAUAGCAGAUCUUGUUUUUCUGUACUGGCAGCGAAGCAGAUCGAAGAUAACAAGUCUUAUCUCCCUGACUUGCAGCGGAGCAGACUGAAGAUAGCAGAUCUUGUCUUCCUGUACUGACAGUGAAGUAGAUCGAAGACACCAGUCUUAUCGCCUUGAUGUUGCAAUGGAACAGAUUAAAGCUAAAGAUAGCGAAUCUUGUGUCCCUGCCGUUGCAACGGAGUAGAUUAAAGCUGAGGGCAGCAAAUCUUAUCUCCUUAGCGUUAAGACUUGGAUUAGCUGAAGUGGAGCAGAUUAAAGCUGUAGGCAGCGAAUCCUAUCUAUUUGGCAUUACAGUGGAAUAGAUUGAAGCUACAACAGCGAAUCUUACUUCCCUGGUGGUGUAGUGGAACAAAUUGAAGCUACGAUGGCGAAUCUAGUUUCCCCGACACUGCAGUUAAAUAGAUUGAAGCCAUAACGGUGAAUUUUACUUCCCUGGCGGUGUAGUGGAACAUAUUAAAGCUACGACGCCAAAUCUUGUUUCCCCGACAUUGCAGUUAAAUAGAUUGAAGCUACAACAGCAAAUCUUACUUCCCUGGCGGUGCAGUGGAACAGAUUGAAGCUACAACGGCGAAUCUUGUUUCCCCGACAUUACAGUUAAACAGAUUGAAGAUGGCGAAUCUUAUCUCUCUAAGGUUACAGUGGAGCAGAUUAAAGCCAAUAAUCCUAUCUCUCUGAGGUUGCAGUAGAGCGGAUUGAAGUGAUGAUCUUAUCUCUCUGAAGUUACAGUAGAGCAGAUCGCAUCCAAUUUUAUCUCCCUAAAGUUGUAGUGGAGCAGACAGAAGAAACCAAUCCUAUCUCCCUGAAAUUGCAGGGGAGCGGAUUAAAACUACAGAUCUUAUCUCUCUGAAGUUGCAAUAGAGCAUAUCACAACAGACUUAUCUUUUUAAAGUUGCAGCAGGACAAGUUGAAGCUACAAGUCUUAUCUCCCUGAAGUUGCAAUGGAGCAGACUGAAGAUAGUAAAUUUUUUUCUUUUGAAAAGACUACAAGUUACAAAUUGCAUCUCCCUAAUGUUACAGUGGAGUAUAUUGAAGCACCAAUUCCUAUACUUCUAAAGAUGCAGUAUGAUGGAAUGAGGCUACUUGAAGAAGAAGAGCACCAAGGUCCAGCAUGACCAGGCAAAAUUGGUCAUUUUUAAAGUCUUUGCUUUGUUCCCGUUACACGACAACAAGCAAAGAAGGGCAGCUGUAAUAACCAAUUUUACCCGGGCUUAUUAAAAUUAAAUUAAAAUAAUAUAAAAAUCAAAUAAUAAUAAAAUGUCCAAUAACAGUCCACUAAAAUAAACCCAUAAACCGAAUACACCCUAGCCUAAUAACCAAUUACAGACCCAAUUCAAACCUAAUACCCAAAUUGCAACCCACAAGCCCAAAAGCAAGAAAAAUAGAAAACCCUAGACAGCAGUAGCUUCCAGCGCCGUUCUCCCCAUGUAGCCUCUGCGCGUGCUACGCCACCACCACGCGCGUUCCUCGCAUGCAAACCAGGCCUCCACUCUAGCUUGCACCUGCAACAGACGUAACAAACUAGCAGAGAAAGCAAAGGAAAAAUGACAGCAAGGAAAAGGCAACACAGCAAAUAGGAGAGCAGUAAAUGAAAAAUGUAAAAAAUAUAUUUCGAUUCAUUUUAUUUUUAUUUUUAAGGAUUUCAGUUAUAAAAAGGUCAUUUGAGCACUGUAAAUGUGGACGCAUAUAGAGAUUGAAUACAAAAAACAAAAAAAAAAUAUUCAAAGAAAAAGGUAAACAGAGUUUUGUAAGAUUUUUUUAAAUUUUUCUUCACUUUUCUUUGUUUUUUUUUACUGCUUUGUUCAUUAAUAAUAUGUGUAAGGCCCAAUUUUUGUCCGGCCUGUUACAGAAAUAAAAAACCAAACAAAACCAAAAUGUUUCAGUCCAAUUUUGCUAAGCCCAAUAACCCAAUAGCACAGCCCAAAUCAAUUUAUCCUAAAACUAACCCAGCUACAAUCACCGAAACCCUAAAAUCCCUUAGCCACCGCCUCCAGCAAGUGUCCAAUCAGCGCACGUUUCGGAACCAGCCCUCUUCUCCGCGUCGUGCUCUCCACGUCUACCUGCGAAAACGGACUAAAAGAGUCCCAAUAUUGUAAAAUAAAAAUACAAAGUAUUUUCUUAGGCUAUAAAAAGCCUAACUUGUACACUGAUAAAAAUAAAAGAAUAGAGAACAGAAUAAAUAUUUUUACAAAGGUGAUUUUUUUUUGUUUUAUUCCGCAGUGACCAUUUUUUAUUUACAUAUGUUUUAUUUUCUUUUAUUUUCAUUUAUUUCGUAUAAAAUAACAAAGAAAAAAGAAAAGGAAAACAUACCUUUUGUCGGACUUGCCGGAUUGUUGCCAUCUCCAGCGCUAGGAGUUAGGGCUGAAAACCCUAGCAGAGGGCAUUUAGUUUUUUUUUUCCUUUCAUUCUGCUGCAAAUGUUUUUUAGAGAAAAAAAUUGUUUUAAAUAACAGAGCAAAACGGCGCCGUUUUACCCAGGCAUGACCCGCGCGGUGACCCGACCCGGAGGGAGGAUUCGCGCGUUUUGGUCGAAGGGAAAAUUUGCGCAAUUGGUCCCUCCCUUUUGCAAUGCGCUUCAAUUAAACCUGUUUUGUUUUUUUUAAUUUGGCCGCAUAUUUUAUUUUUGUUUCAAUUUGGUCCCUUGCUGCGCAGCAUUUUGGAGGGUAGGAUUAAUUUCCCUUCUAGUCCCCCAUUGUUGUUCGCGCGUUCAAGUUGGUCCUUUUUUUAUUUAUUUUUGAAUCUACCCCAUCUUUUCGUUUUUAAGUUCAAUUUAGUCCAUUUUUUAGCUUUUUCUUUUUUAUGUUUGUCAUUGUACCAUUAUUAUUAUUAUUAUUAUAUUAUUUGCUAUCAUUAUUGUUAUUGUAUUUUCUAUACAUAUAAAUACGCAUAUUUUUUAUAUAUAAUAUAUAAGCAUAUUUUUAAUAUAUAUAUUUAUAAGUACGCAUCUAUUUUAUACAUACAUACUUUUUUUUUUAUUUCCUAACCUUUAUGUACACGUAUAUAUACUUCUAUAUUUUGGUUUCAAAAUUUUUUAUACAUAUGCAUGUUCGUUUUUUCUUAUAUAUAUUAUUUUUCAUUUUUUUUACAAAACGUAUAUAUAUGUGUAUACAUACACAUUUUAAAAUACACACAUGUUUCCCAUAUUUUACAAUUCAAAAUACACAUUUUUUAUAUUAUAUAUAUACAUUCUUUAUAUUUUUGAGUUAUUAUAGACAUUUUUAUUAUUCUAUAUAUACUCCGUUAUUUAUGUACAUAUCAUACAUAUAUAUAAAUUUUUUAAUAUAUGUAUACAUAUUUUCAUGUUUUACCAAUACAUAUAUACUUAUACAUUUUUUUUCUGUAAAUAUAUACACAUAUACAUACUUUUAUAGUUUUAUUUUAUUUUCACGGUUUUCAAAUGCACAUACGUGCAUUUUUUAUGAGUUUUUGAUUGAUAUAUUCCAUUCCAUUUUUUUAUAUGUAUCCUUGUAUAUGUGUGUAAAAUAUAUGCGUACACAUAUUUUCAAAUUUUCUUGUAUAUUGUACUUGUAUGUAUAUAUUUUGUAAAUACAUAUUCAUAUAUGUUUUAAAUUAACGUUUUGUUUCAUAUUGUACGUUAACUUUUAACAUACCUUUUGGGAAAUAUAUUUUGGUUUUGUCAGUAUAUCAAAAUCAUUUUCUCUUGAUUCAAAGUUUUUUUGAAUAAAAGCAAUAUUCAAGUUUGAGAUUUUUGAGGAAAAUUGAGCCCUAACGUAUUGGGUUCUGAUUUUCUUUGUUAAUCUUAAAUAACCGAGGAUAUUCUUUAUUCAAAAUGCAUGAGUAUAAAGAUCAUUUUUGGGAACUUAACUUGUUGUGUCCUAAUGUAUUGGGCGUGACAUAUUACUUUCUCAAAAUGAAGAUUUUCACAUAAAAUAAAAGUGAUAUUCAAAGUUCGGGGAUUUUGAGAAAUUGUACCCUAACGUAUUGGGACUCGAUUUCUUUACAUGACUUGAACAAUUGAUUAUCCUUUUCAAAUUUCAUCAUUUAAGUUGUUUUAAAAAAAAUUAGCCCUCGACAUUAAGACAUUAAAUAAUUAAUUUGGUACAGAUUUUGGGUGUCACGAGGGUGCUAACCCUUCCUCGUGCGUAACUGACUCCCGAACCCAUUUUCUCAAAUUUCGUAGACCAAAAUACGUUUUAAGGUGAACUGAUCACACCUCAAUAAAAGAUCGGUGGUGACUCCAAUUUUGUUUUUUUAAAAAGUCGACAACUACAUUUUUGAUUUAGAAAUGGUUUCGACAGCUUGGCGACUCCACUGGGGACACUAGAGAGUCGAGCCAUAAAUUGAUUAUUUUUGUCUUGUGAUUGAAAAAUCAAAUUUGUUUUAAAAUCAUGAUUUCCCUUUACAUUCAUUGAUUUUCAUCAUGAUAUAUUUGCAUGAUGGGUCCGAGUCGAUUAAUUUGUAUUUGCAUUAUGCAUUGCAUUGGUUGGUCAGUGUUACCUCUUUAAGUGGGAGCGAGAAACUAGUCCUUCGUGAGGUUUUGACCUCCGUGCAGGGUAGUAGACCGCUUUCGGGAUACAUCCGUACCUAUGUCUUCGUGAGAUUUUCAUCUCCGUGCAGCCAUAGGGAAAUGUAUUCCCUUGAACUGAACUCAGUCCAUAUGAGCCUAUAAUGGGUGAGGAUCGAGGAAUCUGCUGGUUCGGGUACCUUUGCUCUAGAAACUAAACCUCAUAUACUGAGAUUUAGGGACUUGCCCUAGGUAGAGCUAUACCAAACCCUAGAGGAGUCCUGAAUAGGUUUUAUUAUUUCCUAUGUACGUUGAAUUAUGAUUUUAUGCAUGAUACUAACUUGUGUGUUUUGUUUUGGCGGUAUGGCAUUUUGACUGCAUGGCAUUUCAUUAUAGAAAAAAAAUGUUGAUUCAUGUUUGGUUGUUAAAUAGAGAGCUUGCUACGGAAAAUAGAUUUCUUGAUAAGGUGAAAGAUAAUACGGUUGUCUGAGUAUAGUCUAAGAAAACGUGACGCGAAAGGUAAUAGCGUAACAAGAGGAGUAUACGACUUUGCUGCGUUGCCCAAGGAUUCAAAUUGUCAAAGAUUAUUCAAGAGUCAUCAAACGUCCUAACCUCUUAAAGAAGCUCAUGGGCAUGAGUGAGCAAAGAGAUACGACCUAGAUCAAACAAAAUGGAGCUAAGAUUCGCAAAAUGCAUCUUAAUGUUCGAAUGGUCGAUGCCUUCACUUGGAGUACGAGCACAAAGCCGUAUAUAUAUAUCCGCUUUGUGUAAAGAGAUUUGUUUUCUAGUGAAGUUUUUCUAAUAAAGAAUUGAACUAGAAUCAACGUCUCUUUUUGCAUUUAUUUCAUGCAUUUGCAUUACAUUACAUCACAUGCAUUAAACACCGUAAAAGGAUCCUAAUUAACUAAAUCAUUGCUCAGUUAACCUGGAAACCAACCAACCAACCAAACACCAUUAUGACACUUGAGCAAAGAUUAAAGAUAUGGAUCAGAGAUUGGAAAAGCUCGAAUAGUACCAGAAGAAGAUGCAAGACCGACUUCAGCUGCAAGUGCAAGAACGGUUGGACAAGAUGCAAUAGGAUAUGUCAGAGAAGAUACAGGAAUCCCAAAAGGAUAUGAUGGCGAAGCUGACCCAACUAUUGACUGGAGGAAGUGAUAAGGGAAAAGGGACCUGUAGCUAAUGUCGAAGAAGGCAACGAGGAUGAACCUCUCUAUCCUCCAGGCUUUACUCCUCCACAUGUACGAACUCAAGCUGAGGUAUACCCGCACAAAUCUAUUGUCACAAUCAGGCCUCAGCAGUUCCAGGCCGGUACUUCAAAUUUCCAAGCUGGAUCGGGCUCUAACCCCGGGAACUACCCUAUUAACUCUGCCAUUCCUGACUUCGAUGAAAUGGCUGAAAAGGAAAAAAUAAAUGAAGAGUUACCAAGGCAGUUAGAAGAGAGGUGUAAAUGGCUCGAAGAGAAGUUCAAGGCGAUGGAGAUCACUGAAAACUAUCGUGGGAUCAACGCUAAAGAACUGAGUCUAGUCCUAAAUUUGGUACUCCCUCAUAAGUUUAAGAUGCCGAAAUUUGAAAAAUAUAAUGGGACAAGUUGCCCAGAAGCACAUAUCACCAUGUUCUGCAGGAGAAUGGCUGGAUAUGUUAACAAUGACCAGCUACUGAUUCAUUGUUUCCAGGAUAGCCUUACAGGGGCAGCAUCUAAAUAGUACAAUCAACUGAGCCAUACCAUGAUAGGUUCAUGGAGGGACUUAGCACAAGCGUUCAUGAAACAGUACAGUCAUGUAACAGACAUGGUUCCUGACAGAAUCACCCUUCAGAAUAUGAAAAAGAAGCCAAACGAGAGCUUUAGGUAAUAUGCACAAAGGUGGAGGGAGGUGGCUGUUCAAGUUCAGCCACUGCUCUUGGAAAGAGAAAUGUCAAUGCUCUUUAGAAAUAUAUUGAAAGCCCCGUUCAUUACGCAUAUGUUAGGAAGUGCUACAAAAAGCAUUUCUGACAUAGUUAUGAAUGGUGAAAUGAUCGAAAAUGCUAUAAGGAGUGGGAAAAUCAAUGCAGAGGAGAGUAACAAGAGGCCAGUCUCAAGAAGAAGAGAAAAUGAGGUGAACAACACGGGUUACUCUAAAUCAGUUACUAUGAGUCAGCCAAGAAAGUUGGUUGCUAACCAACAAGGUUCAUCAAGACAAGAAGAUGGUACAAGACAAAACACUAAGAGGCCCCAAUUCACGCCAAUUCCGGUGUCGUAUAGGGAGUUAUAUCAAAGAUUUUUUGAUGCACAUGUUGUUUCCCCUUUUCAUGUAAAGCCUCUACAACCUCCGUACCCCGAAUGGUAUGAUGUGAACGCACAAUGUGAAUACCAUGCGGGAAUUACGGGACACUCAAUAGAGAAUUACACUGCCUUCAAGAAGCAAGUUGAAAGACUCAUCAACACGGGUAUUGUCAAGUUUGGUGACUCAUCUAGUGCAGAAAAUCCGCUACCCAAUCAUAUUGAUAAUAGAGGUGAGAUUUUCACAUCGACGCCGUAUGUGCAGACACAACCAAAAGGGUUAUUGUUAGAUAUUCACCUGGAAGGUGCUAUAAAUAAUGGGACUGCAGAGGAAACCCCUAUAGUAUUUAGAGUCUGUUAGGGUAAUGUUCAGAACACACUUGUUGCUUUUAGCCUAGAAGCAAUAAGAACUUCUUUGUGAAAUAGGCUCAUGUCUGAACAUUGUUAUUUUAAUGAAAUACAUUAUUGCAAUCAUCUUUGAGCAAAUGUUCUUUCAUUCUUUACGAUUCUUUCAUUCUUUUGGAUUUUUUUUGCCAAACCAUUUUUUUCAUUCAUUCAUAUUAUUUAUAAAUUCAUACAUUAUUUUGUAUAUUCUUUGGUACCUACUAGGGGUCCCCAGAUAUCAAUGACAUGAGUGACGCUGCUAUAGACUCAGAACUUCCUUUUGAGUGAGACAUGUGUUUAGAGGGAUCUCAUGACUUUGAUGAUGACAUAGAUUGCAGCUUAUCUCCAGAUUUGACGAAGGUGAUAGAAUAAGAGGAUAAGAUAGAUCAUACCUCAUAAGAAAUUAUUAGAAAUUGUAAGCUUGGUGAAGAUUAAAAUUGACAUGACCACAAAGACGAAGUGGGACCUUAUGAAUUACCCUAAGAAUUCAAUGAUGUCUUCACAUGGUCAUACCCAGAUAUGCUCGGGUUAAGCACUGACUUUAUAAUCUGAAUAACAACAUGAUGUCAGAAAUUUGCAGUAGGUUCAGCAUUAAUGUUAUGAACGAUGCAGUGAAAUUUCUUUAUUGGGGAAAUGUCCUUCUCUUUGGCUUAUCAUAGCUUUGCUCAUUGAAGUUGAAUUGCCAUUUCUCUGUAUUUUUAUCCUAAGAGGAAGAUCUGAAGGUUCGUCCUAGAGAAUUUCACAAGGGGGAGCUAGUGUUGAAAAUGAUCAUUCCUAUACAAAAGGGAUUUUAGAGGAAGAUAGAUGCCAAAUUAGGAGGGUCCAUAUGUUGUAAAGAAAGUCUUUUCUAGGAAAACUUUGAUCCUGAGUGAGAUGGAUGGUAAAGAUUGUCCAAGCCCUGUAAACUCAGAUUCAGUUAAGAAGUACUUUUCCUAAAAAAGGGGACCAAGGUGAAAGCCUACAAAGGGCGCCUUGAGUAAAAAAAAAUAGAGAGGCCAAGGUGAAAACCCGCGAAGGGAGGCUUGAGACCAAAAGGAUUUUAGUUGAAAACCCAAAAAGGGCGGCUCAAAUGUUGAUCAAAAUGGCAUUUGAAAUUAUCAGAGCAGCUCAAAUACUGAUCAGAAUGGGGCAUGCAGUGGUCUUGCUAUACCUGAAUCAACAGGAAAGGGGUAGGCAACAUCUUGGGGCAUCGACAAAGCACUGUUGAUUUCCUAAACACAUGUUAAAAUCAGAAUGGUCUUCAGAAAGUUUGCACAGAGAAGUUCAGGCUGCGAUACCUGGGGCACCGAAUCCUUAUACUAUUUUUGUUAUACUUGGAACACUUCAUUCAUUUCCAAGACACGCAUUCUUAAAUUAAUUUCUUUAUUAUCUUUGACAAUUUAUUCAUUUCGAGCUAUGUUCAGAACCAACUCUAUUCUUAUCCAUGAUCUUUUUGCAAGCAUGUUGCAUUAGAAUAAUGAUUAAUGGACUAAUAAAACUUUCACAAAGGAAGUUUUGCAUAUUACUCUAGAAAUUUCUAAAUAAUAUAGGAACCUGAAACAGGACUAUUGUUUAGAACACACCAAGUUUAAAGGUUGGAAAUCUGAUAAGGAGGAGUCUAAAUUAAGACUAUCCUUUUAAAUUUUGUUGUCUAAAACAUUGUUUGAACAAAAUGAUAAGAUGUCAUAUUGGUGACAAAGCUUAGAUGAAAGAAAGUAAUGAUCACCGAAUAAUAAGAAGAAGUUGUUCUUGGAGAAUAAAAUUUUUCAUUUGUGCAUUGGCAUUUGGUAUGACACCCAUAGAAUGGUAAAAGACCAAAGAGCUUCACAUUCUACAUCCUUGAAUUGUGAUAGGAGAGGAUUGAGAAAAUGCCAGAUUUUUCUUGGGUUACAGCGGGAGAAAGAUGGUACAAAUGUUACAUCCUAGUGGAUUGAGCUUUGAAGUUCACAGUGGGGGCAAUCUGGUCAAGUGUUUCUUUGGAGACGUUAGCCAAGCAAAAGGUGCUAUAGCACAUUAGCGAUAAAAUUUUAAUAAACUUUGAGUAAUGAUAACCUAAGUGAUAAGGAGGAAUCAUUCUCGAAAAAUGACAUUCUGUAUUCAUUCAAAUGUCAUUCAUACAUGCCUAGUUAGGAGCAUUUGAUUCAUUCUGUUCAUGACAUCCUAAUCAUUAGGUAUAAUUAGGUUCAUAAAGUGAAUUAUACAGGUCAUGCUCCCUAGAGGACAGAUCAGAGAAAUCAUAAAGCCUUAUCUCCCUGAGCAACGGUGGAGCAGGUUGAAAAGCAGCAGAUCUUGUCUUCCCGUACUGGUGACGAAGUAGAUCGAAGAAAGCAGAUCUUGUCUUCAUGUAUUGGCGUGAAGUAGAUCGAAGAAAGAAGAUCUUGUCUUCCCAUACUGGUGGUGAAGUAGAUCGAAGAAAGCAGAUCUUGUCUUCAUGUAUUAGCGUGAAGCAGAUCGAAGAAAGCAGAUCCUGUCUUCCUAUAUUGGUAGCGAAGUGGAUCGAAGAUAGCAGAUCUUGUCUUCAUGUAUUGACGUGAAAUAGAUCAAAGAAAACAGAUCUUGUCUUCAUGUAUUGGCGUGAAAUAGAUCGAAGAAAGCAGAUCAUGUAUUGGCGUGAAAUAGAUCGAAGAAAGCAGAUCUUGUCUUCAUGUAUUGGCAUGAAGUAGAUCAAAGAUAGCAGAUCUUGUCUUUCCAUACUGGUGGCGAAGUAGAUCGAGGAAAGCAGAUCUUGUCUUCAUGUAUUGGCAUGAAGUAGAUCAAAGAGAGCAGAUCUUGUCUUCCCAUACUGGUGGCGAAGUAGAUCGAAGAUGACAGAUCUUGUCUUCAUGUAUUGGCAUGAAGUAGAUCAAAGGAUAGCAGAUCUUGUCUUCAUGUAUCAGCAGUGAAGUAGAUCGAAAAUACAAGUCUUAUCUCCCUGAAGUAGCAGUGGAGCUGACAGAAGUAACCAAUCCUAUCUCCUUGAAGUUGCAAUGGAGUGGAUUAAACCUGCAGAUCUCAUCUCUCUGAAGUUGCAGUAGAGCAGAUCGCAUCAGAUUUAUUUUUAAGUUGUAGCAGAACAAGUUGAAGCUAUAAGUCUUAUCUCCCUGAAGUUGUAGUGGAGCAGAUUAAAGAUAGCAAUUUUUGUUCUUUUAAAAAGCUACAGUGUACGAACCCUAUCUCCUUGACAUUGCAGUGGGGUAGAUUGAAACACUAGUUCCUAUACUUCAGAAGAUGUAGUAGGAAAGAAUGAGGUUACUUGAAGGAAAAAGAACUGAAUAAGUCGAGGCUCAGUAAGACCGGGCACAAUUGGGCUUUUAGUAUUUGCUCUGUUCCCGUUACAUGACAACGAGCAAAGAGGGGCAGCUAUAGGGCCCAAUUUUUUCCUGGCCCGUUACAGAAAUAAAAAACCAAACAAAAACCAAAAUGUUUCAGUCCAAUUUUGCUAAGCCCAAUAACCCAAUAGCACAACCCAAAUCAAUUUAUUUUAAAACUAACCUAGCUACAAUCACCGAAACCCUAAAAUCCCUUAGCUACUGCCUCCGGCAAGUGUCCAAUCGGCACACGUUUCGAAACCAGCCCUAUUCUCCGCGUCAUGCUCUCCACAACUACCUGCGAAAACGGACUAAAAGAGUCCCAAUAUUGUAAAAUAAAAAUACAAAGUAUUUUCUUAGGCUAUAAAAAGCCUAAGUUGUACACUGAUAAAAAAAAAGAACAGAGAACAAAAUAAAUAUUUUUACAAAAGUGAUUUUUUUUUGUUUUAUUUCGCAGUGACCAUUUUUUAUAUACAUACGUUUUAUUUUCUUUUAUUUUCAUUUAUUUCGUAUAAAAUAACAAAGAAAAAAGAAAAGGAAAACAUACCUUUUGUCGGAGUCGCCGGAUUGUUGCCAUCUCCAUCGCGGUCGGAGCGUCGGCAUGGGCGAACGGCGGCGCUAGGAGCUAGGGCUGAAAACCCUAGCAGAGGGCAUUUGGUUUUUUUUUCCUUUCAUUCUGUUGCAAAUUUUUUUUAGAGAAAAAAAAACUGUUUUAAAUAACAGAGCAAAACGACGCCGUUUUACCCAAGCAUGACCCGCGCGGUGACCCGACCCGGAGGGGAGGAUCCGCGCGUUCUGGCCGAAGGGAAAAUUUGCGCAAUUGGUCCCUCCCUUUUGCAAUGCGCUUCAAUUAAACCUGUUUUGUUUUUUUUAAUUUGGCCGCAUAUUUUAUUUUUGUUUCAAUUUGGUCCCUUAUUGCGCAGCGUUUUGGAGGGUGGGAUUAAUUUCCCUUCUAGUCCCCCAUUGUUGUUCGCGCGUUCAAGUUGGUCCUUUUUUAUUUAUUUUCGAAUCUACCCCAUCUUUUCAUUUUUAAGUUCAAUUUAGCCCAUUUUUUAGCUUUUUUUUUAAAUUCUUUUUUAUGUUUGUCAUUAUACCAUUAUUAUUAUUAUAUUAUUUGCUAUCAUUAUUGUUAUUGUAUUUUCUAUACAUAUAAAUACGCAUAUUUUUUAUAUUUAAUAUAUAAGCAUAUUUUUAAUAUAUAUAUUUAUAAGUACGCAUCUAUUUUAUACAUACAUACAUACUUUUUUUUAUUUUAUUUCCUAACCUUUAUGUACACGUAUAUAUACUUCUAUAUUUUUGUUUCAAAAUUUUUUAUACAUAUGCAUGUUCGUUUUUUUUAUAUAUAUUAUUUUUCAUAUUUUUUUACAAAACGUAUAUAUAUGUGUAUACAUACACAUUUUAAAAUACACACAUGUUUCCCAUAUUUUACAAUUCAAAAUACACAUUUUUUUUAUAUUAUAUAUAUACAUUCUUUAUAUUUUUGAGUUAUUAUAGACAUUUUUAUUAUUCUAUAUAUACUCCGUUAUUUAUGUACAUAUCAUACAUAUAUAUAAAUUUUUUAAUAUAUGUAUACAUAUUUUCAUGUUUUACCAAUACAUAUAUACUUAUACAUUUUUUAUUUCUGUAAAUAUAUACACAUAUACAUACUUUUAUAGUUUUAUUUUAUUUUCACGGUUUUCAAAUACACAUACGUGCAUUUUUUAUUAGUUUUUGAUUGAUAUAUUCCAUUCCAUUUUUUAUAUGUAUCCUUGUAUAUGUGUGUAAAAUAUAUGCGUGCACAUAUUUUCAAAUUUACUUGUAUAUUGUACUUGUAUGUAUAUAUUUUGUAAAUACAUAUUCAUAUAUGUUUUAAAUUAAUGUUUUGUUUCAUAUUGUACGUUAACUUUUAACAUACCUUUUGGGAAAUAUAUUUUGGUUUUGUCAGUAUAUCAAAAUCAUUUUCUCUUGAUUCAAAGUUUUUUGAAUAAAAGCAAUAUUCAAAGUUUGGAAUUUUUGAGGAAAAUUGAGCCCUAACGUAUUGGGUUCUGAUUUUCUUUGUUAAUCUUAAAUAACCAAGGAUAUUCUUUAUUCAAAAUGCAUGAGUAUAAAGAUCAUUUUCGGGAACUUAACUUGUUGUGUCCUAAUGUAUUGGGCGUGACAUAUUAUUUUCUCAAAAUGAAGAUUUUCGCAUAAAAUAAAAGUAAUAUUUAAAGUUCGGGGAUUUUGAGAAAUUGUACCCUAAUGUAUUGGGACUCGAUUUCUUUACAUGACUUGAACAAUUGAUUAUCCUUUUCAGAUUUCAUCAUUUGAGUUGUUUUAAAAAAAAUUUUUUAGCCCUCGACAUUAAGACAUUAAAUAAUCAAUUUUGUACCGAUUUUGGACGUCACAAGGGUGCUACCCUUCCUCGUGCGUAAUUGACUCCCGAACUCGUUUUCUCAAAUUUCGUAAACCAAAAUACGUUUUAAGGUGAACUGAUCACACCUCAAUAAAGGAUCGGUGGCGACUCCAAUUUUGUUUUUUUAAAAAGUCGACAACUAUAUUUUUUAUUUAAAAAUGGUUUCGACAAUAUGAAAUAAAAGAAAAAUAGAGAGUAGGGAGAGAAAUUUACCUAAAAGCUGAGACGUCGUUCGUCUGUCGUAAUCGAAGUCGGACGAGGAAUCGGGGCCUCCAAACGCUGGUUUGUUGAGCGGCGCACGGAGGAAAAGUUGCUUAGGGUUUGUAGAUCUAUUAAAAUGGCUUAAUGCCUUGGUUUUUUUAGGUUUCAUGCGUGCAACGAAAUGGCACCGUUUGAACCCCGUUCUAAUGGCUCCAAAGCGAUGUCGUAUUGAGGCUCGACCCGAUUCGAACUAGGUUCCAGAUCUGCGUGUUUUACCUCAUAGGGGAGAAUUUCGCGAAUAGUCCUCCGCUUUUAUAGAACCUUCAAAUUGAUCCUUUUAUUUCUUUUAAAUUUGGCUGCUCAUUUUGUGCUUCAUUUCAAUUAGGUCCGUGCAAGGAUGCUGCGUUUUGAGGGAAGGGAUAUUUUCCCAUUCAGUCCCCAAGUUAUUCGCGCGUUCCUUUGUGGCCCUUAAUGUUAUUUUAUUUUUAUUUUCUCUUUUAAUUUUGAAUUAAAUGCAGUUUAGCUUGUUUUUGUUUAAUUUAAUGUAUUCAAUUUUUAUUUUAUUUUUAAUAUUCAUCAUUCUUUUUUAAAAAAUAUUUAAUUUUACAUCUAGAUUAUUUUAUGUUUAAAUUUAGUAUAUUUUAAAUUUAUUAACAAUAUUAUUUUAAUAUUAUAACAUAUUAUUAUUCUAAAUGUAACAUUAACAUUAUUUUAAAUUUAUCAUGUACAAUCUUAUGCAUUCUUGUUGUAGUUUCAAUAUAAUUUAUAGAUUUUUUUACAUUUUUAUUUUAUAAUACAUUUUUUAACUUCACUUAUAUAGUUCUUUGCUUUAAGAUUUGUACAUUAAUAUUCUUACAUAAUAUUUUUCUAUACAUAUAUAUAAUUUGUGUUAAAUUAUUUUUUAUUAUAUAUAUAAUAUAUUACCGAUUUCAUAUUAUUACAUAUCUUUUUACAUAUUUUUAUAUAUACAUAAUUUAUUUCUUUUAAAACCCUACUUUAUUAUGUACUUUGUUUAUUUCAACUUUUUAUAAUAUUAUAUAUAUUAUUAUUAAACUUUUCAUUUCAUAUAUAUAUUACUUAUUUAGAUUAAUGUAUGUAUAUUAUUUGGUAUAUUACAUAUAUAUAUAUUGUAGCAACGUAAAAAUUUUAGCUUAGCUUGGUCGCUAAUUGUGGCGAUUUAUUGAAAUUUUUUUUGAAAUUUGACGUUUGAUUUUUGAAAUAAAUAGGGAGUUGCCACCGAUCCUUUUUCCUAGGUGUGAUCGGACACCUAUUAGAUCUUUUAUUAAAACAAAUAAAAGGCUAAGUUUAGGUCUACGUUAAAAUCCAGAAAAAAUUUAGGGUUCGGGAGUCGGUUAUGCACGAGGAAGGUAUUGGCACCCUCGCGACGCCCAAAAUUGGUAUCUUAUUAAACACAUGUUGUCUUGAUUUUCAAAAAUACGAAUUCAAUUUGACAUUUAAGUGUGAUCCGAUUGAAGGAAAUGAGAAGUUGCAAGUUUUUUUGUUUUUUAGAAGGACGUCCCGUUUUUAACACGAGCCGAUUAAUUUCACCCAACAUAGGAUGAAAUCAAUGACUUAAUGUUAAAAUCGGUACAUUGCCUUAUUCUUAAAAUUAAAAUGUAAAAAGUUUUUAAAAUGAUAGUAAAAAAAAAUCCAAGAAUAUUAUUGUCAAAAAAAUGCGAAUAAUGAUGUGAAUAAUAAAAUAUAUAAAAUAUAAAAUAUCAAAAUAUCAAAAUAUUAGAAUAAUAAUAAUUAAUAUUGAAAAAUAAAAAAUAAAAUAGAAAUAAAAAAAAUGUACAUAAUAUAUAUUAGAAAUAAUAAUGAUGUUUAAAAAUCAAUACUAUUAAUAAUACUACAUUAAUAUGUACAUAUAUAAAAAAAAUACGUGAUAAUAUUAAAAAUAUGUACAUAAUAUAGUGUUAAAAAUACAUACAUAAUAUAGUUAAGAUAUAUACAUAAGAUAACAUGUAAAAAAAAUAUAUAAAUAAUAUAAUAUUAAAGAUAUAUACAUAAAAUAGUAUAAAAUAUAUAUACGUAAUAUAGAAUUUAAAAUAUACCUAAUAUAUUAAAAGAAUAUAUAUAAUAUAAUAUUAAGAAAUAUAAUAAUAACAAAAAAGGAGAGAGAGGGAGAGGGUGGAUGAUUUUCGGCCACAAGGUCGGCCAUCGUCCGGUCACUGGACCGCCGCCGGCGCCACCGUACACGGCAGCCGGACCUCAAAAAAAACUUUUUCGGUAAAAAUGGGUAAGCUUCCUCCUUUUAUUUUUUUUCACUUUCGUAUAAAAGAAACAAAAUAAGAUUGAAAGGAAAACAAUAAGUAAACAAAGAACUUAAAAUGAGAAUAGACAAAGAAACCUCUUUUGCUUUGAUCUUUAAUUAAUCUUCAAAAAAACUAGCUUCUCCAAAAACUAGCCUUCACAAUAACUCUUCUCCUUAAUUACUUUAAAAAGAAACCUCUCCAAAAAUCCUUUACAAUAACUUUCUCUCCCAAAAACUUUCCAAAAAAAAAUCCCCCCCCUUUUACAAAAUAUGAUAAGGCUUAUAUAGCUAUUUACAAAAUAUUUUUUUAUUGUUUAUGUCUUCAUUUGUAGGUACAAGUGGUGGUGGAGCAAGUGUGGUUAGUGGAGUAGGUAAUGGAGCAAGUGUGGCUAGUGGAUUUGGUGGUGGAGAAGGUGUGGCUAGUGGAGUUGGUGGUGGAAAAGGAGUGGCUAGUGGAGUUGGUGGUGGAAAAGGUGUGGCUAGUGGAGUUGGUGGUGGAAAAGGUGUGGCUAGUUGAGAAAAGUUUAAGUUGUGGGCUAGGUUUUUUUAUUUUGAUUUGGGCUUAGGGUUUGGGCCAUUGGGGUUUUGAUGUAAAUUGGGCUUUGGGUAGUUAAGAUUUUGGGUUUUGGGUUUAAUUUUGGUGGGUUAGGUAAGGCUAAAUUGGGUUUUGAUGUAAAUGGGCUAAAAUUGGCCUACAACAGCUGCCCCUCUUUGCUUAUUAUCGUGUAACGAGAAUAGAGCAAAGAUAUAAAGAAAGGCCAAUUUUGCCCGGUCUUGCUAAGUAUGGACUUCUUUGGUGCUCUUCUCAUCCAGGUAGUCUCUUUCCAGUCCAUCGCAUCUUGUAGCUUUGGUUCAAUCCACUGCAAAUUCGGAGAUAUGCCUUAUAGCUUCAAUCUGUUCCAAUGUAAUUCAAUAUGCUCUUCUAUCGCUUCAGUGAGAUAAGGUUUUGGGUCUUCUCUUCUGCCACUUUAGAAAGGCAAGAUCUGAUAUCCUCGAUCAACUCCACUGCAACUUCAGGGAGACAAAAUCUGGUGUCUUCAAUCAGGUCUAAUAUUGAUUCUUUACUCGGCAUGUGAUCCUGAGCUCAACUCAUUUCUCGCAAUAUGAAUUGACUCUGUAAAACUAGACAUUAAAAACAGAAAUUGAAAAUAGCUCAGCACGUGAGCCAAGGCUCAACUCACCUCUCGCAAAAGUAGAUUUUGAAAAUACCUCGACAUGUAAACCCAAGGCUCAACUCACAUCUCGCAAUAUGAGUUGAUUUUUGAAAAGCAGAAAUUGAAAACGCCUCAGCGUGUGACCCGAGGCUCAACUCACCUAUCGCAAUAUGAGUUGAUUUUUUUGAAAAGCAGAAAUUGAAAAUAGCUCAGCACGUGAGCAAAGGCUCAACUCACCUCUCACAAUAUGAGUUGAUUCUUUUGAAAAGCAGAAAUUGAAAAUAGCUCAGCACGUGAGCAAAGGCUCAACUCACUUCUCGCAAAAGUAGAUUUUGAAAAUACCUCGACAUGUGAACCCAAGGCUCAACUCACAUCUCGCAAUAUGAGUUGAUUUUUGAAAAAUAUAAAUUGAAAAAAAUAGAAAUUGAAAAGCAGAAAUUAAAAAGACCUCAGCAUGUGAGCCGAGACUCAACUCACCUCUCGCAAUAUGAGUUAAUUUUUGACAAACAGAAAUUGAAAUUACCUCAGCGUGUCCUGAGGCUCAACUCACCUCUAGCAAUAUGAGUUGAUUUUGAAAAACAAAAAUUAAAAGUACCUCAACGUGUCUUGAGGCUCAACUCAUCUCUCGCAAUAUGAGUUGACUUUCCUUGAAAAGCAUGAAUUAAAAACAUCAAAAUACCCAAAACCUAUCCUUUGGUAGAACUCGGGUGUCUUUUCCUUUGAUUCAGUGCGACUCUCAUUCAAGAUUUCUUGCUCUACUGGAGUACCUGUAUAUGCUAUGUAUGAUGUUAUCAUGAUAUGCACAUGUUUGUCUUAAAUGCUUUUAUGCCUACAUGAUUAUGCAGUGCUCCUUAAGCAUGUUUGUCGUAUGUCCAUUUAGCCACGAUUGUUGAGGGUCUGUGUUCAUUGCUUUGAUUCUCGACUUUCUCCUCAGGCCUUAUACCUACCUUCAAGCUUCACGAGUAAUCGACGUUCCUCAGAUAUCACUCUUCUGCCCCCGAUUGAACUUUGUUCUUACUUUGAGACUCUUGUGCUUAUCAAAUUUUCAUCCAGGUAAUGCUUAACAUUUCUCUUGUUUAGAGUAUGUCAUUUCUCCAUUUAUCAUGUAAAUAAACACAUAAUGAGAUGCAUGAAAAAGGUCAGGUAGGGAAAAAUGAUAUUUCAUAUUCAUCUAUUUCAAAUGUGGCAAACAAAGCAAGUUAACCAAUUAGAGUAAAAAAUGUCAAAAAGAAAGAAAGGAUCGUAUUCAACGGAUGCAAAUACUUUAGAUAUUCGACACAUGAACUCUUCCACGUUCCUCAAUCAAGAAUCUUUUCGAGUCUGGCUCUUUGCGUAGAAGAUUUCGAGCUUUCAGAAAUGCUUCAAAUACUGUAGUCUCACUGUUUGACCCGCUGUUAAAACGCCACGCUCUUUAAGCCAGGUUUACCUCAUUAGGACGCCCUCUCGGGUUUUCAUCCUAAUCUUUUGUGCUAAUCAAGACGCCCUUUGCGGGUUUUCGCCUUGAUCCCUCUUUUUUUUUGGAUGCCCUUUUCAGGUUUUCAUCUCAAGCAUAAUAUUUCUUCACAGCAUCUGAGUUCACUGGAUUCGGUAACUUCUUUCCAUCCAUCUUGGUAAGGAUCAAAGCUCCUCCUGAAAAUGCCUUCUUUACGACGUAUGGUCCUUCCCAAUUUGGUGCCCAUUUUCCUCGCAGGUCCUUUUGUAUUGGGAGAAUCUUCCUCAGUACGAGUUCUCCUUCGUGGAAUUCUCUUGGCCAUACUUUCUUGUCAUGGGCCGCGAUCAUUCUCUUCUGGUACAUCUGCCCGUGACAAAUUGCUCUUAGACGUUUUUCUUCGAUGAGGUUCAACUGAUCAUAUCGAUCUCAAACCCAUUCUGCUUCUUCUAACUUUAAUUCCAUUAAGACUCGCAGGGAGGGGAUCUCAACCUCAAUAGGUAGCACAGCUUCCAUUCCGUAAGCCAGAGAGAAAGGAGUUGCUCCCGUAGAUGUUCGCACAGAUGUGCGAUAUGCAAACAAAGCAACUGGAAGCUUCUCGUGCCAAUCUUUAUAUGUUUCAGUCAUUUUCCCAAUGAUCUUCUUAAUAUUUUUAUUGGCUGCUUCAACAGCCCCGUUCAUCUUUGGGCGAUAGGGCGAGGAGUUAUGAUGCUUUAUUUGGAACUGCUCGCACACUUCUUUCAUCAUCUUAUUGUUCAGAUUCGUGGCAUUAUCUGAAAUGAUUCUUUCAGGCAAACCAUACCGGCAAAUGAUUUCCUUUUUCAAAAACCUGCAAACUGCAGUCCUCGUCACAUUGGCAAACGAAGCGGCUUCUAUCCAUUUUGUGAAGUAAUCGAUGACCACAAAAACGAAUCGAUGUCCAUUUGAUGCUUUUGGAGAAAUUGGCCCUAUGACAUCCAUGCCCCACAUAGAAAAAGGCCACGGAGAAGUCAUGACAUGAAGGGGUGAAGGGGCUACAUGAAUUUUAUCGCUGUAGAUUUGACAUUUGUGGCAUUUUCUGGCAAAAUUGAUGCAGUCAUUUUCCAUUGUCAGCCAAUAAUAACCGAGUCUCAUGAUCUUUCUGGCCAUAUUGAAACCAUUGGCAUGCAUUCCGUAAAUUCCCUCAUAGACCUCUUCAAGUAUUUUUCUGGCUUCAACAUCAUCCACACAUCUCAAAAGCAUCUGAUCCUUUCCUCUUUUAUAUAGGAUAUCCCCAUCAAUAACAAAUCCCGCUGCCAUUCUUCUAAUUGUUCUUUUAUCGUUCUCAUUCGCUUGUUCGGGAUACCUUUGAUUCUUGAUAUAUUCUAAGAUAUCAUGGAACCAAGGUCGUCCGUCUACUUCUUUCUCAAUGCUACAACUGUGUGCAGGGACCUCGUAUAUGCUCAUUUUGAGGGGCAUUAUUUCUACUUCUCUACUUGCUUUGAACAAUGAAGCCAAAGUGGCCAGGGUAUCAACCAGUUGGUUCUCUUCUCGUGGGAAGUAAUGAAAAGUUAUUUCUUUGAAUUCCUUGAUCAAUCCAGCUACUAAAUCGCUGUACUUAAUCAAUUUUGAGUCCCUCACUUCCCACUCUCCACGGAUUUGGUAAAUCACUAGGGCUGAGUCCCUGUACACCUCUAAGAUCUUGAUGUUUCGUUCGAUAGCUGCACGAAGCCCCAUGAUACAGGCCUCAUAUUCUGUGAUAUUAUUGGUACAGAAGAAGUUCAGUCUUGCGGUGAACGGAUAAUGAUUCCCGUCUGGUGAUACCAGGAUUGCUCCUAUUCCUUGUCCUAAAGCAUUUGACGCACCAUCAAAGCACAUCUUCCAUGACUUCUCUUUUGAUGACUCGGAUUCUAUUUCUGUGAUGCACAUUAAGUCUUCAUCUGGGAAAUCGAAUCUUAAAGGCUCAUAUUCCUCUGUCGUUCGAGUUGCUAAGAAGUCAGCUAUUGCGCUCCCUUUUAUCGACUUCUGACUUACAUAGGUAAUGUCAUAUUCCGAAAGGAGGAUCUGCCAUCGUGCCAUUCUUCCUGAUAGUACCGGUGAUUCCAUCAUGUAUUUUAUUAGGUCCAGUUUUGAAAUUAGCCAUGUCGUGUGAUACAACAUAUAUUGUCUGAGUCUCCGAGCUACCCAAACCAGAGCGCAACAAUAUUUCUCAAUGGACGAAUAUUUUACCUCAUAUUCAGAGAACUUUUUGCUGGGGUAGUAGAUCACUUUUUCUUUCUUUCCUGACUCGUCGUGUUGCCCUAGUACGCAACCCAUUGAACUUUCAAACACAUUCAAAUACAAUAUCAAUGGUCUUCCAGGAGUUGGCGGUACUAGCACUGGAGGACUGGACAAAUAUUGUUUUAUCUUAUCAAAGGCCACUUGGCAUUCCUCGUUCCAUUCUCCCGGGUUAUGUUUUCGAAGAAGCUGAAAGAUUGGGUCGCAUUGGUUGGUAAGUUGAGCGAUAAAUCGGGCGAUGUAGUUUAAUCUCCCUAAAAAUCCUCUAACUUCCUUUUGCGUGCGCGCAUGUGGUAAUUCUUGGAUGGCUUUUAUUUUAUCUGGAUCAACUUCGAUACCUCUUUCACUGACAAUGAAGCCUAGCAACUUUCCCGAGGUAGCCCCAAAUGUACAUUUGGCUGGAUUAAGCUUUAGCUAAAACUUUCUCAGCCUUUCGAACAACUUCUUGAGGUUCACUACAUGCUCUUCUUCCCCUCGCAAUUUAGCAAUCAUGUCGUCGACGUAGACCUCUAUUUCUUUAUGCAUCAUGUCAUGGAAUAACGUUACCAUAGCCCUCUGAUAUAUUGCCCCAGCAUUCUUUAACCCGAAUGGCAUCACCUUGUAGCAGAACGUUCCCCACAUCGUUAUGAAGGUAGUUUUCUCCAUAUCCUCAAGGGCCAUCUUGAUCUAAUUAUACCCCGAGAAUCCAUCUAUGAAAGAAAACAAUGAAUGUUUUGCUGUGUUGUCCACAAACGUGUCAAUAUGUGGCAAGGGAAAAUUAUCUUUUGGGCUUGCUCGAUUCAGGUCACGGUAAUCCACGGACAUUCGUACUUUGCCAUAUUUCUUUGGUACUGGGACUAUGUUAGCCACCCAUUCUAGAUAUUUGGAGGCUUGUAGGAAGCCAGCAUCAAAUUGCUUCUUGAUUUCUUCUUUUAUUUUCAACAGCAUUUUGGGUCUCAUCCGUCUUAAUUUUUGCUGGAUGGGCUUGCAUUCUGGCUUUAAUGGGAGCUUAUGGACCACUAAAUCUUCAUCUAGCCCUGGCAUGUCCUGGUAUGACCAUGCGAAAACAUCUUUGUAUUCGCGGAGUAAAAUGAUCAAACUAUGUCUAGUACUCUCUGAAAUAGAAGUCCCAAUCUUCACUUCUUGUUUCCUCUCUUCAAUGCCCAAAUUUAUUAUUUCCACAGAUUCUUCAUGAGGCAAAAUCUGUUUAUCCUCUUGUUCCACCAUUCUUAACAAUUCAGGAGACGAGACAUAAUCUUCAGCAUUUUCUUCGGCUUCAAAUUCUCCUAAGCAAACAGCCUUCUCAAAAUCAAUUUCAAGAUUCGUAACGGGCUUAUUCAUAUCGUCAAUAUCUGAGCACCUGAAAGUUGAAUGGAAAAGGAAGCUAUAGAGGGGCAUCCAAGUAUUGGAAUCAACAAAGAAAUGUCAUGUCAUGGCAAUGAGGCAAAUGUGAGUAUAGGCUAUGAAAUGAGAAAAUGAUUAUGAAAUUAGUGAUAAUGCGAAAAAUCGUGACAAAAUGCAUCUUCAUUGAUAUUCACUUAAAUGAUAAAGAGCGAAUGCAAGCUCCUACAAAAGAAUUCUAUUAUAUCUAAGGACACAAUAGAAUGUUAAUGUUUGAGCAUUACUCUGAAGACUUAUAAACUACAAGAAGGUCCUCGGCAGUCCAAUUGUUCAACAUGAAACCAGGGGGACAAAGGCGUAUCCUUGAGACAUCUUUACUUGUGUCAGCUCCUUUGUCAAUGACAUUUAUACUGAUGUUCUGAAAACCCUUUUCGAUCAUUAACAUUGUGCCUUGUGCAUUGUCCUGCCUCGGGUAUAUCAUUCCCACAGACGUAAAUGUUCUUGACAAAGGAGGGAAUUCCAUAGGCUCCCAUUCUGGUUCUCGGCCUAAGGUUCUCGCAAUCCUUCUUUCUUGAUCUUUCUUCCACUGUCUUCUUCUUUGACGCAUGUCUGGCUGGAACCCCAAACCGUAUCGGGCCUUAUGAUGCACUGGUUUUAGAGCCCUGACUAUUCCUUGUAGAUAUCUCCCUAAACCUCUUCUCACUCGAGCUCCCCUUCCUACAGUCAACUUGACACCCAUUCUAGUAUUUCUCGACAAUUUAGGCACGGGAAUUUUGUUUCCCUCAGUGAAGAAUGUGGCAUUGACGAAUUCAAGGGAUCGGAAGGAGCAUUCCACUACGUCCUUGCUCACUUCAAGGUAUGGCGCAUCAGCAGAGAUAGAUGCGACAAUGUCUUCUUCUCCCUCGACAGUGACCAAACAGCCAUCCAUGAUAAAUUUCACCUUUUGAUGGAGGGAUGAUGGGACCGCUCUAGCAGAAUGGAUCCAGGGUCUUCCCAAAAGGCAGUUAUAUGAGGAUGUAAUGUCCAUGACUUGGAACUCGACAUCAUAUAUGUAGGGACCCACUUCCAGAGGGAUCUCAAUUUUUUCCAUGACUUCAUGCCUUGUCCUGUCGAAUGCCCUUACCGUAGAAUGACAGGGCCUUAAAUGGGACAGAUCCAUCGAAAUUCUGGAAAGUGUGGCCAAAGGCAUAACGUUGAGUGCCGAACCAUUAUCGAUGAGCACGUUCGGUAUUAUGUAGCCCUUGCAACGGGUUGUGAUAUGCAAUGCUUUCACUGAGCCUCUACCAUUGGGCGGUAUUUCAUCAUCACUAAAAGAAAUGAAAUUAUCCGCAUUCAAGUUGUUCAUCCACCUAUCCAGUUUUUCAAUGGAUACAUUGUUUGCCACAUAAGCUUGAUUUAACACUUUCAGCAGAGCGUUUCGGUGUGGUUCUGAAUUCAACAGCAGAGAUAAUACCGAGAUUCGCGCUGGCUGCUUACUCAAUUGUUCUACCACGUUGUACUCACUGUGUUUGAUAAAUUUUAAGAAUUCCUGUGCUUCCUCCUCGUCCACAGGAUUUUUAGCUUCUUGUUCAGGCGCAGUUUCAUGCUCAUCAUCGGUCACAUGCAUCGGUGCUUUUCCUUUCCGUUUCAAGUCACUGUUCUUCUUUAUCUCCUUCGAAUAACAUCUUCCACUAUGAGUGAAAUGACCUAAUUCCCCGAUUCUUCCAGUCAUGGCUUUGGGUUUUUCAUCUUCAGGUGUGACGAUAUUAAUGUCAUAUUUCCAUGGUACUGCUUUAUUGUCCUUGUAAGGGAAAGAAGAUGGUACUUCAAUUAUCAUUUUUGGUUUCACCGGCUCUUUCAUCGCAUCGUAAUAAAUUACUAACGGUUGAUCAGCGCUAUAAGGGGGACCUGAUGACUGGCUAUCAGAGGCGCAUACUUCUCUUUCAUUGGUCUCUUCCCUUUUGUUAAGGAUCUUAAUCUCCUUAUUAUCCAUCCGGUCUUGAAGCAACCUUUUAAAUUCCUCACACGACUGAAUGUCGUGUCCCACAAUUCCAUGGAAAUUGCAAAAACUUUGACCUUCUUCUCCGAGAAUUCUAUCGGGGUGACAAAGCAAUCAUUUCUUAACCAGUACCUCCCAGAUUUUCUGCAAAGGCGUCCUUAUUUCCAAAACACAUCUUCUGACUUUCCAUUCGUCCACUUUCCCCACUAUACUCACAUCCCUUUCGAUAUGGUUAGGGAAUGGGUUCCCAGUUGCAUUACUGGCACUAUCGAAUCGUAGGAUACCUGCAUCAAUGAGUCCUUGAACUCUUCUCUUAAAGGCUAGGCAGUUUUUCGUGGAAUGUCCCUGGUUUCCCGUAUGGUAUGCACAACUAGCGAAUUGUAUGUUUUAACCUCAGCGAACGAGUAUGGAAUAUGCAAUGAAUGAAUGAAUGCAUGAAUGUCAAAUGACUGUUAGUCAUGAAAGAAAUGCAAGAAAUUGGUGUUAAUUUCAAGAUAGCCCCUAUUUAGGCAUUUCCUUAAUCAAAAGAGUCUAUUACACAACGUUUCGGUCACUCGUGUAAUUGACUCCUCUAUCAGAAACCCCUUUUUGGCAACCAAUCUCUAAUCAACCCUUUCCUAACAAGAUGUAUAUGAUGCAUGAUGAAAAAUAGAAAUACAGACAAACAACAUUGGUUAGCAAAACACAUAUGAUCAGAGAAAAAUUGUGGAAAAUCUAACAAAUUAAGCUACUUGGUCCAAUGGACUCGAUUCCCUUGCAUAGAAAGUGAAAGUGCAAAAGGUAAGAGGCGUUCCUCCCGUGCACUUAUUUUGGUGACUACUAAACGGACGGAGGUUCAGCAUGGCUCUAGUUAGGUGGCUCGUAUGGUUCAUUAUAUGCGGUUUUGGUUCUAGAUAGGUACUCGAAUUGCCCGUACUAUCAUCUACUAAGAUUAACACGGAGCCUCGGUCAUAGCCUAUCACAGGCUCACGAGUUCAAUUCGAGGGGUUACAUUUACUUAUGCCUAUGCGGAGGGACAAGUUAACUCACGAAAGCAUAAAUCAUAUGUAACCCGAAAGUAUUCACUAGCCUGUGCGGAGGGACGAGUUAACUCACGAAGGCGUAGUGUUUACUUUCACUUAAACGGACGGAGCCCGGGUAGAGAGCUCAUGUUAUGCGAAAAUGCAAGUGCACGGUGUGUGGGGAACAACUCAUAAACCUUUACGUUUCACUUAAAGAAACUAAACCAAAAUUAAAACCAUAAAAAUUAAAAACUGAAAAACAACCAAAUAAGCAAGUUAGAAGAAAUAUUUACAGCACGAUACAAAUGCAUGAAUUUUGAAAAUGAGAUUUUCGGAUCACGACCAAAUAUUUACUUUGAACAAGGAAAUUUGAAAAUUUUGACAAAACGUGUUUAAUUCCAGACACGACUCUCAAAAAGGCUUUCCCCAGCGGAGUCGCCAGCUGUAGCGACGUAAAAAUUUUAGCUUAGCUUGGUCGCUAAUUGUGGCGAUUUAUUGAAUUUUUUUUUGAAAUUUGACGUUUGAUUUUUGAAAUAAAUAGGGAGUCGCCACCGAUCCUUUUUCCUAGGUGUGAUCGGACACCUAUUAGAUCUUUUAUUAAAACAAAUAAAAGGCUAAGUUUAGGUCUACGUUAAAAUCCAGAAAAAAUUUAGGGUUCGGGAGUCGGUUACGCACGAGGAAGUUAUUGGCACCCUCGCGACGCCCAAAAUUGGUAUCUUAUUAAACACAUGUUGUCUUGAUUUUCAAAAAUACGAAUUCAAUUUGACAUUUAAGUGUGAUCCGAUUGAAGGAAAUGAGAAGUUGCAAGUUUUUUUGUUUUUUAGAAGGACGUCCCGUUUUUAACACGAGCCGAUUAAUUUCACCCAACAUAGCGAUGAAAUCAAUGACUUAAUGUUAAAAUUGGUACAUUGCCUUAUUCUUAAAAUUAAAAUGUAAAAAGUUUUUAAAAUGAUAGUAAAAAAAAUCCAAGAAUAUUAUUGUCAAAAAAUGCGAAUAAUGAUGUGAAUAAUAAAAUAUAUAAAAUAUAAAAUAUCAAAAUAUCAAAAUAUUAGAAUAAUAAUAAUUAAUAUUGACAAAUAAAAAAUAAAAUAGAAAUAAAAAAAAUGUACAUAAUAUAUAUAUUAGAAAUAAUAAUGAUGUUUAAAAAUCAAUACUAUUAAUAAUACUACAUCAAUAUGUACAUAUAUAAAAAAAAUACGUGAUAAUAUUAAAAAUAUGUACAUAAUAUAGUGUUAAAAAUACAUACAUAAUAUAGUUAAGAUAUAUGCAUAAGAUAACAUGUAAAAUAUAUAUAUAAAUAAUAUAAUAUUAAAGAUAUAUACAUAAAAUAGUAUAAAAUAUAUAUAUACGUAAUAUAGAAUUUAAAAUAUACCUAAUAUAUUAAAAGAAUAUAUAUAAUAUAAUAUUAAGAAAUAUAAUAAUAACAAAAAAGGAGAGAGAGGGAGAGGGUGGAUGAUUUUCGGCCACAAGGUCGGCCAUCGUCCGGUCACCGGACCGCCGCCGGCGCCACCGUACACGGCAGCCGGACCUCAAAAAAAACUUUUUCGGUAAAAAUGGGUAAGCUUCCUCCUUUUAUUUUUUUUUACUUUCGUAUAAAAGAAACAAAAUAAGAUUGAAAGGAAAACAAUAAGUAAACAAAGAACUUAAAAUGAGAAUAGACAAAGAAACCUCUUUUGCUUUGAUCUUUGAUUAAUCUUCAAAAAAACUAGCUUCUCCAAAAACUAGCCUUCACAAUAACUCUUCUCAUUAAUUACUUUAAAAAGAAACCUCUCCAAAAAUCCUUUACAAUAACUUUCUCUCCCAAAAACUCUCAAAAAAAAAAUCCCCCCCUUUUACAAAAUAUGGGAAGGCUUAUAUAGCUAUUUACAAAAUAUUUUUUUAUUGUUUAUGUCUUCAUUUGUAGGUACAAGUGGUGGUAGAGCAAGUGUGGUUAGUGGAGUAGGUAAUGGAGCAAGUGUGGCUAGUGGAUUUGGUGGUGGAGAAGGUGUGGCUAGUGGAGUUGGUGGUGGAAAAGGUGUGGCUAGUGGAGUUGGUGGUGGAAAAGGUGUGGCUAGUUGAGAAAAGUUUAAGUUGUGGGCUAGGUUUUUUUAUUUUGAUUUGGGCUUAGGGUUUGGGCCAUUGGGGUUUUGAUGUAAAUUGGGCUUUGGGUAGUAAGAUUUUGGGUUUUGGGUUUAAUUUUGGUGGGUUAGGUAAGGCUAAAUUGGGUUUUGAUGUAAAUGGGCUAAAAUUGGCCUACAACAUAUAUAUAUAUUUUAUUUACUUUAAAAUUCAUUGUGAUACUAUAAUUUCACAUAGUAAUUCUUUUUAUCUUCCUUUAAAUCUAUUUCAAACUCGUAUAUAUAUUGUUUAUGAUAAAUUUUAUGCAUGUAAUUUAUUUUAUAUUAAUAAUUUUCAAUUUCCUCCCUUGCAUGUUAUUCUUUUUUUUGUUUUCAUUUUUUAAGCUUGUUCGUGUUAAUUUACUUGAUAUUCCUUUUAAUUCUUUAGCUUUUAAUAUUAAUAUUUACCCAACAUAUAAUAUGAGAUUCUUACUAUUGUUAUAUUGUAUUGUUUAUUUAUAUUUAUUGAUUGUUUGACAUUCAUUAGUAUACGCUUUAUUUUAUGAAUCAUCAUCUCGCAUUGUAUAUUAUUAUUCAAUCGUUUUUAUUCGUUCAAAAGAUUACGUUUAAUAUCAUUUAAGUAUCGAAAUUGAUUUAUUCAAAAACUUUCAAGAUAGCGUAAUAUUCGGUAUUUGGGUUCUUUGAUAGAAUUGAGCCCUAACGUAUUGGGUUCCAAUUUUCCUUGUUGAAUCUAAAUAAUCGAGAAUAUUCUUCAAUCAAAAAUACAUAAAUAAAAAGCUCAUUCUCGGGAAUUCAAUACGUUGUGUCCUAACGCAUUGGAUAUGACACGUUGUUUUCUUGAGAUGAUGAUUUUUCUAAAUAAAAAUAAAGGCAAUAUUUGGUAUUUAGGAAUUUUGUGAAAUUGAACCCUAAUUUACUGGGUUUUGAUUUUUCAUUUGACCAAAUAAUCAGAUAUCCUUCUCAAAAUGCAUAGGUUUUAAAAAAAAUCAAAAGAUAAACUUAAUUUUGAAGAUAAAAAAUGUAGCGCCCUAACUUACUGGGUGUGACAUUUUAUUUCUUUAAAAUAAGAGUGUCUUAUUAUUUAAUUCAAUUUAUUCAAAGUUAAAAGGAUCGUAUUUUAAAACCUUUUCAAAUUUUUGACACUAAGACAUUAAACAAUCAAUUCGGUAACAAUUUUGGGCGUUACGAGGGUGCUAACCCUUCCUCGUGUGUAACUGACUCCCGAACCUGUUUUCUCAAAUUUUGCAGACCAAAAUCGUUUUUAAGGUGAGCCGAUCACACCCCAAUAAAUGAUCGGUAGCGACUCUCAUCUUUGUUUUUAAGUCGACUACUAAUUUUUGUUUUUAAAAAGUGGUUUCGACAUGUACAUUCAAUGUAGAGUCACAUACAGCCUGCGACAAAAAUAAUAAUUAUACACCGCUGUGUGGGGUGACCGAAAAUUCAUAUAUAGACUUAUUUCGAACGUUCUAAUUUUCCAUUCCGAAUGUUCUAAUUUUCCACCAAAAACAAAGUCGCUUUGGAAUUAAAAUUUUGGUCCUAAGGCCCGCUGGAUUUUUCACAACCACUAUCAUUAGACUAAAAUUAUCUCUCCACGUAUGAUCGGGUUUAAAAAAAUUUAUUAAAAUUAUUUAUUUAAUUUGUUAUUAUUGUUUAUAAUAGAAUAUAAAGUCUUAAAAUAUAAUGAUAUCAUCAUGGAGAAAAAUAUUUUAAUUUAAAAAUGUAUAAAUUUUAUAUAUUAUCUUUUAAAUAAUUUAAAUUAGGGAUAAAUCUCGAAAUCAUACAUGGAUUUGAUUUAAUGUGUAAUUGUAUACAUGAACUUUAAUUUGAUUUAAUAAUUUACAAGAAUUUGGUCAAAAAUAAAAUUUCAUGUAUAAAAUUCUACAAAAUCAAAGUUCAUAUAUAUAAUUGCACAUUAAACCAUAGUUCAUAUAUAGUUUUGAGAUUUAUCCUUUUAAAUUAUAAUGAUAAUUUUUAUAUAUUAAAAUUAAUAUAUUUAACCUUCCUUUAAAUGAAAGAAGCUACUUGUUGAGUUAUUAUAUUUAUUAUAUGUGAUUUAAUUUUAAAUUUUAUUUAUCAAUCUUCACAUAAUUAUUAGAUGCUUUGAGUAAUUUAAAAGAGAUAGACACGAACUGGAAUGAGGUGAAGGAAUUUAUGGCCAUAAAGAGUAAAGGUAUAUGUAUCAACUAAAAAAUAAAAAAUCAUUUAAAAAUAUAAAACUCUCACGGAAGGACAAUAUCUUUAGUUAUUGAAGGGAUCUGUUGAUUAUCAAAUGAAAGAUAUUUUAAAAACUUCUCUUAAAAAAGUCUGAUAAUCAACAAUGCUGAUAGACCAAUAAUUUGAAGCAGUCAAUGAACUUGUAGAAAGGGUAUAGCAAGAGGGAUGGAAGCUUGACGCCAAAAGUUAAGAGAUAUCUCCAUAAUGGUCACUUGUGUUGAGUGGUCUUGGGUGAUUGAAUUUUCUACAAAUGCCAUUAAAUUUCCCACAAGAAUUUUUCUACAAAUGCUUUUCAAUUUUGAAUCAAGUUGGUUUAUGAUUGGAAUUACUUGCUGUAAUAAGUUAGUUAUUUCAUUUUUUUUAUUUAAUACCAAAAUUAAAUAAAUUUUUAUUAUUAUUCUCAUUAAAAACCCAUUAAAGUUUCAGUUUUUCUAUUUAAUAUUGUAACUUUAAUUCUAUUGAAUGUUUAGGUUACUCUUUGUUUUUCAUUAAUACUUUUGGUUUUUUUUUACUAUAAAAAGCUAUUAUAUAUUAGAUAUUACUUAUUAAGAUAUCAACAUUGUUAGAGCAAAAAAAAAAUCUGUGUGAUGGUACAUAUGUUUUUUUUUUGGUGAAGUAAAAUAACAAGAUAAAAUCCGAACAAUUAACGCGACUCGAAUCCAGGUCACACUUGAGGUGUAAUUAGGUGAGAAAGACAUUUUAUAUAAUAAAAUACAUGUGAAAAAAAAUAUUGUUUCAUUAAUUAUUAAUAAAACAAAAAUAUGAUUCAUUUGCAUUUGGUAAAAUUAAAUUAAACAAUAAAAUGUUUUUUUUUUAAUUCUCGUAGAAGUAUAUUUCAUUGAAUAAUUCAAUUGCUUUUAUUGAAAUUAUCGUGGUAUAUACGAAUGUUGCUUAGAAGUUUUUUUGUAACAAAUAUUUUUCAUUGUCAUAUAUUGCAUAUGAUAUAAAGGCAAUAUUUGAAUGGAGCAUUGGUUAGUUUUUCACGGUGAAUCCUCCACAAUAUUCCUUUGUUUGAAGUUGCGGAAAUAUAUAUGUCUCAUGUUUUUAUAAGAUGCAUGUAUUUAAGUUGCGGAAAUUGAAAAGUCUUGACCUGAGUAGCAAUGGAAUUGUAGGUGUUGUGAAUAACCAAGGUUUGUUGCUUUUCAUCUCUGCAAUGAUUAAUCUCUGAAAUUUAAUUUAAGUUUUUAUAAUUAAUUCGUUUAUUUUACUUUUCUAUAUUAGAACAGUAACUUUCUCUUGCAUGCAGUCUCUUUAUCAUCUGCUUUCAACAACUUAGAAAUCCUUGACUUAUCCCACAAUAACUUCGAUGCCAGUAUCUUAUCAAGUAAGCUUCAUCUCUCAAUUUCUAUCUAUGUCUAGUAACUAAUUGUAAGUUUAUGCAAAAAUAAUAUAAAAAUACCUACAUAAUUAACGGGAGAUUUGAAAUGCAUUUUACUAGUUUUUUUUUUUUAAAUAGUUAAAGUUGAUAUUUAUGUAUAUGGGAUAAACCCAAAUUUACGACCAACAAGAAAGAAUAGAGAAGAUUAGGCAUAUAAAUUUAUGUGGGAAAACUCUUUCAAUCAACAGGAUAAAAAAGGAGACUUCAAUAAUGAGCAAACAAACGAAGAGAAUAAGAUGGAGAUAUUCAAAAACAAACCCUAACCCUAAAAACAAAGUUCUUUGGCUAAAAUACAAAAUUCCCUCAAAGCUCUCUCGAAUUUUUCUCUUAAUCUUCUCUCAAUCUUGAUGUUAUGUGUAGAGCCCAAUUCUUGCCCGGGCCUUAACACAAAAAAUAAACAAAAUAAACCAAAAAAAAAAGUCCGUUACAGCAGUGGCCCAAACCCACAAAAUUAACCCUAGCCCGAAGCCCAGUAGAGAAGCAAACCCUAAUUUCCCUAAGGGCGCGCCACACGCUCUGUCAGGCUCCCUCGCGCACGCCACCGCCACCGUCGUCGCUUCCCAUCGCCACCUUCCCAUGCGCGUCAGAACACCUACAAGAAAACUGUAACACCCCUUAACCUCAAACCGUCGCUGAAACUGGGUUACGAGGCACUACCAGACAUAUCAAACAAUUUACAAUUAAUUCCUAGAUAAAUAACUAACAUAUUAAAAUAAAACAUAAAUUCUUAUAAAUUUUAACAGUUGACUUCAUUCAUUUUUUUUUAUAAAUUUCGGCAGCAUUUCUGCUUAUUUUUACAUAAAACCCCUGCAAAUUUCAAGAUUAUAACCUGACCAAUUCCAAUGUUUCAACCAACAUUUAUAUCCUCAAGCAUAAUUAAAAUCAUACUUAACAUUUUAACUACUAUCAUAUAGAUUGCAUAAAAAGAUUAAUCAAAUAACAUAUAUUACAUCUAGACUAAAUACUUUGUAACAUAAUACAUCAAAAUUAAGUCUUCCAUACAUGCCAUAAUUUUCGAGUGAUGAUUACAAAAUACCAAAAGUUGUGGAUAGUGUAGAUGAGUUCCCGACGAUUUCCCGAAUUCCAAGCUGAACUGGUAACACUAUAAAACUGGGAAAAACAAAGAGAAAUAAGCAUAUAGCUUAGUAAGUAGACAUAUGACAAAUAAACAAAUUUUUAACAUGAUUCCAUAGAAACAUAAUUUUAUUCACACAUAAAUUUCCUUGCUUGUUCAAUUUCCAGCAAGCUGUUUUUCUGUGUCACGGUCACUAAUUUAUUUUUAUCUGGAGCUGCUGGGCUCCAAAUUAAGUUCCGUAAAUUUUCCUUGAAACUAUACUUACAUACCUUUCUAUCAUAAAAUUUUUAGAAUUUUCGGUUUAGCCAAUUAGUACAUUUUAUUCUUUAAACUUUCCCUGUUUCACUGCUCAAUAGCUCUGACCUCUCUUUACUUAAAUUUACUUAACUCUUUGUACAGAAUUCAAACAAUGUUCUUGUUUGUUUCUCUUGAAAAUAGACUCAUUGAUAAAUUCAAGCAUGUAAAUUACAAGCCAUAAUUAUUUUUGUACAAUUUUUUGUAAUUUUCCAAAUUUGGAACAGGGGAUUUCGAAAUCAAUUCAACCCUGUCUCACUAAAAUUCAAAUAUUUCAAAAUAUAUAAAAUCUUUUGCUUGCUCUGUUUCUUUCAUGUGAAAAUAGAAUCAUUUAGCUUCAAUUUCAUAUAUUAUUCAUUCUCUAAUUAAACUUCCACCAUUUAUGGUGAAUUUUCAAAGUCGCUCAACUGCUGUUGUUCAAAACUGUUUUAUUUCAAAAUUUACUCUUUUGUAGUUUUGAUAUCUCAUACCAUCUUAUACAUGGGUCGAUUAAGUAUCAAACUCACUAUUCCUCACAUUAUCUUGUCCAUUUCAUAUAUACAUUCACUUUUCCAAUUUCCCUGUUGAACACUCGGAAUAUUAUCCGUUACUCGGUGGAUUAAGCACUUAGCAACCACCUUAAAUUCAGUGAUACGUGGAAUCAGCACAUAGCAACCCCUUUCACAGUCAAGGAUACGGUGGAAUCAGCACUUAGCAACCACCUCUAUAUUCAGUGAUACGGGGAAUCAGCAUAUAGUAACCCCUUUCACAAUCAAAGAUACGGUGGAAUCAGCACUUAGCAACCACCUCUAUAUUCAGUGAUACGGGGAAUCAGCACAUAGCAACCCCUUUCACAAUCAAAGAUACGGUAGAAUCAGCACUUAGCAACCACCUUUGAAGUCAAUAAUUCAGGGAAUCAACACUUAGCAACCCCUUGGGAAAUCUGCACUUAGCGACCCCUUUUUAUUCAAUGUUUUCCGAUCUAUUCCGAGUGUUCAAUCGGAAACCUUGUUUUUCAACACUUUAUCACCUUUCUCAAACUUAACCACAUUUUUCUGAUCUACAUCAAAUAUUUAUUCUAUAUUCAAUCAAAUCUCAACAAUAUAUUGAAUAACAUUAAAAUAACGCAUUAAUUCACAUGCAUACUUACCUUGGUGUAAAAUAUUGUAAUUUUGCAAUUUACUUCACGAUCUUUUCUUUUCCCUGAUUGAGGUUGUCUUUUCGUCUUUCUUGAUCUAUAAUAGAAAUUUUAGUUUAUUUAAUAUUCACAUUUAUUACAACAGUCCUCGACUCAACUUUUUGCAAAAUUAUGAUUUUGUCCCUAAACUUAUCAUAUUUACAUUUUUCCCAAAGCUCGAAAAUUAAAUUUCACUCCUUAUUCUUAUGUUUUACAACAUGCUGAACACUUUUUCCUUCUAUGGAAACAUCAAAUUCUCACUCUAACACGUACUUAUGAACAUUAAAUAUUUUUACCGAUUAUGACAAUUUACCCGUUUUCACUUAAAAUCGCUUAGCAAAAGUUGUUUAACAUAAUUUCUAGCUUCAUAUUCUACCAUAAAACAGAAAAAUAAACACAUUUCACCUAUGGGUAUUUUUCCAAAUAUAAACCCUAGGUUAAAAUAACAGUAGAAAUAGGUAAACCGAGCUACGAGAAUCUUAAAAAUGCGAAGAACAUUAAAAACGGGCUAGGAUGCACUUACUAUGAGCUUGAGAAAGUGAAGAAACCCUAGCUAUGGCUUCCUUCAAAUUUCGGCAGCAACUAAUGAGGAUGAACACCAUUUUUUCAUCUUUUUCCCAUUUUAAUUCUAUUUAUUUACUAAAUGACUAAAAUGCCCUUACUUAAAAAAAUCUAUUUCACCCAUUUCUUAUGUCUAUUUUUUUCCAUCAAUUAGCUAAUGGUCUAAUUACCACAUAAGGACCCCCAAUUUAUAAUUUCAUAACCAAUUAACACCUUUAACACAUAAAAUUCAACUUUUGUAUUAUUUACAAUUUAGUCCUUUUGACCAAACUGAGUGCCCAAACGUCAAAAUUUUUGAAUGAAAUUUUUACGAAAUCUUUCCGUGAAAUUGUAGACCAUAAAAAUAUAAUAACAAUAAUACUUUCCCUCGUCGAAUUUGUGGUCCCGAAACCACUGUUCCAACUAGGCCCAAAAUCGGGCUGUUACAAAAACAACAAAACAGAAACGACAAACGUACAAUCCAAAGCACAAAAAGACAAAAGAAGAGAGAUGUAGUUUUUUUCCGGUUAUAAAAGGCCGAAUGGGGCGAUUGUAUUUCUUCUUCUGUCAUUUUUGUUACAGAUUAGAAAUAAAAAGGAAAACAAAGGUUGCCUUCUGGUUUCUCUGAUUUAUUCAUUUAUUUCUUUUAUUUAUUUUUAAUGAAUCAGUUUUUUUAAAAAAGAAAAAGAACUCUUAAAAAGUAAAAAAUGAAGAGGAAUACCUGGGGUUGCCUGCGAAAUCCAUCGUCGGAGCCAUUUCGUUUGCCGAAAUCGGACGAAAAGGGGGGCAUGGGGGCCUUUCCUUCUCUCGGUCUUAAGGCCCAAAAGGCUAAGCCUUUGGGCGUUUGAAAAAUGGGCCAAAAAUGCGAUCUCCGUGUCGCUCCGACCACCGCUUACGGUAGGGUCACGGCGGCACAAGCGACGGCCCUAUUGGCCGGAUUUGAGGGCUGCGUGGGAGAGAAUGUUUGAGCUUUCUAUUUUUUUUAAAUAAGGGUCAAACUAUUUUUUUUUAUUUUUAACAUUUAUAUUGGGAAUAAAACGACGCCGUUUUGGGUUUAGGCAACAAUGGCCAAAACGACGUCGUUUCACGCUUGACCCGAAUACUCAACCCGUUUAGCAGAGGAUCCGCGCGUUUUCAAGGCCGAAUGGGCUAUUUGCGCUAUGGGUCCCUCCGCUUUGAUGCUUGGCUUCAAUUCGGUUAUUUUGUCCCUUUUUAGCAUUUUUAAUCUGACCCCGUAGAUUUUGUACCAGUUUUGAUUUGGUCUAACGCGAAACGACGCACUUUAAGGGUUAGGGAUUAAUUUCCCAAUUGGCCCCUGCAUCUUUGUGCUUGCUCCAAUCGACUCCAAAUUAUUUUUUUAUAUUUCAAAUCUAACCCACUGAUUUUAUUUAAAUUCCAAUUCAAUCCUUAGUCAAUAAAAAUUCAAAUUUCACCCUUUUUUAAUAAAAAACGAAAAUGGUCAUUAAAUAUUUUAUUUAACAUCCGUUUAAUUAUUUAUUUUUAAUUGCUAACCAAACUUAUAUAUCUUUCAUUUCAUUUAUUAUUCAUUUUUAUGUGUAUUGAUUUGUAUGUAUUAUUUGUGCCUUUAUUUUCACUAUUUAUUUAUUCGUUAUUUUCAAAUAUUUUCAAAAUUUAGAUUCAUUAGUAUUAUGUUUAUUGUGAUUGUAUUAUUGUUAUUGUUACAUUAUUACUUGCAUUAUUAUUAUUCAUGUAUAUUAGCAUUAAGAUUUAUUAGUAUUAAUGUUAUAUGUGUAUUUUAUGAUGUAUAUUAUGUCAUAAUUAUUUCGAAUGUAUGUUGUAUUAUCGUUAUUAGUCGUGCACGACCCUUUUUCUGUUUUAAACAAUUUCUCCUUCAACACAAUCAAAAUUACACGAAUAUUAUCUUUAUAUAUUUUAUUAGUUCUUACUCAAAUUCAAAAAAAGGAAAAUUUUUAUAAAUAAGGCAAUAUUUUACGUUUGGAAAUUCGAGAAAACGUACUCUAACGUGCUAGGUUUCGAUUUCUCGUUUGACCAAAUAGCCAAGUAUCCUCUUAAAAUUUCAAAGUAUGGGUUUUGGAAACCAUAAGGUAAUUUUGGUUUCUAGGGUUUAAAGUAUCGUAUCCUAACGUGCUAGAUGUGAUAUUCUUUCGGAACAAGAGAAUCUUAAAUUCCAACCCAUAUUAUUUGAAAUUUUUUUUAGGAUUGUAAUUUUUAAAACUCUUCAAAGUUUUCAAUAUUCGACAUUAAGACACUAAUUAAUCAAUUAGGUAUCAAUUUUGGGCGUUACGAGGGUGCUAAUCCUUCCUUGUACAUAACCGACUCCCGAACCUGUUUUUCUGAAUUUCGUAGACCAAAAGCAUUGUUUUAAUAAAUCCAAACCAUUUAUUAAAAACAAUCGUUUUAUGAGGUGACCUGAUCACACCUCAUUAAAAAAGAUUGGUGGCGACUCCAAUGUUCGUUUUUACUUUCAAAUACCAAGUCGACCCCCUUUUAUAAAAAAAUGGUUUCGACAUUAUGAAUAUAUUUAUUCUAGGGUUACUAGUGCCCUUUUUAUAGGCUAAGAUUAGAGUUCUAAUAUUACUAAAAUAUCUAUAGAAUAAUCACAGUUUAACUAGGAAAAGUAACCCUCUUGAAAGUCUAAUAACACAGCUACUCUAAGUUAGAAUUUGUCGCGUUAUCACGACGUACCAAGCUCCCCGUUGUGACAUCGCCUCAGCUUUGCUCUUUUUCAAACAUUGUCGUGUCGUUGCGACAUCGCAUGAUUCCUCGUCGCAAUAUCACCCUUACUUUGACUCUGAUCCGACCCGAAAAUGUGAGACACAUUCCACAAUAUCUAAAUAUAUAUUGAAUUUAAAAAUAAUUGUACAAAGGAUAUGUAAUCCUUGAAGAUUAGAUACAAGUAAUUACCAUUUUAUAUUAAAAGUUAGAAAUAUAAAUUAAAUAUUCUAAACUUUUUUUUAUGUGAAUAAGUCAUGUGUUGAUAUAUUUUAUUGCUCUUGAAUAGAAUUGAAGAGUUUGAAAAACUUGAAGACGUUAGAUUUAAGCUUCAAUGGAAUCAGAAGCCUCCGGCACUUUCAAGGUAUAUCUAACUUUGAUAUUUUAUAUACAAUCAACUAAGUCCUAUAAAAAUAUAUUUAUGAACAAGUUAAAAUGAAUGCUUGAAACAAAUAAUUAUUAUUUGAUAUUAUACAAACAAAUUCUCCUUGAAAUUGUAUUACAUAAGUAUUUUACAGAUGAGAAAUUGCAACCCAUGAUGAGUUUGGAAGUGCUUGAUUUGGAUGGUAAUUUCUUGAAGAACAAUGAUUAUCAAGUUUAAAGUCUUUGAUUAUUAGCCAUAACGAAUUGGAAAUUUUCAUAAAAUAAAAAUAACAAGCUAUAUGUAAAUUACAAUUUCAUCAACCUUUUUUAACUGUUAAAAGAAUUAUAUCCAAAUAUAUUCGUUCUUUUGGUAUUUAGCUUUUUAGGUUGUAAACUAAAGUCAUAAUGAUUUUUUGUCCUCCAAUUUUAAAAACAAAAAAUCAUUUUACCUCUCAAUUUAAUUUUUCAUCUCUUCUAGUCAUUAAACUUCAAUUUUUUUUUGUCAAAUCACCCCAAAAUGAAAAGAAAAGUUAAUAUUUGUUAAUUUUGCUAAUGUGACAUAUAUGUGAAUUGUCAUAUAGAUGACAUAUCAACAUUUAAUUAAUUUUUAAAAUUUAAGUAUUUUUUAAAUAUUUUUUAUUUUUUGAAAUUUAUUUAAAAAAUUAAAUAUUGAUGGAUCAUCCACGUGACAAUCCACAUGUAUGCAAUAUCAACAAAAUUAAAAAAAAUUGUUAAAUUUUCUAUUCAUUUUAGGAUGACUUGAUGAACAUAAGUUUAAGAGAUUAAAAAUCAAAAAAUUAAAUGAAAACCUUUUUUAAGUUAAAAAGAGUUAAAUAAAUUAUUAAUAACUAAAAUAAAAUGUUUUUAAUAAUUUUUUUAUGGAGAAAAGUAGUUGAAUUGCAUGAACCAAAAUUACUGAUUUUUUGUGAUAUAACUUUGUUUGACUGACAAAAAGGGUAUUUGAUUUAUUUGAAUAGCAUUCAAUAAUCUCACAAAAUUGAAGAAGUUGGAUAUGAGUCGCAAUUAUGUUGAGAGACUUGGUAAGUGUCCAUAUAUUUUACUUUAUCAAAUUGCUACAUUUAUUAUACUAAUAUCUAAAUGCUUUGUAGAUGAGGAAAGGUAUAAUUUGACGAAUUUAGAAGUGCUUAAUUUGAAUUACAACUCUUUCGGAAAAAGCUCAUUGGCACAGCUUAGUGGGUUUUCCAAUCUAAAGGAAUUGAGUAUGCAACAAAACCAGGUGCAAUUAUUUAAUAUAUUUAAUUUUCCUUUAAACAAAAUUAACUAUUUAUUAAGUUAUAUUUAUUCUCUAUGAUUUACUUUUAAAUUUUAUUUGUCGACUUUUAGAGAUUGAACAAUUUAGAGAAGCUAAACAUUAGAUAUCUAAUGAACUGAUGUCAACCACUAAUUUGACUCUCAAAAAUGGAAGUUUAGAAAAGCAUUUUAGUAGUUCUUUUAAGAAAAAAAUUAUGUCUAAAUAUAUAAUGAGUUUAAAAAUAAUUGUAUUAAAAUCUGUAAUCGUUGAGGAUUAGAUACAAGUAAUUGCGACUUUAAUAUUAAAAGUUGGAAAUAUGUUGUUAUUUUAAAAUUAAAUGUCCUAUAUUAAUUAUUUUUAUAUGAAUAAGCCUUGUGUUGAUAUUUGAUAUAUUUCAUUGCUCUUGAAUAGAAUUGAAGAGUUUGACAAAGUUGAAGACGUUAGAUUUAAGUGGCAAUAGAAUUGAAAGCCUCAAGCACUUUCAAGGUAUACUUAAAUUUGAUUUUCUUUAUACAAUCAACUAAGUCUUUAAGGCGUUGACCUUAUAUAUUUAUAAACAAGUCAAAGAUGCAACUUUGAGAUAAAUAAUUAUUCAUUGAUAUUAUACAAAUAAUUUUUUUCUCGAAAUUGUAUCACAUAAAUCUUUUACAUUUAUUAAAAGAGAGAACCGAAACAAACUACUUGUUCAGUUAUUAUAUUUAUUUUAUGUGAUUUAAUUAUAAAUUUUAUUUUUCGAUAUUCACAUAAUUAUCAUAUGCUUUGAGUAAAUUAGAGUCAUUGAGAAAAAUAUUUUAAAUUUAAAAAAAAUGUAUAAAAUUUAUAUUUUAUCUCUUAAAUAAUUUAAAUAAUAAUAAUUUUUAUAGAUUAAAAUUAAUAUACUAUCUCUUUUGAAAUAAUAUAAAAAUUAUAUUAAUAUAUAAAAAAUAAAUUAUAAAUUGAAAACUUAUCUCUUAAAUAUAUAAAGUAAAAUAUAUGUACCAAAAUAAUAGGAUUUCAAUUUUAAUUUUUUUUCUAUGUGUUAUCAAUUCUUUAAAACAUUUGACUAUUAAGUUCAAAAAAUUUUAUUUUAAUUAAUACUUGUGCAUUUCACGGAAAAAAAACUAGUUAAUAUAUAUAACCAGCUUUGUAGAUGUGGAAUUACUUAUUUUACAUUCUAUAAAUAUAGCAGCACCUAUAUAAAGUAUACAGUACGCCUUUUAUUAAAUUAGUUCUUUAUAAUAAUUUGUUGUCUUAAAUUUUAGCCUAAUAAAUUCUAUUUCUAAGUGAAAUAAAAUUAAUAAAUUUUAAUUAAGAUAUUAUUUCAAUAAAAUAUUUAAAUUUCAUAUAAAAUAUAUUAAUUAUAUUUUAUUAAAUAAAAAUAGUUUUUAAUAAAUGAAGUUACAUUAGUAAAUUUUAUUAAAGAUACAAUUUAAAUCUCAUUAAUUAAUUUUUAUUAAUAUAUUUUAGUUUUUUUAAUUUAAAAAUUAAAAUAUGAUCUAAAUAUUAAAUGUUGUUAUAAGUGUAUAAUAAUUACUUAUCUAUAACAUCCAAUAGUGGCAAUAUAAAAGUUGAAUAUAAGUGAAUUUUUGUGACUAACAAAAAAUGUAUUGAAUUUAUUUGGAUAGUAUUGAAUAAUUUGACAAAGCUAAAGCAGUUGGAUUUGAGUGGCAAUAAAAUUGAGAGCCUCCAAUCUUCUCAUGGUAUGUGUUGAGAUGUUUUACUUUAUCAUAUUCUUACAUAUACAUACCACUAUCUUAUUUAAUAUUCCAUUAGUAAUAAAUUUGUUUAUCUCAAUGCUUUGUAGAUGGUGAGAGGCCACUUAAUUUAACCAAUUUAGAAGAGCUUAAUUUGGAUUUCAACUCCUUCACAAACAGCUUAUUGGCACAACUUAGUGGGUUUUCCAAUCUAAAGUCACUGAAUAUAAGGAAUAACCAGCUUAAAGGAUCAAUAAAUAUUAAAGGUGGAAUUACUUAAUAUAUUUAAUCUUCCUUUAAAUGAAAUAAACUACUUGUUGAGUUAUUGCAUUUAUUCUAUGUGAUUUAAUUUUAAAUUUUGUUUGUCAAUUUUUACAGAAUUAUUAGAUGCUUUAAGCAACUUAGAGGAGCUAGACAUGAGCGAGAAUGAGGUGAAGGAAAUUGUGCCCAUAAAGAAUAAAGGUUUAUGUAUCAACUAAAGGAAAUCUUACUAAUUGUUUUCCAUUAGAUAUCUAGUGAACUGAUGCCAACCACUAAUUUGACUCUUAGACAAUGGAAGUUUGAGAAAGCUAAAGGUUGCUUCAUUAAACCGUGUGUUCACCGAUGGAACUGCUUCUCUAAUACAGCUUCUAGAGACAUUCUCAUCUGUUAAUACAUUAUAUUUGAGUGGCAAUUACUUCAAAGACACAUUUUCUACUCAAGUUAUAAUAUAUAUGUAUGUGAAUAUAUAGUUUUAUAGUUUGGUCCCAUUUAAAAAUAUUAUUUACUUAACGUAAAUCAUCUAAAUAACGCUUAUAAAUUUGUAAAGAUCAACUGCAUGUAUCGAGCAAAAUAGAGGAAUUGGUGCUGGAUUAUUCAUCUCUCAGCAACAACAUUCUUCAAAGCUUUGGUGGACUGGCUUCUCUCAAAGCCUUGUAUUUAGGUUCCUGUGGGUUGUCUGGGACAUUACAUACCCAAGGUAUAUUAAUAAUUAUGACAUAAUUAUUUAGGCAGUCUCUUGAUUAAUUAUUUUUUUAUCCUCUUAGAAAAUUGGAGUAACUUGCACAAAUUUAUUUUAUAGGAUGGUGUGAUUUACGGAAGCUUGAGACGUUGGAUCUUAGUGAAAAUUCUCUUGGGGGAGCACUCCCUUCAUGUUUGGAAAACUUGUCAUCUCUUCGUUAUUUGGAUAUUUCCGGUAAUCAAUUCAUCGGAAAAGGUGCCUCCACCGCUCUAGCCAAUCUCACAUCGCUUAGAUUCAUGUUUCUUUCACGAAAUCUAUUCGAAGUUCCAUCAAUUUUCAUGUCAUUUGCCAACCACUUACACCUCAAAGUCCUCUUUAGCGAUCAAAACAAGUUAGUCAGAGAGCCUACCAUUCAAACAUGGGUCCCAAAGUUCCAACUAAAAGCCUUCCUUUUCUCGAAUUGCACAACAAAGGAACUCCACAUUGAAAUUCCAAAAUUCCUCUACUACCAAAAUGAUCUGAGUAUGGUUGAUCUUUCAUACAAUAAUUUUUUAGGGAAGUUUCCUUUUUGGUUGUUAGAGAACAAUACAAGAAUGGGAGCAUUUUUAAUGAAGGGUAACUCUUUUAUGGGCCAUCUCAAUCUUCCAUCUCAUCCGAAACCAAAAAUGUCCCUUGUUGAUAUAUCUGACAACAAACUAGAAGGUCCAAUUCUAGCAAGCAUUUGUUCAAUCUUUCCACAACUAAAUGGGUUAAACCUAUCAGACAAUUUCUUUCAAGGAAAUAUUCCUCCUUGUUUAGGUAGUUUGAACACUACAUAUUUAAUAUUAGAUCUGUCACAUAAUCAUCUAUCUGGCGGAAUACCAGAAAUGUUAGCUCAAAGUGACUCGUUGGAGCUUCUUAGGUUAUCAAAUAAUGAUCUAAGUGGGAAGAUAGCCCCAACGAUCUUUUGCUCAUCUUCAUUACAAUUUUUAUAUUUAGAUGGCAAUAAGUUUGAUGGAAAUAUACCUGACAUUGAUAUCUCAACUUGUCAUCCGUAUCCUCUUAGUGAUAUGGAUUUAAGUAACAACAAUUUGUCUGGAGAGCUCCCAAGAUGGAUAUGGAAUAUGUCAUCUUUAAAUGCAUUAUUAGUAUCCAACAAUCAGCUCAAGGGUCUUAUUCCGAAGGAAUUGUGCCAUUAUUCCCUUCAAAUUUUGGACCUUUCAAAAAACAAUUUUUUUGGCCCAAUACCAUCUUGCUUCAAUGUACACAGUAUCAAACAUCUCCAUUUGAGCAAAAAUAGGUUAAGUGGUACCUUGACAAAUGCAUUCUUUAAUAGCUCUUCCUUGGUGACUUUAGAUCUUAGUGAAAACCAGUUGACUGGUGAAAUUCCAUACUGGAUUGGAAAUCUUUCAACUUUGAGUGUUCUCCUUCUAAAAGCCAAUUAUUUUAUUGGAGAAAUUCCCAUUAAGAUAUGUAAAUUGUAUUCAUUAAGCAUCAUUGAUCUUUCUCAAAACAAGUUUUCUGGUCUGAUACCUUCGUGUUUGAGUCGUUUAACUCUUGAGCCAAAUGAUAAAAAUCUUCGACAAUAACCUAUGGGUUGGAUUUUGAUGGAAUCUUGGAGGGAGCUAAUUAUAUUGGAAUGACCAGAUUGGAUUUGUCCGAUUUUGGAUUCAAUCUACAUUUCUUUAUUGAGAAUCUAGAAGAAAAGGUGGAUUAUACAACAAAGGGAGCAUCUCGCACAUACAAAGGAAACAUUCUUGAGUACAUGUCUGGAAUUGAUUUAUCAUGUAAUAGAUUAACAGGUGAAAUUCCCAGAGAGAUUGGAAAUUUGAGUGAAAUCCGAUCACUAAACUUGUCGCACAACAAUUUGACUGGAUAUAUACCGUCAACGUUCUCAAAGCUCAAGCAAAUUGAGAGUUUGGACCUGUCUCACAACAACUUAAUUGGAAGAAUACCUGUUCAAUUGACGGAGUUGUACGCCUUAGCAAUCUUCAAUGUGUCAUACAACAACUUGUCAGGGAGUAUUCCGUCUCCGAAAUUUCAAUUUGGAACCUUCGACGAAAGCAGUUACGUGGCGAAUCCUUUCCUCUGCGGGUCUCCCCUGCAUAAAAAUUGUAGCAACCUUGAUUCACUCCCGACAGCAGCACCAAAGAGCUCAAACGAGGAAGAAGAAAGUGGUUUGAUGGACAAGUAUGUUUUCUGGGUGACCUUUUUUGUUUCUUACGUAAUUGUGUUACUGGUUAUUGUUCUCAUCCUGUACAUAAAUCCUUAUUGGCGACAAGCAUGGUUCUCUUUUGUUGAACACUGCAUCAAGACCUGCCAGUAUUUUAUUGAGGACAAUCUUCUAUGAUUUUCCAUCUUCAAAAGAAGCGGGUAGCCUUGUGCUUUGGUGGUUUACAUCUGUAUGUAAAUUUUUUCAUGUGUUUCUAUUUUUCAAAGUUUGAUUGGGUUAUCUGCUUUUAAGUUUUUAGAGGUAGAAUACAAUAGCUCUGUGAUGUAAUAAUUGCCAGUUUAGUAUAAGAAAACAAUAUAUAAAACUAUGCAUUUUCAGUUAAAACAUUUAAUAUUGCUUUAUAAAUUUUAGUGUUGUGAUAGUAUAAUGUUAAAUUCAAUAUAUGUUUCCUUUUCCAUGAUUACGUAAAAGCGAAAUAUACAAAUCAUAUUAUAUUAAUAUAAUCCACAUUCUUUAAAUCAUAUGCUCAAUUGAAACUUAUAUAUAUAUAUUAUCAAACAUGAAUGAUAUAAACAGUCUUCGAAAAAAGUAUGAUUUUCAUGUUUAGUUAUUAUUAUUUAAUAUUUAAUUGUUUUACUAUUAUUUGAUAUCAAUAAUAUUUAUAUGUUUGUGAAUGUUGUUUGUUAUUGUCUCGUGAAAUAUUAUGUUAAAGAUAAAAGAAGUACUAAGUAAUAGUUCUUUUUAGGUGAAAUUUUGACUCAAGUUUGAAUGGUGAGUUAUUUUAUCUAAUUACUUACGUUUGGAUAGCAUAAAGUAAUUAAAUGGCACUUUUGUAAUUACAAAGAUUGUACUUGAUAGAUGAAAGAACUAGGUAAAGGAAGAAAAUAACUAUCCAAACAGAAAGAAGCAGAGAGUGAAAUAAUAGAAUAAACUUCUUGUUGUUUAUUCAAAUUUGCCUACCUCUUAAUUCUUAAUGUACAGUAUAUAAAGACUUUCUGAAUUAAGUAACAACCUCACUAACUGACUAACUACUUCUAUUCUCUAAUAUUCAUCCAUAUUCUCUAUAGGCAAGACCCGUAGAAAACUCCAAAAACGAGUAAAACUCGAUGACGAAAUUGGCUUAGUGAGAACAUCAGCGACCUGAUCACACGCUGGAACUUCUCCAACAGCAACCGUGCCAUCAGCAACCUUUUCACGAACAAAAAAUAAAUCUAACUCAACAUGCUUAAACUUUGAAUGAAGAACAGGAUUUGCAGCAACUGCAACCGCCCCAGGACUGUCACACCAAAUUUGAGGAACACUAUUAGACUGAACAUGUAAUUCUUUAAGUAGCAACAAAAGCCACGUAACCUCACUAGUAACUGCAGCAAGACUUCGGUAUUCUGCCUCAGCAGUAGACCGAGCAACAACCUGUUGUUUCUUCGUACACCAUGACACAGGUGUAUGUCCGAAAUAAACACAGUAUCCAGUAGUAGACCUCCGGUCAUCAAAAUCUAAUCCCCAGUUGCAUCAGCAUAUCCAACUAAGGACAAACUAGUGGAUGGACGAAACACAAUUCCAAAAUCAAUCGUACCACCUAAAUACCUCAAAAUGCGCUUCAGGGCAGUCAUAUGAAUGGAAGUAGGACAAUGCAUAAAUUGACAUAUUCGAUUAACAGCAUAGGCAACAUCAGGCCGCGUAAGAGUGACAUACUGUAAUGCUCCUGCAAGACUCCUGUAUUCAGUCGGAUCCUGUAGCCGCUCACCACCAUCGCGAGUCAUAACAGAGGAACUAACCAUCGGUGUAUGAACACUCUUCGUAUUCUCCAUCGAACAACGUAUAAGAAUAUCACGUAUAUACUUCUUCUGACAAAGAUGAAGGCAACCUGACGAAGAACGAUUAACCUCUAUCCCAAGAAAAUAAUGAAGAUCACCCAUGUCCUUAAGCGAGAACUCACUAUUCAGCAAAUUAACAAACCACUCUAUGACAGAAGGCAUAUCUCCAGUAAUAAUAAUAUUAUCAACGUACACAAGCACAUAUAAUGUUGACGCUGGUACAACUCGAACAAACAAGGAAGCAUCAGACUUUGAAACUACAAACCCCACGGAGACUAGAAAUCCUUUUAGCCUUUCAAACCAGGCACGAGGAGCCUGACGAAGACCAUACAACGCUUUCUUCAAGCGACACACCAAAGGUCUGCCAUCUGAGCCAUAUUGAACAUAACCGGGAGGUUGAUGCAUAAAAACUUCAGUGUCAAGGUCACCAUUUAGAAACGCAUUAUUCACAUCCACUUGUCGAAGCGACCACCCCCUAGACACAGCAAUAGACAAAAUAACUCUGAUAGUAGCCGGUUUGACCACUGGACUAAACAUUUCCUUAAAAUCACAACCCGGAACUUGAGAGCAACCUUUUGUAACUAAUCGAGCCUUAUAUCGAGCAAUAGUGCCAUCAGAAUUCUUCUUGAUUCGGAACAACCAUUUGCACCCAAUGACCUUACGAUUAUAUGGAGCAGGAACGAGCUCCCAUGUGGAAUUACGCAUAAGAGCAUUAUACUCAUCUUGCGUAGCAGUGCGCCACUCAACAGUAGCCAGAGCUUCUUCAAUUGUAGUCGGUUCAACAGCUUCAACACUUAAAACCUUAGGCUUGUAAACCCCUGCUUUAGCGUGAGUAACCAUUGGGUGAGUAUUGCCCACAGCUGUCCUAUUAAUCUGACUAGACAGUCCCAUAUUAGACGAAGAGAGAGCAUUGGUAUCACUGGAGAAUCCUGAGCCAUGCUCUGAUGGAAGAUCACUCAACUCAGUUCCAUCAUUAGCUGAAUAAUCAUGAGCUGGAAGACUACCCAACCCAGUCCUAACAUCAGUUGAAGGAUCAUGAAACUGGGGCUGCUCCACACUAACAUCUAAUACAGGAUCAGUAGGCUGAGACGACACCCCUUGUACCGACGGUGUCAUCAUGCAUGGCUCAAGAGUCGAGGAUGAAGGUGGCCACACAAGAGGAACAACUGUCGAACUAGUCUGACCGGUUGUUGAUACAGACUUGUCUGAACUAGUCUCGGUAAACAAAAACCUCUGCUCAUCAAAGACCACAUGCCUUGAAAUUAUAACCUUACCAUCUGGUAAAAGACAUUGAUACCCCUUGUGACGAGGACUGUAGCCCAAAAAAGUUGACGGCUGAGACCGAAAUUCCAACUUACGACCUACAAACGGACGUAAGUAAGGAUAACAACAGCAACCAAACACUCGAAGAUGAUCAUAGGUCGGAUCACUUCCAUACAGUUCUUUAAACGGAGAACUAUCCUGAAGUACAACCGUGGGAAGUCGAUUUAUGAGAUGAACCGCACAACAAAACGCAUACCCCCAGUAUUCCAUAGGCAAAUUUGCAUGAGCCAACAACGUAAUCCCCAUUUCAACAAUGUGACGAUGUUUUCGCUCGGCUACUCCAUUUUGUUCUGAAGUAUACGGACAGGUCAGUCGAUGAAUGAUCCCCUGAGAUUCUAAGACAGACGUAAACCCACGAUAUUCACCUCCCCAAUCGCUCUGAAACUGCUUAAUAGACUUGCCAAACUGUGUCUUAAUCAACUGUUGAAACUGAGUAAAACAUUCAAGUGCUUGAGCUUUUUGACGUAAAAGAUAAACCCAAGUAAACCUGGUACACAUAUCAAUAAACGAAACAUAAUAUCUCUUAUCACCACAUGCAACAGGUGCAGGACCCCAAAGAUCAGACACAACCAAUUCAAAAGGACGAUAGCUAGUAGUCGAAUGGGAGAAAGGCAACUUAUGUGACCUGCCUUUUUGACACGCAGUACAUAUACCAUCCAGACCAAUUUUAUUUGAAACAACAUUACAUUUAUUUAGAAUAUUUUUGACCACAGAAGUCGACGGGUGGCCUAAACGAUUAUGCCAUAAAGUAAAUACAGAAGUAGUUGAAACUGUAUGUGGAACUUGAGAAUGAGCAACAAACGGAGUAGUCGUAGGCAACGUAGAAACCGCUGGGACAGAAAACUGAUAUAGACCAUCAUGAAUGCGGCCCGUCAGCAAUAUCUCCUGAGUCAUCGUAUCCUUAAUAACACAAUAGGUAGGGUGAAACUCAAAAAACACAUCAUUAUCACGAGCAAACUAUGAGACAGAUAAGAGAUUUUUCCGUAUACGUGGCACACAUAAAACAUUUGAUAACCGUAACGAUUUAUCUUGAGUAGGUAAAAUGGCCGUACCAAUUGAUGAAAUUAUCGUAGGAGUACCAUCACCCAUUAAAAGAGAUGACUUACCUGAGUAUGGCGUGACAUUACGUAAAGCUGACAUAUCACGACAGACAUGAUGACUCGCUCCCGAGUCAGGAUACCAAGACGUGGUGCCACUGCACACUGGAAUGUACGAAUCAUCAUUACCAGUACUAGAUGCAAGCUGAGCCGUAUUAACAUGAGAAUCUGAUACUGAAGGAUCAGAAUAAUUAGACGCAUGUAAAUCCCCUAGCCGUGGAAGCCCAAUACAUGGAUUAGAUUCGGUAUAGACCCGAGCACGCGGUUUAGUAAAUUUCAGAACCGGACCACCAACACCUAGUCCAUCACCAAUCGGUUCAGGCGAGCCGGGAUCAUCUUGAUCAAGUUGAACAAAAUUAGAGGAUGGUACAAUAUUCGGCCCAGCAUUAAACUGAACAUUCAGUCCAUGAGAAGAGUGUUGAACAUUCGGUCCAUCAUUAAACUGGACAUUUUGUCCAUGGGAUUUGUUUCCACUAGAACCGCGCCACUGUCCAUUUCCAGUAGUGAACCCGUGUAAAGUGUCUCCACUAUACCCUUGCCCAGCAUCAUGACCGAAUUUAGACAAGCUGGGCUUGUAGGCAUCAUUUUGUGCAUUGGACACAUGUGGCCCACGUGGUAAUGGCCUAUUUUGCAUGCCAGCACACACAUUUUGACUAACAUAUCUAUUUUGACCAGCAUGACUCCCUUGACCAUAAAAAAUUCUUUGACUAUUCUGAUGAGGAGCAACCAUCUGUUCAUCACCAUUUUGCACAAAAGUUCCAGAAUCACAACCUUCAACACCAGACAUUUCAUUUGAGUCUCGGUGAUACCGAUAAUAGCACUUUUGAGCCACAUGACCAAACCGACUACAGAUCUGGCAUUGAACACAAGAUCUGAUAAACCGGCCACGACCACGAACAGACGCACGACCUCCACGACCGGCCCCUUCUACCGAUGGCUCAUUUUCAACAAGAUUCGCGUUCAAACUGACCUCCUGCAACACUCGAUCUUGACGACUCUCACAAUCGACUAGCGCAUCCACCAGACGUUGCAACGGUAGAACUACAGGCGACAAACGAGUAGAGGAGAUAACCGCCUCAAACUCCGACGGCAAACCCGCAAGCACCACUUCGAUCUUUUCUUCAUCGGAGAUACGAGAGCCAGAAGCAUCUAGCAUACCACAUAAAUCUUUAAUCCGAGCAACAUAAGCCUUAAUCGAAAGAUUACCUUUCUUCAACGAGUGAAGUUCAUGCCGAAUCCUCGACUGCUUGGCGCCCGUAUCAACUGCAAAAAGAUUACCGACCAUGCUCCAUAUGUCGCACGCCGUGCAAGCAUCAUCAAAGGAGGAUUGAUGAGAGGAAGUUACAGUAGACAGAAGCCAGGACAUUAGCAGUUGAUCUUGCUGCGUAAAGACUUGAGCCGCCGGAUUUGGAGCACGAGAUCCACCGGGUAGAGCGAUGAAUCGCAACGGCGGAGCAACAGUGCCAUCUAAAAAACCUGCGAGUCCAUAGCCAUUAACAAUCAGCUUUACCUGUUUACGCCAUUGAAGGUAAGUACCUUCAUCGAGUUUGACCACUUCAUGUCGAGGAAAAACUGUUGUGACUCGAUCGGCAGCAAAUACACCGGAGCUAGGUUCACCAGACGCUGAAUCAGCGGAAGCCAUGAGAAGCAAUGACCAGAAUCACUUGGCGAAUGAUACCAUGAAAGAACUAGGUAAAGGAAGAAAAUAACUAUCCAAACAGAAAGAAGCAGAAAGUGAAAUAAUAGAAUAAACUUCUUGUUGUUUAUUCAAAUUUGCCUACCUCUUAAUUCUUAAUGUACAGUAUAUAAAGACUAUCUGAAUUGAGUAACAACCUCACUAACUGACUAACUACUUCUAUUCUCUAAUAAUAGACGUGUUUGAGUGACACAAUUCCCUAUGUCAUGUUUGUUAAUAUAAAUUGUAAUUACAUAGUUACAUUAUAAAAUUUUUGGUGUUAAAUUUCGCAAAAUUCUGAUAAAAUAGUGAGGUUAACUGAGAAGCGAAUUUAUUAUUUUUGGAGCUUGUUAUUAUUUUUGAAAUUUUUAGUUAUUAAUGGGUAAUGAUGUCGACUAAGAAUCGAAUUGGCCCAAGGGACUAAAUUGAAAGAGGAGUGAAAAGGGAAAGUUUUUAAGUACUAAUAAGCCCAAGGGCUUAAUGGCCAAUUGGCCAUAGUCUUUUAAAGCACUAAAAAUCACGUCCUUUCUAGCCCUUAUUUUCAACUUCUCUCUUUGGCCGUCUGUCUACACUUGCACCGUUGAAAUCCCUUCAAAUCCUCGCCACUUUGUGUCUAAAUACCAUCAUCGAUUGCCACCACUGAUAUCAGCUGCAAUUGCUCUAAUUCACUGCGGACAAUUGCCUUAAUUUGUAGAUGCUCAUUAUUCACAUUAAAGUUUAUUUCUCUAAUGGAAUUGAUGCUAUGGUUAGUCUUAUUUUCAAAGAUGAUUAAGUUUCAUUUGAUUAGAAUUAGUUGGAAUAUGUGCGGUUAACUUCUAAUUAAAAUUAUUUAGUUUAAGAUUCAUUAAUAAAUUAUUUUUACCGUGGUUUCUUUGAUUUAUUGCUGUAAUUUUUUGUUUACUUUUAUUUGUUGUCAAAGGGUAAAUUAUCUGAUACUUUUACAAUGAACUUAGAAUUAUUUUUGAUGAAUUCGAAGCGAAAAACUAGAUAAUUCGAUGAAAGUGAAGCUGGUUGUGAAUUAAUUGCUCCUAAGCUACAAACACUAAGAAAUUCAGUUUGUUACCUUUACGUUUUAAAAUAUCUUAAUGUUGUUAAAUUAUUAGCUUUGUUGUGAUUCUUGCAUGUAAAAUUUUACUUGUGUAGUUGUUUAUUAAAUUGUUUUUAAUGAUGGCUCCUAUUGUUAAAUUGAUAUUCUUUAUUAAUUGAUUAUUUUCCGAAAAUUAUUGUUAAAAGUACGAAUUUAAUAAUUGACUAAAUACUUGAUAAAGUUAGUUGGAAAUUCUUCGGAUAUAAUUAGCAUGUUGUAGAGUGUAGAGGUCUCCAUCAUUGUUUGUUGUUCAUUGUGUGGAUUGCCUUAAGCAUAUGGGAGUAUUGUCAUUGUUGCCUCUUUGCGCAUAUAGUGUGAUGGUAGGUCAUUGAUUAAGUUGCAUUUAUUACGCAAUGCAGUACUGUCAUUGUUGACGCUUGUGCCAUUUUCAUUGACCGUUUGGUGUUUGGUUGGACACUCUUUUGUCCGAAUGUCUUUCCUUCUUGUGUUACUUAGGCAAAAUAAUUAAAUGAACUUAAACAUUAAAUUGAAACACUAUCAUUAUUUAUUGAAUGUAUUGCUAAUGUUUCAUUGUUAUUUUAAAUUGCUACCUUGUGACUGACUUGUGAUUGUAUUGUGUCUUUGAAAAUUAUUUUAAUUAUACACUUUGGUAGUUUAAAAUGUAUUGGAUUACUACUAAGCUGUAAAAAGGCAUAGCACUUGGGUUUUUAAUUUCUUGUGCAAGUAAUAUUUGGAUCGCAUAGUUUGUGAUAUCGUGAUCGAGCAACAUCACCAAAGAGUUUAGCAUGUACUUAGGUGUUGUUAAAUUGGUCAACUUGUUUACUUUAGUUUUAUUUUAGAGCUUAUUGAUUGAUUGAGCAUUGUUAAAUUAUUUUAUUAUUUGACUUUACACUAAUGUUUAAAUUUUAUGAUUUUAUGUGAAAAUGAUUGAAUGAUUGAUUAUUUGGGUCGCUCAGGUGACCGUUGUGACACUUUCGAUCCAAUUGAACUUUUGAGUCGGGUUUGAGGUGUUACAAACAUAAUUUAUAUUUUUUAAAAAAUAUUAAUUAGUAUAAAAAUUAUUAGUAUGAUCAAAAAUAAUUUCUAAACAAAUUGUCAAAACCAUUUUUUUGUAAAACGGGGGUCGACUUUUAUUUUGAAAACGAAAACGAACACAGGAGUCGCCACCAAUCCUUUUUGAUGAGGUGUGAUCGGGUCACCUCGAAAAGUUUUUAAUAAACGAUUUGCUUUUAUUAAAAUAACGAUUUUUGGUCCACGAAAUAAAAAAAAAACGGGUUCGGGAGUCGGUUACGUACGAGGAAGGAUUAACACCCUCGUAAUGCCCAUAAUUGGUACCUAGUUGAUUAAUUAGUGUCUUAGUGUCGAAGAUUGAAAACUUUGAAGAGUUUUUAAAAAUACGAUCCUUAAAAAAAUCGAAUAACAUGGGUUGGAAUUUAGGAUUCUCUUGUUCCGAAGGAAUAUCACAUCCAGCACGUUAGGAUACAACACUUUAAACCCUCGAAACCAAGAUUACCUUAUGGUGUCCAAAACCCAUACUUUGAAAUUUUAAGAGGAUAUUUGACUAUUUGGUCGAACGAGAAAUCGAAAUCCAGCACGUUAGGGCACGUUUUCUCGAAUUUCCAAACGCAAAAUAUUGCCUUAUUUUUAAAAUUUUCUUUUUUACAAAUUUGGGUAAAAUUAAUGUAAUAGUUAAUAAGAUGUACUUUUAAUAUAUGCGAACAUGGUGUGAAGGUGAAAAAUUUUUUUUACGCAAUAUAUAGUACAAUAAUAAUGAAAUAACAUAAAAUAACCAUAUUAGUAGAAUAUUUAAAAAGUAAAUAAUAAAUAAUGGAAUACAAUAAUAAUGACGUAAUUAUAAUAAUAACACCAAAUAAUAAUAACAAUAAUCAUAUUAGUUACUAUUCUAAUACUAAAAAAAUAUAAAAAUGAAAUAAACACUAAUAAUGAUGAUGAUAAUAAUAAUAGUGAUAAUGAUAAUGAAAUGUAUAAAUAAAGGAAUAAAUAACAAUAUAAAUACUAAAUCAAGAAUAGUAAGGAAAUGGAUAAAUGAAUAUGUAUAAAUAAAUAAAACUGAACGAAAAAGAAUAAAUAAAUAAAUAAAAGCUUGAAAUUAAGCGAAUAAAGGAAUAAAUUGAGGUUAAAAUAAAAUUUUAAGUCUAGAUUAUAAUAAAAUGGAUGGAUAAACGUAAAAGGGACUGGAUCAAAUUUUGAAUGGAAUUUAAAGGUAUAAAUCGGAAUAAAAAAAUGACGUAAAGGACCACAUUGAAAAGCGCGAAUAACAUAGAGGGGCCAAAUGGGAAAAUAUUCCCGCCCUUCAAAACGCAUCACUUUACACGGGGCUAAAAUGCAAUAAAAGCAAAAUUCUAGGGCAAGAUCAAAAAAAGAACACAAAAAAAUUCAAAUUGAAGCGGGCCGAGGAAGCGGAAAGACUGAACAAGUAAAUAUCCCUUCCACUUAAAAAAACACGCGGAUCCUUAUCCUGGAGCGGGUUGGGUCAACCCAUUUCGCAUCAAAACGACGCCGUUUUGAUAAGUUAUAUAAACCAAAUUUUUACCAAAAGUUUUAUUUUGCCCAUUAUUUUAAAAAAAACUUUAAAAAUCUUUCAAAAUUUCUCUCAAGCCUUCCCGCGUCUGGCCAUAACUCCGACCAGUCGUCACCGUACCGUAACCUUAUCCUUUCGACCCUCCUAAAUCCAAAUCUGGGUUCAAAAUUCCCAAAAUAUUAACAAAAAUACCUCAAAAGCUCAAGAAACCUUUCGAUUUUCGGUCACCUAUCCUCAGAGGUGACUUCCUCAGCCAUCCACGGUGUUGAAAAACUCGAAUACAGGUUAGUUUGUUACUCCCUUUUCAUUUUGUUUUACUUUCGUAUGUGUAAAUAUGAUAAAAAUAAAAUAACAGUAGACCAAAAAUGAAACGAAGAUUUAGAAAAUAGCAGUAGAUGUAAACCUUUCGGGAUUUUUCUAAUUAUUUUGAGUUUUUCGAGUAUUCGAUCCCUUUUUUUAUUACAUUGAUUGAUGGGGCCUUUUAUAGCCGAUUUACAUGCUAUUUUUUGUUUGCUUUCGCUUUUGUUCUUGUUGAUUCUGUGUCUGUCUCUUUUUUGUUCUGUUUGCAGGUCUUGGCAAGGUCAACAGAUGUUGAAGGGAUAACCCCUGCCAUUUUCGUACAAGGCUGUAGACGCCUGUCAGGCUUCGGGCGACGAGUGCGCUAUAGGGGCACGAAGAGGGAGUGCGGCACACAUGGAGCACUAGGGUUUCUGUUUUCCUCUGAAAGCAGUUAGGUUGUGGGCUGAAUUGGGUUAGGUUUUCUUUUUUAUUUUGGGCCAUACCAGGCCUGGCAUGUAAUUAGGGUUUGGGUUUGUUAUUUGAGUUUUGGGCCCGGUCAAAAAUGGCCUAUUACAGCUGCCUAUCUUUGCUUAUUGUCGUGUAACGGGAAUGAAACAAAGACUUUAAAAGGGCCAAUUUUGCCCGGUCUUGCCGAGUCUUGACUCCUUUUAGUGUUUCUCUUUUCAAGUAGCUUCACUCUAUUCCACUGUGUCUUGUUGCUUCAAUACACUCCACUGUAACUUCAAAAAGAGAUACGACUUGUAGCUUCAAUCUACUCUGCCAUAAUUUCAGAAGGAUGAGAUUUAUGGUUUUAGUCUGCUCCACUAUAACGUCAGGGAGAUAAGACUUGUUGCUUCAACCUACUCUACUGCGACUUCAAGGAGAUAAGGUCUGUUAUGGUAGACUUAAUCUGACCUACUGCAACUUCAGAGGUAUAUGAUUCAUCGUUUUAAUCCGCUCCACUUCAACUUCAGGGAGAUAGGAUUAAUAGCUUCAAUCUACUCCACUACAACUUCAGAGAGAUAAGAUUUGUGGCUUUAAUCUGCUCCACUGCUCUACUGCAACUUCAGGGAGAUAAGGUUUGAUGUGAUCUGCUCUACUGCAACUUCAGGUUUCAAUCUGUUCCACUGCAGCUUUAAGGAAAUGAGAUUUAUAGUUUGUCUUCAAUCUACUCCACUACAACUUCAGGGAGAUAAGAUUGGUUUAUUUUUUAACCUGCUCCACUGCAACUUCAAGGAGAUAAGGUUUGAUGUGAUCUGCUCUACUGCAACUGCUCCACUACAACUUCAGGGAGAUAAGGUUUGAUGUGAUCUACUCUACUGCAACUUCAAAGAGAUAAGAUCUGUAAUUUAUAGCUUAAAUCUGUUCCACUACAACUUCAGGGAAAUGAGAUUUAUAGCCUGUCUUCAAUUUUCUCCUCUACAACUUUAGGGAGAUAAGAUUGGUUUAUUUUUUAACCUACUCCACUGCAACUUCAGAGAGAUAAGGUUUGUCAAGAUCUUCAAUCCAUCCCACUGCAACUUCAGAGGCAUAAAAUUUGCCGCUUCACUAAUCUAUUAUGCGGUGAACUUGACCUGUGGAAUCCAUUUCAUAGACCUAUUUAUGCCUAGUGAUUAGGAUGUCAUAAAUCAGAAUGAAUCAAAUGCUCCUAACUAGGUGUGUAUGAAUGAUAUUUGCAUGAAUGCAGAACAUCAUUUUUUGAGAAUAAUCCCUCUUUAAUGUUUGGGUUAUCAUUGCUCAUUGUUCAUCAAGGUUUUAUCGUUAAUGCAUUACCCUACCUUCUUGUUCAACUGGUGUCUUUAACAGAAAAUCCAAAGAAAUAGUCACAAUUUAGACUAUUCUUUUUCAAAUGUUUCCAACCCUCAGGUUUGGUUAGUUCUAAACAAUAAUCCUGUUUCGAGUCCUCGUAUCAUUUAGAAGCUUUCAGAGUAAUAUGCAGAACUUCUUUUGCUUGAAUAUUAUUGAUCCAUUAAUUAUUAUUUCAAUGAAAAAUGCUUGGAAAGAAUUAUCACAAUGGACAAGAUGGAAUUUCAUUAGGAGCAAAGCUCGAACUGAAUGAAUUAAUCAAGAUAACAAGUUUUUUCCAAAAUUACAAAAUGAGAAUCAAGACAACGUAUUUUGCCAAAAUAAAAAAUGAAUGAAAUGGAAUAGGUGCCUUAGAUAUCGUAGUAUGAACUUCUCUGCACAAAGCCUUUGGAGGACCACUUUAAACUUGAUAGAUGUCCAGGAGGUCCGCAGUAUUUCGUUGAUGUCCCAAGACGCAUAAUCUCUCUUUCUUGUUAAUUCAAGCAUAGUAAAAAUUGUCGCAUGCCCCACCUUUGAUCACAAUUUGAAUUGCCCUUUUUCCCCAGGUUUUCAAUUCAAAACCCCUUUGGUCUCAAAGUGCCCUUCAUGGGUUUUCGCCUUGGCCUCUCCUCUUUUGUUUUAGGCGAGGUACUUUUUCAUUGAAUUCGAAUUCACAGGAUUAGGCAGGAUUUUUCCAUCCAUCUCAGUCAAAAUUAACGCUCCUCCAGAAAAGGCCUUCUUUACUACAUAAAGUCCCUCACAGUUUGGCAUCCACUUUCCUCUAAAGUCUUUUUGUAUGGGAAGGAUCUUCUUCAGUACCAAAUCCCCUUCAUGAAAUUCCCUAGGACGAACCUUCUUAUUGUAAGCUCGUAUCAUUUGCUUCUGGUACAUUUGACCAUGACGGAUAGCUCUCAACCUCUUUUCUUCGAUCAAGUUUAGCUGAUCAUAUCAAGAUUGGAUCCAUUAUGCUUCGUCUAACAUUAGUUCUGAAAAAACUCGGAGAGAGGGAAUUUCAACCUCAAUUGGCAGUACUGCCUCCAUUCCAUAAACCAAAGAGAAAGGCGUUGUCUCGGUAGAGGUCCUGACAGAUGUUCGAUAAGCAUAGAGGGCAAAUGGUAACUUCUCAUGCCAAUCUCUAUAAGUCUCAGUCAUUUUUCCCACAAUCUUCUUGAUGUUUUUAUUGGCUGCCUCCACUGCGCCAUUCAUUUUCAAGCGAUAUGGCGAUGAAUUGUGGUGCUUGAUCUUGAAUUGACUACAGACCUCCGCUAUCGUGUUGUUGUUCAAAUUCAAAGCGUUGUCAGAUUUAAUCCUUUCGGGUAUCCCAUACCGACAUAUGAUCUCCUUUUUUAGAAAUUUACUGACGGUCGAUUUUGUGAUGUUGGCGUAAGAAGUAGCUUCUACCCACUUAGUAAAGUAGUCAAUUACUACGAAGAUGAAUCGAUGCAUGUUUGAAGCUUUUGGUGAUAUUGGUCCAAUGACGUCCAUGCCCCACAUGGAAAAAGGCCAUGGAGAAGUCAUGACAUGAAGAGGUGAAUGAGGCACAUGAAUUUUGUCCCCAUAAAUCUGGCAUUUAUGGCAUUUCUUAGCAUACUUGAUGCAGUCCCUUUUCAUGGUGGACCAAUAAUAUUCGAAUCUCAUGAUUUGCCUGGUCAUUGUAAAACCAUUAACGUGUGUUCCAUAGACACCAUCAUGAACCUCUUCUAAGAUUUGCUUAGCCUCAAUAGCGUCCACGCAUCUUAGCAACACUUGAUCAUUUCCUCUUUUAUAUAGGAUCUCUCCAUCCAAGACGUAGUCAUUAACCUGCCUUCUUAACGUCCCCUUGUCAUCCUCGCUUUCUUGGUUUGGGUAUUCCUGACUCUUCAUGUAUUGUAAUAUAUCGCGAUACCAAGGGUGAUCACCCUUUUCCUCUUCUUUGUCGACAUUGCAACAGUGGGCUGGUGCUUCAUAAAUGCUCAUUCUGAUGGGCCUCACAUCCUUUGUUUAUUUACUUUGAUCAUAGAAACCAAAGUAGCCAAAGCGUCGGCCAUCUGGUUUUCUUCUAGCGAAAGGUAAGAGAAGGUGAUGUCAUCAAACUCGUCAAUUAGCCCUAUAACCAGCUUUCGGUAAUUGACUAAUUUGCGAUAUCUUAUCUCCCACUCCCCUUUGAGCUGAAAAACCACCAGUACAGAGUCCCCAUAUACCUCUAACACUUUAAUCUUAUGUUCCAUGGCUGUACGAAUCCCCAUAAUACAUGCUUCGUACUCGGCCAUAUUAUUUGUGCAAUCAAAACCCAAUUUACAGGUGAAUGGAUAAUGAUCUCCGCUUAGGGAUACCAAAACUGCCCUAAUUCCGUUGCCUACAGCAUUUGAAGCCCCGUCGAAGUUUAAUUUCCAAGCACCGCUUUCUUGAGUGUAUUUUUCAACAGUUCCCACAUACAUCAGAUCCUUAUUUAGGAGAUCAAAGUUCAAAGGCUCAUAGUCUUCUAGAGCUCGACUAGCUAGAAAAUCUACUAUCGCGCUUCCUUUUAUAGCUUUUUGAUUCACAUAGACUAUGUCAAAUUCAGACAGUAGAAUUUGCCAUCUGGUCAUCCUUCCAUUUAGAGCGGUUUACUCCAUCAUGUAUUUCAGAGGGUCUAGUUUCAAGAUUAACCAAGUCGUAUGGUACAACAUGUAUUGUCGCAACCUCCGAGUAGUCCAGAUUAAGGCGCAACAUAAUUUUUUGAUUGGGGAGUAUCUUGUCUCACAUUCGGUGAACUUCUUACUGAGAUAGUAUAUUGCUUUUUCUUUUCUUCCCAACUCAUCAUGUUGGCCGAGCACGAAUCCGAUGGAGUUUUCAAAUACUGUUAAAUAUAGUAUCAGGGGCUUGUCUGGGCAAGGCGGUGUUAGUACUGGAGCGUUGGACAAGUAAUACUUGAUCUUGUCAAAGGUUUUCUGGCACUCCUCGUCCCAUAUGCCCGGAUUAUGUUUCUUAAAGAGACGGAAGAUAGGGUCACAUUUUUCAGUUAACUGUGAAAUAAACCGAGCAAUGUAGUUUAGUCUUCUUAGAAAACCCCGGACUUCUUUCUGAGUGCGUGGUGAAGGCAAUUCUUGUAUGGCCUUGACUUUGUCUGGGUCAAUCUCAAUUCCCCUUUCACUGACUAAAAGUCCUAGCAACUUUCCUGAUCUAGCCCCGAAAGUGCAUUUGGCUGGGUUAAGUUUUAGCUGGAACUUCAUUAACCUUAGGAACAGUUUUCUCAAUACUUGCACAUGUUCUCCUUCUGUCCUAAACUUUACAAUCAUGUCAUCAACACAGACUUCUAUCUCUUUAUGCAUUAUAUCAUAGAACAAAGUUACCAUGGCUCUUUGGUACGUUGCCCCUGCAUUCUUUAAUCCGAAUGGCAUCACCUUAUAGCAAAAUGUUCUCCACAUAGUUACAAAUGUGGUCUUAUCCAUGUCUUCAGGAUGCAUUUUUAUCUGAUUAUACCCCGAGAAGCCAUCCAUGAAGGAGAAAAGUGAGUAACCUGCUAUGUUGUCCACCAGAGUGUCGAUAUGGGGUAACGGAAUAUUGUCUUUUGGACUAGCUUUGUUCAAAUCUCUAUAAUCUACGCACAUCCGUACCUUCCCAUCUUUCUUAGGGACAGAGACUAUGUUGGCUACCCAAUCCGAGUACUUGACCACUUGUAAGAACCCCGAGUCGAACUGCUUCUUGACCUCUUCUUUUAUUUUUAACAAAACAUCAGGCCUUAUUCUUCGUAGCUUCUGUUGCACCAGUUUACAUUCUUCUUUUAUGGGCUGUCGGUGUACUACAAUAUCAGUACUUAGGCCAGGAAUGUCUUGAUAGGUCCAUGCAAAGACAUCUUUAAACUCUUGAAGUAAUCCAACGAGGUCUCGUUUUGUUUCCUCAGUAACGCAAGCGCCAAACUUUACUUCUUUCUCUUCUUCUAAACCCACUACUUCCACGGAUUCCUUAUAAGGUAAGAUUUGUUUCUCUUCUUGCUCCACCAUUCUUAACAAAUCAGGAGAUAAUACGCUGUCUUGGUCAUCUUCAAAACCCUGACGAUCAUCCGUACUCAUGUCUUGUUCAAAUAGGGACUUUGAGUCAGUAACAGCGUCGCUCACAUCAUUGAUAUCUGAAGACCUGUUAUUGGGAGAAAGGAAGGUCCAAAGAAAGAAGAAUCUAAGCAUAAUUGUUUACACAGUAUGAUUAUAAAUUGAAUGAAAAGAAUAGAAGAAUAUUUGCUCAAAAUGAGACUGAAUGAUGUGUUUUCAUUGAAAUAAGAUUUUGGACAUGUGUCUUUUACAAAAUAUUCUUAUUGCCCCCAGGCUUAGGGCAACAAGUGUUCUAGAUAUUACUCUGAAUUAGUUCUAAAUGUUAUAGGGAUCUCUUCUGCAGUCUAGUUGUCUAGAACACUUCCAGGUUCGUAAGGGCGGAUGCCUGAUACACUUCCUUCUUCGAGUUCUUUUUUGAAUAUGGCAUUGAUGUUCAGGUUUUCUAACAUUUCCUCCGUAGUAUCCCUUCUUGGUGUCCUUCGUUCAGGAUAAAUAGUUCCCCCUGAUAUAAAGGUCCUAGAUAUGUGGGGGAAGGUCAUAGGUUCCCAAUCGACUUCUUUUCCACUCAAACGCGCCUUCCUCUUCUCUUGUCUUUUUUCUAACUCUUUCCUUCUUUACUUCGCAUUUGGCUUAGAUCCUAAACCAAAGCGGUCUCGUUUAUCUUUUAUCAUUGGUACCUCUAUCCUUCAUUGAAGACAUCUUCCGAAUCCUCUCCCAGACACUGCUCCUUUUCCAAUCGUCAUUUGCAGUCCCAUCCUCGUAGUUUUGGAUAUGCUAGGCAUCGUGAUCUUAUUCCCCUCAACAACAAAAGUUGCGUUCACGAAUUCUAAGGAUCAAAAGGAACAUUCAAUCGCCUCAUCAUUCGUUUCUAAAUAUGGUGUGUCGCUGGUUACCGAUGCAAUAAUGUCUUCUUUAGCGCUUAUAGUAACUAGUCGGCCUUCUAUUACCAAUUUCAACUUCUGGUGCGAUGAUGAAGGCACUGCUCUAGCUGAAUGAAUCCAAGCUCUUCCCAACAAGUAAUUAUACGAAGGUUUGAUAUCCGUCACUAGGAAAUCUACCUUGUAUGUAUUCGGGCCAAUCAAGAGAGGUAUUUCUAUUCUUCUCGUUACUUUUCUUUCAGUGCCAUCAAAUGCUCUCACUAUAUUCUGGCAUGAUUUCAUGUGAGAGUUAUGCAUCGGUAACCUGUUUAAGGUGGAUAAGGGUAAGACAUUCAAGGCCGAUCCAUUAUCAAUUAACACCACCGGAAACGUGUAUCCCUUGCAGCGAGUGGUGAUAUUUAGGGCUUUGGUGGCUCCUCUCCCCCCCCCCCGAUGAUAUUUCAUUAUCAUUAAAGAAGAUGAAGUUGUCGGCACUUAUAUUGUUAACCAAGCAGUCUAACUUGUUCACCGAGAUAUCGUUAGCGACAUAAGUUUCAUUUAGUACUUUUAUCAACGCAUUACGAUGUGUCUCUGAACUUAGAAGCAACUUAAGCACCAAGAUGCAAGCUGGUUGCUUAUGUAGUUGUUCCACCACGCUAUACUCACUGUGCUUUAAGAAUUUUAGAAAUUCUCUAGCCUCAUUUUUAGUUACCGGCUUGUUAACAUGCGAUUCAAUUCUAAUCGUUUUUGCUUCCCCUCGCUCAACCGCUAAGGUUUUUCCUUUUGUGGUUUCCACUCUUGCAUUUGUCGAAUCGUAGCAUUUUUCGCUUCGUGUAUAGAAGCCUAUAUCAUCACCCUUUUUUGAAGUAUUUAUUGGGUUCUCUUCUCCCGGGAUCGUCACGUUGCACUCGUAAUUCCAAGAAACCCAUUUGCUAUUCUUAUAAAGAAAUUAUAUGGGUUUUUAGAUUAUGACCCUUGGCGCUAUUUCUAUUCCAGAUUCUGUGCUCCUUGGCCUUGAAAUAAUCACCACUGAGUGAUUAACCCUUUGGGCUUCCCCGUAGAUUCUUCCUCCGAGGUGUAAAUUUCCCCUUCUUCUAAUCCUUCAACCUUUUCAUAAAACUUCAACUCUUUGUUAUCCAUUAAGUUUUGCAUCAUGGUUCUGAACUCGGUGCAUUUUUAAGUGUCAUGGCCCUCUUCAGCAUGGAACUCGCAAUACUUCAUCGUCCCUUUGGGCCUCUCCGUUGAAUCUUGCUUGAUAAAACCUCCCUCUAUCAUUCGUUUCCAAACCCAUUUCAACGGGGUUUUUAUCUCUGCUACGUCAGCUUUAACUCUCCUUCCCCACUCUCGAUUAUUGCGUUUACCUCUUUAUCAGAAUGAUUGGUUAACGGAUUCCCUGCUACAUUUGGUUCUGGUGGGUCGUCAAACUUUACAAUCCCCAUCUUAAUGAAUCUUUCCACCAUCUUCUUAAACGCAGUGCAGUUCUCAAUCGAGUGUCCCGUUAUCCCUGCUUAGUAUUCACAUUGGGUAUUCACGUCGUACCAUUUAGGGUAUGAAGGUUGCAUGGGUUUCAGAUAAAAUGGAGACACGACGUGUGCAUCGAAUAGAUUCUAAUACAGUUCUCUAUACGUCAUUGAGAUACGUGUGAAUUGGGGUCUUUCUACAUUCGACCUUGGAUGGGAUUCCUGCCUUAAAAAGCCUUGAUGGCUAGUGGUUAUUGCUCUUGCUUGUCCCACCGUGAUUGGUUUAGAAUAGCCUUUGUUAAACAUACUUGCAUUGUUUAUCUCGUGCUCUUUCUUUCUUGGGGCUGACCUCUUGGCACUUUCCCCCGCUUCUAUCUUGCCGCAUAUUAUUGUAUUCUCUAUCAUUUCUCCAGACAUCACUAUGUCUGAAAAGCUUUUAGUGGCGCUGUCUAACAUGUGAUUGAUGAACAGAGCCUUCAAAGUAUUGAUGAAAAGCAUGGUUGUCUCUUUCUCCAGAAGUGGUGGUUAGACUUGCAUUGCUAUUUCUCUCCAUCUUUGGGCGUACUGUCUGAAGCUCUCACUAGGCUUCUUUUCCAUGUUCUGUAAUGUAAUUCGACCGGGUGCUAUAUCCUUCACAUGACUGUACUGCUUCAUAAAAGUCUGUGCCAAGUCCUUCCAUAAAUUGACUUUAGUCUGGCUCAAUUGGUUGUACCAUUUAGCCGCCGACCCGAUCAAGCUGUCUUGGAAAUAGUGCAUCAAUGUUGAUCAUUAUUGAUGUAUCCUGUUAUCCUUCGACAGAACAUAGUGAUAUGAGCUUCAGGACAGCUAGUCCCGUUAUACUUUUUAAACUUUGGCAUUUUGAACUUAGGUGGAAGCACCAGAUCAGGAACCAAACUCAAGCCUUUGGCGUCAAUUCCACAAUGGUAGUCGGCGUUCUCCAUGGCUCUAAAUUUCUCCUCUAUCCAUCUACACGAUCCUCAAGUUGUUUUGGCAAGUCCAUUCUUACCUUUUCUAUUUCUGCCACGUCAUCGAGAUCAGGGACCACGGGAUUGGUAGGGUUAUCCCCGGGAUUAGAACCCGAGCUUAUUGGAAAGUUCAUUGACACUAGGGCCCCAACCUGAUAUUGGGAUCUGAUAGUGACAGGUACCCUUCAUGGGUACACGUCCGGUUGCGCUUAGAUGUUAGUUAGGGUAAAACCUGGAGGAUAGGCAGGGUCUUCAUGAUCAUCCCCAGAAUUGACCACAGGGCUCUUCCCUUUAUCAUUUUCUCCAGCCAUUAACUGUGUUAACUAGCUCAAUAAAUUUCUUUGGGAUUCUUACAUGUCUUGUUGCAUUUUAGCUAGUUUUUCCUGCAUCUGAACUUGCAUCUCUUUUCACAAUUGUUCCAAUCUUUCUAAUAUCUGAUCCAUUACUUUUGUCUUGCGGCGGGUACCGUAGUGAUAUAUAGUUGGCUGAUUUUUGUUGGUUUCCAAGGUAACUGUCAUAAUUUUAAUUAAUUAGGGCUCUUUUUUGAAACUUUAAUGCAUAUGAUGAGAUGUAAUGCAAAUGAAUCAAAGCAAAAAGAGGCAUUGAUUCUAAUUCAAUUUCAUUAGAAAAACUCGAUUAGAAAACAAAUUUCUUUACAUAAAAUGGAUUACAUAUAUGGCUUCGCCUUUAUACUCAAAGCCUUAACCCUCUUAAGGAGCCAAGCUAACUCUCAACCUCGGCUUGAUUCUGAUUCAUAUUUUAAACUCAAUACAUCAGCCUGAACUGCUAAGGUUUGCAGAUGAUCAGCUACUUCCUGCACUUAAGUUACAACUUCACCCAUAAUGUAAUCUUUAUCUCUAAUCUGACUUUGGGAAUGAUGGAGCUGUUCUUGCCACUGUUCGUUACGCCUCUCAAGAAGUUCCACUCGUAAUUCAGAGUUUUGCAAUGCGUCUUCGAGCUUUUCUAUUUUCCCCUUCAAUUUUUCGAUCUUUCCUAAACUUGCUCUUAACUUGAUCAUUGAGUUGCGACUACGGUACAGGUGAAGCGACUUUUCUAACUAUACUACCCGAGCUUUUAAUCUCGCUUCUUCAUUUCAACAUUCUAACAAGUUUUUCUCUAAAGCUCUCUCUCGAGCUUGGGCGUCUUAAAAUUUCUUUUCCCACUGAUCAGCCAUGGUCUUUUCUUCCUUGAUCUCCUGUCGCCAUUACUCCGACGUUUUACCUAAACCGACAGUUCUUAUUGACAAACGCAGCUUCUUAUAAUCUAUUUUUAGACUAUCUAAAUCCUCUUCAGCCUUGUUCUUCCCUUUCCUUAAUUUUUCGAUUUUUAACUUGUGGAUAUCGACAUCUAGUCCCAAACGCAUCUUUUCCUCUUCUAGCUGCUCUAUCUUCUUUCCUAACUCUGAACUUCUUUUUUCAAAGUCCUGUUUGAUGAUCUCUAAUUCUGAUGGAACUUCUUGUAGAUGGUCCUCUAUAGAUCGAAUGCAUUCUUUUCUCGACCCGGAGAUGUUGUUAUUGACCCUCUUACUCCAACACCCAUAAUAUUCGAAAGUUGUCAUUGCUCUUACGGUAAAUCUUUUCAUCCGGUGAACUUGUUUCCAAGCGCUAAACAUUUCUCGAAUCUUUCUCUUGUAGUUAUCACCCUUAUAAGAAAACUCACACUGAGUCAGCCCUUAUGUUGUCGGUAUGAACUAUCUUGAUUUAUAUUGUCUUAAUACGAGCAAAGGGGUAUAUUCGACAGCUCUCCAAAUUCUAAGUAAAAGGACCAAGUCGAAGUUUUCACAUCGAUAUAGGAUAUCGUCGGGCACCAUCCAAUGAGCUUUCCAUUCAACAUCUUUCUCUUGAAGAGUUUGGAGAAUCACCAUCCAUUUCUCUUCUGUGAUGUCGUUUCAUCUUGGUGUAGCCACUAGUUCCUUUAAUGGGGAGUAGUUUUCUAAGAAUACCCAAUAGGAGACCUUUUUCCACUUUCCAAAAGUGUCUAUGGAACCACACCAAUAAUAGUUGCGCGCAUCCGAUGAACCUUCCUUCACCCGCUCUUCGACACGCAUUUAGAGAUCUAAAAGUUUCAGCCAAUAUUGCUGAGACCGGUGUGACCCCCUUGUCAAGCCUAUCAAACAGAUCUGAAACUGCUUCAUCCACAUGCCCUAAUGCCUUGGGGAAAAUAACUAAACCAUAAAUGCUCAAGACAAAGAUAUCAACUCACUUGGUGCAAAAAUCAUGAAAAACCAGCUUGAAUAAACCCUUAGGACGUUUUUGGCUGAUGAGAAUGCAGAAAAAUAAAGAGAAAUCUAGAUAAUUCCACUUUAGUCCUAACUUUUAAAGUAAAUUUUUGCAAUAUUCUAAUUUUACCCUUAAUUCUCCAAUUCUCCUUAUUUUUCUCAGCUUGUGCCGCCCAAAAUAUCUUCUUUUGGGCUUAUUUACAAUUUAUGUCCCUCCUUAUUUAACAAUGGAGCUAUUUAAUCCUUCUAGUAACUUUUACACCUUUUUUAAUUUAGUCCUUUUCACUUAAUUGACUGCCCAAACAUUAAAAUUUUCUAACGAAAUUUUAAUACCAUAUUACUAACAUUUCAUAAAUAUUUAUAAAAAUAUUUUUGACUUGGUUUUAUGAGAUCGAUGUCUCGAUACCUUGUUUUUACCCAAUUUCUUCAAUAAUUUCUUUUUCUAACUAACCACUAAAUCGGUAAAAUUUUUCUAUCGAUAUUUUCAUACGAUUUUCUAUCAUAUCAAUAUUCAUGCAAAAAUAUUAAAAUAAAUUUCUUUUAAAAUCGGAUUUUUGGUUAUGAAACCACUGUUUCGAUAACCUUGAAUUUAGGCCAUUACAACUCUCCCCCCUUAGGGAUUUUCGUCCUCAAAAAUCUUACCAGUAAAGAGGUUCGGGUAUUGUUUCCUCAUUGCCUCCUCUGAUUCCCAUGUCGCUUCCUUAAUCCCGUGCUUUUUCCAUAAUACUUUCACCAAAUUUAUCUUUUUAUUUCUAAGCUCAUUUAUUUCCCGUGCUAAUAUCUUAACCGGUUCUUCACUAUAAGUCAUAUCCGGCUGAAUCUCCACUUCUGUCAGAGAAAUAACAUGUGAAGGAUCUGAUCGAUACCGUCGUAGCAUAGACACAUGAAAAACAUUAUGAAUUCUAUCGAGUUCCGGUGGUAAUGCCAAUCGAUAAGCGACCGCGAGUUCCGGUGGUAAUGCCAAUCGAUAAGCGACCGGUCUAAUUCUUUCUAUAAUUUCAUAUGGCCCAAUAAAUCUUGGACUCAACUUACCCUUUUGACCGAAUUGGAGAACUUUUUUCCAAGGAGACACUUUUUUGGAAUACCUUAUCACCCACCUAAAAUUCAAUCUCUUUUCGUUUAAGAUCAGCAUAUGGCUUUUGACGAUCGAAAGCUGCUUUUAGACUAUCUCGAAUCAUCUUGACUUUUUCUUCUAUUUCCCGGAUCAAAUCAACCCCAUGUAUCUUCUUUUCACUAAGCUCUGUCCAAUAUAAUGGUGUUCUACAUUUUCUACCAUACAAAGCUUCAUACGGAGCCAUUUUAAUACUGGACUAAUAACUGUUAUUAUAAGCAAAUUCAAUCAAAGGUAGAUACCUCUCCCAAUUACCUUCUAACUCUAAUAUACAACAUCGGAGCAUAUCUUCCAAUACCUGAAUUACACGCUCAGAUUGGCCAUCUGUCUGAGGAUGAAAUGCAGUGCUGAAAUACAAUUGAGUACCCAAGGCUUCUUGCAAUUUGUCCCAGAAACGAGAUGUAAAUCGGGGAUCUAUAUCUGAUAUAAUAGAUAUUGGCACUCCAUGUAGCUUGACAAUCUCAGAUAUAUACAGUUCAGCCAAUUUAUCUAAAAAAUAAUCCAUAAGUACUGGGAUAAAAUGUGCUGAUUUUGUUAAUCGAUCAACGAUCACCCAAAUGGCAUCUUUCUUAUUCGGUGACAAUGGUAACCCAAAUACAAAAUUCAUAGUAAUUCUUUCCCACUUUUAUUCCGGUAUAGUGAUUGGCUGAAGUAACCCCGAAGGUACCUGAUGUUCAACUUUAACCUGCUGACAUAUUAGGCACUUUGAUACAAACUCAGAAAUAUCACGUUUCAUACCUGGCCACCAGUACAUCUUCUUCAAAUCAUUAUACAUUUUAUUACCUCCCAGAUGUACGGACAUAAUACCACUGUGUGCCUCGUGUAAAAUCUUCUGUACAAGCUCUGAAUUCUUCGGUACACAUACUCUGCCUCUGAAUAAUAAACAACCAUCAGUCCCAAUUUGAAAUUCUGAAUCAUUACCUGACUCACAUUGUACCCAUUUAGCCUGUAGCUUUUCAUCAUUUUUCCGAGCUUCAUAUAUUUGUUGUAGAAAUGUCGUUUAACUCUCAACUCAGCUAUGACUGAACCAUUAUCAACCAAAGACAAUCGGGUAUUCAUAGCUCGCAAAGCAAACAAAGAUUUUUGACUCAGAGCAUCAGCUACAACAUUAGCCUUACCCAGAUGGUAAUCAAUAACCAAAUCAUAGUCUUUUAUCAGUUCAAGCCACCUGCGCUGUCUCAAAUUCAAAUCUUUCUGUGUCAUCAAAUAUUUCAGGCUUUUAUGAUCAGUAUAAAUAUGACAUUUUUCACCAUACAAAUAAUACCGCCAUAUUUUCAAUGCAAAUACAAUAGCAGCAACUUAGAGAUCAUGUACCGGGUAAUUUCUUUCAUGUGGCUUAAGUUGUCUUGAAGCAUAGGCUAUUACUUUACCUUCUUGCAUCAAGACACAGCCUAAACCAUUUAAUGAUGCAUCACUAUAAAUAAUAAAUUCUUUACUCGGUUCAGGUUGUACCAACACAGGUGUUUUCGUCAACAAAUCUUUCAAUCGGUCAAAACUCUGCUGGCAUUUAUCAGUCCACUCAAAUUUAACAUCUUUCUGUAAUAAACGAGUUAUCGAAGAAGCUAUCAUAGAGAACCCCUGUACAAAUCUCCGAUAAUAACUGGCUAAACCCAAGAAACUUCUAACUUCAGAUACAUUCUUCGGUGGACUCCAAUUGACAAUAGCUGAGAUUUUACUCAAAUCUACCUUGAUGCCUUCUGCGGAUACAAUAUGUCCAAGAAAACCCACUUCUCGAAGCCAAAAUUCACAUUUACUGAAUUUAGCAUAUAGCUACUUCUCUCGCAGAAUUUGCAACACAAUUCUCAAAUGUUCUGCAUGCUCAUUUUCAUCUUGGGAAUAGACCAAGAUAUCAUCAAUAAAAACUACCACAAACCUGUCUAAGUACGGUCUAAAUAUCCGAUUCAUCAGGUCCAUAAAUACUGCAGGUGCAUUAGUCAGCCCAAACGGCAUAACAAGAAACUCAUAAUGCCCGUACCUGAUUCUAAAAGUUGUUUUCGAUACAUCUAACUCCUUUACCCGUAACUGAUAGUAGCCCAAUCGGAGAUCAAUCUUUAAAAAUACAGUGGCACCCUUCAACUGGUCAAACAGAUCGUCAAUCCGAGGCAAUGGGUACUUAUUCUUUAUAGUGACUUUAUUAAGUUGUCAGUAAUCAAUACAUAAUCUUAAGGACAUGUCCUUCUUUUUCAUAAAUAAAACUGGAGCACCCUAAAGUGAAUGACUUGGUCAGACAAAACCCCUGUCAACAAGUUCUUGCAACUGUGUCUUUAACUCCUUUAAUUCUGUAAGAGCCAUACGAUACGGAGCUAUAGAGAUUGGAGUAGUUCCCGGAAUCAGAUCUAUAGAAAAUUCCACUUCUCUUUCUGGUGGCAACCCUAGUAAUUCCUCUAGAAACACAUCAAAAAAUUCACAUACAAUUGGCACUGCCUGUAUAUUUAAUUGGCACUGCCUGUAUCUUUAACUCAGAUACCUUAGUGUUUAACACAUAUGCCAAAUAAGCAUCAUACCCUUUUCUGACACACCUCUGAGCUGUCAUAACCGAAAUCACAUUAGAUAAUUCUUCUGUCUGAUCAAAUUUAACCCGAAGUAAUUCUCUAUUCUAACACUUCAGCAUAAUAUAUUUCUGUCUACAAUUUACUACUGCAUCAUGCUGAGUUAGCCAAUCCAUACCCAAUAUCACAUUGAACUCAUCAAAAGGCAAUAACAUCAAGUCAACAGGAAAACAAAUACCUUUUACCAUCAGUGGACAAUUUUUACAAACUUUAUCCACCAUCAUAAACUGGCCCAGUAGGUUCGAGACUUUAACCACAAAUUCAGUAAGUUCAACAGAUAAAUUUUUAACAAAUACUAAUUUUGUGCAUAUGUAUGAAUGUGUAGAGCCAGGAUCAAUUAAUACAGUAAUAUCAGUAUCAAGUAAAGAAAAUGUACCAGUAAUAACAUCGGGUGCUGAGGCAUCUUCUCUAGCACGGAUGGCAUAUGUCCUAACAGGUGCUCGUGCCUCAGACCUGCCUGCAGUCUCUUUCGUAACUCCUCAGCUACCACUAACAUUACCAGAUGGUCGAGGUGGUCUACCCCUCGAAACUGGAUUACUCGGCUUCGAUGUAUGUUUAGCUUCUUUUUCACCCCUUUCUAGACAAUCUCUGAGGAAAUGAUCGGAAGAACCACAUCGAUAACAAGCCCCACUCUUUAAUCGACAUUCACCAAAAUGAGUUUUAUUACAGUACUGACAUCUCGGCUUAGGGGUACCAACACUACCAGCACUGGUCACUGAUGGAGUGGAAGGUCUUGGAUUAGUGCGUUGAAAACCUCGCUCUCUAAUCGAAUACCCACUGGCUGAGGUUGAACGAUCCUGGUAUUUCUUCAAUUUCUUUAAAGUAAAAAACUGGGAUUUUUCCAUAGAUGUUUUACUGAAAACCCGAGCUUCUCUUUCAGCUUGUUUCUUUUCUUUGCUCAAUUUUUUUGCUUUAUAAGCUCACUCUGCAAGGGUAGUAAACUCUCGAAUUUCAAGAAUUCCGAUCAAUAGCUUAAUUUUUUCAUCCAACCCUUCUUCAAAUCUUUUGCAUAUUCCAGCUUCUGAUUGUACCCAUUCCCAAGCAUAUUUACUCAAUCGGACAAAUUCUCUUUCAUACUCAGAUACUGAUCUGUUAUCCUGUUUCAGCUAAAAAAAUUCUUUUCUCUUCCGAUCGAGGAACCUCUGACUGAUAUAUUUCUUUCUGAACUCGGUCUAAAAGAAUUCUCAUUUAAUUUCUUCUUUUGGAACCACCGAAGCUUUAGUGUUUCACCAAUGAUAAGCUGUGUCUUUUAACAAUGAUACUGCACAUUUCAGACACUCUUCUGGCGUGCAAGAUAAUUCCUCCAAAACCCGAGUAGUAUUCUCUAACCAAAACUCAGCCCGUUUGGGAUCAUCAUCAACUGCAGCUCUGAAUUCUUCUGCCACAUAUUUUCUGAUUUUAUCAACCGGAGCUUUCCCUUUUUUGCUAGGUUCAAUACCUGUACCCUGUGAAAUCUCGGGAAUCGGUGGAGGAGGAGGAGGAGGAGGAGGAGCUUGAGCUUGCUGCACUAUAGGGUUAGUUUUUAUAUAUUGAGUAAAUCAUUCAUUCAUCAUUUGAUAGAAGGCAAUUUUAGCCUCUUCACUUUGGUCCCUUAUCUCGGACCUUCUACUACUAGUAGCUUCAACUUCUCUUUGUUCUGAAGCCGGAGCAUGACUCUCGGCUUCCUUGGGUUGAACUUGGUCGGCAGACAUUUACUAUAAGAAAAUCACAUUUCAAAUGGUCAGGAGAUAUCACACUAUCAAUAAGAAUUUAAAUCCCAUGUAUAGCUAAUCCAGUAUUUUCUACAUCGGUCCGAGAACUGACUAAAUCGUAGCUCUGAUACCAACAAAAUGUAACACCCCUUAACCAUAUCCGUCGUUGAAAUAGGGUACGAAGCAUUAUCAGAUUUUAUCGAAUUAAUUUUCUAUUAUUACGAGUUAAAUACUAUUCAUUUAUCGAAACAUGUCAUGACGUCCCUUGAAUGGGCCUCCGAAGCCCAAAACAUACAUCGAGACCAAACCGGGAUUAAAUCGAAACCAUAAGAAAUUUUUCGCAAAAUCCCAAAGUUUUUUUUUUAAAACUCAAUACAACCCCUUUAUAAAUAUCUAAUCUUCCCUGCAAUUUUAAACCAAGACCAAUCCAACACAACCAAUCCAUUUCAACAUACUUUCAAAAUAGAUUUAACAUAUUCAUAAGAUAACCUCAUCACAUACCAAAACCAAAAUUUGUUAGCCAUACCAAUGGCUAACCAUUCAUUCAUUUCACAUUAACAUUUACUUUACUAGCUUAUACAUGCCAUUGAUUUCUAAAAUAAAGUUUCUUUAUAUACCGAGAUCUUGAGGUUGAUAGUGUGAUGCGUCUCCGACCAAAUCCGACCUCCGAGCUCUUAACACUACAAAACAGGGGAAAAGGAAACAGGGUAAGCACUUUGUGCUUAGUAAGCUCAUGUAAUAAGAAUUAUACUUACCUAAUAUUUUCAAUACAAUACAAUACAAUACAAUAAACAUUCAUACAUCCAUUCAAUGCAUUAUUCCCCUAACAUGCACGAACUCAACAUUCAAGUUAGUUCAGUAAUUUCCAUGUAUCAAUAAUAUAUAUAUCACGAUUGAUAAGCUCAUCAAUUCCAUGAUUUCCAUUCCCUUGUUAUUUUUCCAUAUUUAUCCCGUUGAACUACUUGGAAUUUCGAUGGAUUUUCAGGGGUACACCUAAGUGUACAAAUCUGGGUUCGUCAAUUCAUAUUCAUGUGCGCACAUUUUCAUUUCAGAGAGCACACUCCCGUGAACCUCAUCCUUACAGCGGGAUUACCAGUCCAGGCUAAAUCCCCUGUAAUAUAAACUCAUAGAAUAUUGUCGGGAUUACCAGUCCAGGCUAAAUCCCCUGCAACGACAAUUACUCUAAUGAGCUUGGAUUUGAAUUACCAGUCCAAGCUAAAUUUAGACCCUAAUUUGGAAUACCCGUCCGGGCUAAAUUCAUUUUCCACAUAUUCUUUGAGAGGGCUGUAUCAGAAUAGGAUCACCCAUCCGGGCUAGAUCCUUUUUACCGUCAAUUCCUUUUCAGAGAUCCAUCGAAUUUUCCUUUCAUUCAACCGGGAUUUAUUUUCUCUUUUCAUCAAGAAUAUCAAUACUUCUUCAAUUAUCAUACAAUAAACAUCCAAAUCAUAUUCACAUCAAGAAAAAUAUAUUUCAAGCAUUUAAGAAUAUAAUUCAAGUUACACGAACUUACCUCGAUACUUGUUCGUAAAUAAAAAUCUACUAAUUCCAAACUUUUUCUUUUCCUCGAUCUAGCUUUGUAUUUGAAUUUUCUAGAUCUAAAUAAAUAAAUUUAAUCAUUAAUCUAAUACAUUUCAUGUUCAUAUGUAACAUUCUCUAUAAUUCCAUUAUUAUUUAUAGUUCAUUCAAAGCUGUCUCAUUGAGUCAUAGUCGCUAAAUUAUUUAUAUCUUGAGCUACGGAAUUCCAAAUUAAGAUCUGCUAAUUUUUCCCAAAACUAGACUCACAUAUCUUCUUACCAUAAAAUUUUCAGAAUUUUUAGUUCAGCCAAUAAGUACAGUUUAUUCUUUAAAGUUUCCCUUGUUUCACAGUUCAACAGUUUCGCCCCCUCUUCACUAAAAAUUAAUUAUCUCAUUGUACAGAAUUUGGAUGAUGUUUCCAUUUAUUUAUUCUAAAAAUAGACUCAUUAAGGAUUCUAAGCAUAUAAAUUAUAACUCAUAAUAAUUUUUUUACAAUUUUUAAUGAUUUUCCAAAGUCAGAACAGGGGAACCCGAAUUCAUUCUGACCUUGUCUCACAAAACCUAUUAUAUCUCAUUAUUUACAAUUCCAUUGACUACACUAUUUCUUCUAUAAGAAACUAGACUCAAUAAGCUUUAAUUCUAUAUUUUUUUCAUCCUCUAAUUCAAUUUACAAAAUUUAUGGUGAUUUUUCAAAGUUAACCUACGCAGCUGUCCAAACUGUUUUAAUGCAUGAUAUUAAUUACCAUUUUCCCCUAAGCUUUCAAUAAAUGAUAAUUUCAUCCUUACUCAAUUAACCUCUCAAUUGAGCUGAUUUUUCUCAAUUAACACAUUAUUCCAUCACUUUAAAGUACUUUAUAACCUUUGGAAAUCAGAAUUUUAGCACUAGACUUUAAUUCCAAACUUUUUCACAAUUAGGUCCUACAAAUCAAUUUUUAUUGAAAUUACCUAAUAAAAUCAUCUCAUAAACAAAUUAAAGCUUUAAUUUCAUGCUAUAUCAUCAUAUAUUUCCAGCACAUAUUCAUAGCAACUUUCAAUUUAGUAAUAGGACCUAGUUGUAAAAGUCUUAGGAACAUAAAAAUUACAAGAAAAAAAGCAAGGAUUAACUCACUUGGUGAAAAAAUCAUGAAAAACCAGCUUGAAUAAACCCUUAGGACAUUUUUGGCUGAUGAGAAUGCAGAAAAAUAAAGAGAAAUCUAGAUAAUUCCACUUUAGUCCUAACUUUUAAAGUGAAUUUUUGCAAUAUUCCAAUUUUACCCUUAAUUCUCCAAUUCUCCUGAUUUUUCUCAGCUUGUGCCGCCCAAAAUAUCUUCUUUUGGGCUUAUUUCAAUUUAUGUCCCUCCUCAUUUAACAAUUGAGCUAUUUAAUCCUUCUAGUAACUUUUACACCUUUUUCAAUUUAGUCCUUUUCACUUAAUUGACUGCCCAAACAUUAAAAUUUUCUAACAAAAUUUUAAUAUCAUAUUAAUAACAUUUCAUAAAUAUUUAUAAAAAUAUUUUUGACUCAGUUUUACGAGAUUGAGGUCUCGAUACCUUAUUUUUACCCAAUUUCUUCAAUAAUUUCUUUUUCUAACUAACCACUAAAUCGGUAAAAUUUUUCUAUCGAUAUUUUCAUACGAUUUUUCUAUCAUAUCAAUAUUCAUGCAAAAAUAUUAAAAUAAAUUUCUCUUUAAAUCAGAUUUGUGGUUACGAAACCACUGUUCCGAUAACCUUGAAUUUAGGCCAUUACAACUCCGACCAGUCGUCACCGCGCCGGCCGCCGGUCACCAAUGACGGCGCCGCCGUAUUCGGUGGCUGAAAAAAGGUAAAACCUCCAACCCUAUCCUUUCGACCCUCCUAAAUCCAAAUCUGGGUUCAAAAUUCCCAAAAUAUUAACAAAAACGCCCCAAAAGCUCAAGAAACCUUUCAGUUUUCGGCCACCUAUCCUCGAAGGUGACUUCCUCAGCCGUCCACGGCGUUGAAAAACCCAAAUACAGGUUAGUUUGUUACUCCAUUUUUCCUUUUGUUUUACUUUCGUAUGUGUAAAUAUGAUAAAAAUAAAAUAACAGUAGACCAAAAAUGAAACGAAGAUUUAGAAAAUAGCAGUAGAUGUAAACCUUUCGAGAUUUUUCUAUUGAUUUUGAGUUCUCUGAGUAUUCAAUCCCUUUUUUUAUUACAUUUAUUGAUGGGGCCUUUUAUAGCCGAUUUACAUGUUUUUUUUUCUUUCGCUUCUGUUCUUGUUGCUUCUGUGUUUGUCUAUUUUCUGUCCUGUUUGCAGGUCUUGGCAAGGUCAACAGACAUUGAAGGGAUAACCCCUGCCAUUUUGGUGCAAGGCCGUAGACGCCUGUCAGGCUUUGGGCGAUGAGUGCGCUGCAGGGGCACGAAGAGGGAGUGCGGCGCACAUGGAGCACUAGGGUUUCAGUUUUCCCCUGAAAGCAGUUUGGUUGUGGGCUGAAUUGGGUUAGGUUUUUUUAUUUUGGGCCAUACCAGGCUUGGCAUGUAAUUGGGGUUUGGGUUUGUUAUUGAGUUUUGGGCCCGGGCAAAAAUGGCCUAUUACACAAAUAAUAAAAAUUAAAAUCAAAUCAUCAUAUUUAUUAUAUUAGUCUAAAAAGCAACUGAUAAUAUAAUUGCUAAUAAAAGCUAAAAGAAAAAUCAACAUUGUAUGCAAUUUUAUCUAAUUAUUCUAGUGCAUAUUUGUUGCUUUAUUCCCUCUUCAAAAUUUAACAUAUGCUCCUUAUUAUCGUCUGUUGGUUUUUGAUCAAAUUCGUCAUCACCAAAAUUUGAAUUUGUAUCAUUAAGAUUAUCAAGAUUUCCUUCUUUCAUGUACUCUUUGAAGUAUGGAUCAUCUUGAUUCUACUUAUAAUUCAAGUUAUGAAAUAUGCAAUAUGCUAGUGUCAUGGGGUUAGACCUUUCAUCUCGCAAAUUGUGUGGCCUUAGACAAUUUCUUCGCUUCAAAUGUGUCUAAGUCAGCCUAACUUUCGCAAAGUGAGAAUUCUCGCAGAAUUCCUCUCUAAGGCAUUGAAAAUAUAGUGGAAGCAAUCUCAAAGACAAAAGAAAGCUAAAAAAAAACAUAAUAGCCACAAAAAAAGUAAAAGUACACCAAGUUAAAUGUUCUCAAUUAGUAUUUACUAAUAAAAAAAUGAAAUACAAUGGAUGAUUACAAAUUAGGGGAGGCUCUCUAUUUAUAGUUGAGUUCUCCCAAAACGGAAGAUAUAGAUUGAGUUACAUCGACGGAUGAGAUCGAAGCAUAUCUACAAUUAAGAGAUAAUCCCCAAGAUUACAAAAUUAAAUCUUAUCAUAUUACAAAUCUUCUAAGAUUUAUUUCCCUAUUUACCAAGGUAACCCUAAUUUUCCAUAAGUGCUUUGUUAGGCCACCAAGGCUUUAAGUAGAUGGGUUUCGUCACUUGUUCUUCAAAUUGGACCAAUUCAAGUGGGUUAAAUGAGGCCUAUUUUAUAUGUAGACCUCAAUAGGAUGCUCUUUGUGCCUUGGUCACGAGCUUUGAACCGUGGCCUGUGACACUAGUAUGAUCCAAUCUUUUUUUUUUAAAUGUUAUAUAAAUAUGAAAAAUAUUUUUUUUAGAAUAACAAAUGUCUUCUCAACUAAAAUUUGAAGUAGUGGUGGAUCCUAGGACAAAGUUUUGGGGUCAAAAAGAUCUUAGGAGUUUAAUAAGGAUUUUUUUUAAAAAAAUUUGGGAACUAAUUAAAUUUUUUUGAGAUUGAUGAGAAUUUUCAAAAUUUUGAGGGGGUGUGAUUAAAAUUUUCUAACAAUUUCAAGAGAGAAAUGAACAAAAAAAAAAAAUUUCUUCCUUUUCUUCUAUGUUGCAUCCAUUGAAAUGAGCAAAAAGGAAUAAAUCAAUUUUGAUUUUAGGGUUCCAAAUCUUAAAUGAAAGUAAGAGUUUGAAAACACAAAAUAUUAAUUUCCUUACUACAGGUUGAAAUUACGUGGAAUUAUUAUAAUUAGGUACCAAAAUGAAAAAGAAACCAUACCAAUAUUUCGUUAACAAAUUAAUAAAGAGUGGUUAAAAGAUAACCAAAUGAUAAUAUUAAUGAUGAAAGUGAAAGUUUUUUCGUAGUUCGAUGAUCAAAAUAAGAAAUGCUAAUAAUUAAGUUUGGAAGUAAUAAUAUUUAUAUGAUAAUAAUAAAUUUCAAAAGAAAAUUAUUUUUAAAAAAAUUGUAAUUAUAACAAUUUAAAUAUAUAUAAAAAAAGCAUCCAACAAAUAUAUCGAAAUAUUGCAAUAAAAGGAUGAAGAAAUCAUAAUAUAACCAUACAUGAAUUAGAAAUCAUUUUAUUUCAAAUAUAAAUGAAAUUUGAUAAUGAAAUAAAUUAAAUUAAACAAAUUAUAAAGUAAGAUAUGAAUAUAUAUAUAUAUAAGUUGUGAAAAAUUUUAAAAUAAAAUAAAAAAUUGUUCUAGAAAUCAUUGACUCUCACGUUCCACCCUCUUUUAUUUAUUAAUUAAUUAUAUUUUUUACUCUUCCACGGUCCUUUAUUUUUUGAAAGGAAAUCUCAUUUGGCUUGACACAAAAGUCAUACAUAAUAUUUGUUGUAUAUAGACUUAUUUCAAAUGUUUGAAUUUUCCAAAAACACACACACACAAAGUCGAUGUGGAAUUAAAAUUUUGGUGCCAAGGUCCACUACAUUUUCCACAACCACUAUAAUUAGACUAGAAUUAUCUCUCCGCGUACACUUGGGUUUAAAAUUUUUAAUUAAAAUUUAUUAUAAUCUUAACAUAGAAAUUAAAUUUGUGAUUAUUUUUAUAAUAGAAUAUAAAGUCUUAAAUUAUAAUGACAACAUAGUUGAGAAAAAUAUUUUAAUUUUAAAAAUGUAUAAAAACUGUUAAUUUUUUUAUUUAUUUUGGGACUAUUUGACAAAAAAACGUAAAUUUAAGGGCUAAAAAAGGUAAAAUAAAUAAAAAUAUAUGGAGACCUAAAAUGAUUUUUUUUAAAAAUAAAACUUUCAUAUUGUUAGUUUAAUGACUAAUGUUAUAAUUUAACCUUUAUUUUUGAAAGGGAAUCUCACUUAAAACGAUCCCACCACUUAGACUACAGUGGCGAAACUAGGACUGGUAAGGGCCCCUUAAAAUGAAAAUUUUUUCAUAUAGUCCCUUUAAAAUUUUUAAAAUUUUAAAUUAGUAAAGGUAAAAUUGUACUUUGGUCUCAUUUAAAAAUAUAAAAAUUUGAUUAAUAAACCUUUAUAUUAAUAUGUACAAAUAAUUUAUAAAUUAAAAAAUUAUCUUUUUAAAUAUAUAAAGUAAAUUUAUAAAUUAAAAAAUUUAUAAAAGAUGGAAUUACUUAAUAUAUUUAAUUUUCCUUUAAAUGAAACAAAUUAUUUGUUGACUUAUUACAUUUAUUCCGUAUGAUUUAAUUUUAAAUUUUAUUUUUUAAUCUUCACAGAAUUAUUAGAUACUUUAAGCAACUUAGAGAAGCUUGACACGAAUCGUAAUGAGGUGAAGGAAUUUGUGCCCAUAAAGAAUAAAAAUAUAUGCAUCAACUAAAUAAUAUAAAUUAUUUAAAAAUAAAACACUUUUCAUUAUUUGAUAGAUUCAUUGAUUACCAAAUAUACGAUAUUUCAAAAAAAAAACAAUUAAAGAAAUCCAGCACUUGAAAGUGCUGAUAGAGCAAUAAUUUGAAGCAGUUAAGAAACUUGUAGGAAGGGUAUAGAAAGAAGGUUGGAGGCUUGACGCCAAAAGUCACCAUAGUGGUCUGCUUAGAUCGUUUGGGGCGACUGAAUUUUCCACAUUGAAAACGAAGCCACUAUUGCUACGAAGACCCUUGAAUUUUCCACAAAGAAUUUAUCCCAUAAAUAGAAUUUAUCAUUACAUUAUAUCAAAUUAUGAAUAAUUCAGAGAUUUGCACAUGUACCUUUUUAUUUUAUUUUAUUUUUUCUUUUUUAUUAUUAAAUUCUUUUGAAGCAAAUAAAGAUAAAUUUAUUAUUUUAAAAUUAAUUAAUUAAAAUACUCAUAUUUUUAAAAUGUUAUCAUGGAAGGAGACUCUUUCAUUGUCAAAAUCCAAACAAAAGGAGGAAGAUUUCAUAGAUGGACAACUAGAACUAAACCUGUUUAAUUAUAAGUCGGAUCAGGCCUGCUCAAAAAGUGAGAGGGUUUGAGUAAAAUUAUAACCUUAAAAAAUGGGUUUAGACAAAAAAAUAAUGUCUGUUUAAAAACGGAUCAGACUUCAGGUAAGGCAUUUUUCACCCGAGUCCAAUCCGAAUUCACAAAAUGACAAAAAAAUCUACUAUUUUUUGUUAUUUUAAUUCUAUUUUCUUGUUAUUUUCUUCUUAUUUUGUUACCAUUUCACUAUUAUGUUAUUACUAUUUUGUUGUUAUUGUUUGGAUAUUAUAUAACACUUGUUUUAUUGUUAAUUUUGUUAUUCUUUUAGAGGCAUUUGUUUGUUAAGUUGCAUCUAUCUUAGUGUUAUUUAAGUAUACGUAUUUUUUAAAAUUUAUUUUUACUUUGUUGGAAAAUAUUUAAUUUAAUGUUUUUAGUAUUUUUGAUGUAUUAUAUAUAUUUAAAAAUUAUAUAAAAAUAAUAUAAAAAAUUAAUAUGGGCAGGUUGGGCCCGGGCCUAAAUUUUUGUUUGGGCCCAGUCGAACCCAACCCAUGAGCAUCUCUAUGGAGAAGCAAGAAAUGAAACUUUAUUGAUAAGUGUCAAAAGUAACAUAUUUUAGUCUCAUCCUUAAUAUUUUUUUUAGGUGAUUAUGUGACAUUAAUUGUGAAAUAUAUAUUUCUAAUCUUUUAUAUUCAUGUUUUGAUACUUAAUAAGGCGCUUGAAAAUAAUAUGAGUGAUAAAUAGUGGAAAUUAGAACUUUGAAGUAUUCCAGACGCUACGCACAUGCAUCAAAUUUUCACACAAACAAUUUAUGAUUUUUAAGUUUUUUUAGCAUUCUAACAACAUAUAAAUAAGGAAAUAAGAAGGGAGGAAGACAACCACGAAAUUACCUUCAGAACAUUAUUAAAGCCUAUUAAAUUAAAUUUUCUAACUCCUUUUGAAUUUGUAUUAGCAAAUUCAAAUAUAUUUACUCCAAAAUUAAAUUCGUCGUUUUUCUCUUCUAUUUUAUUUUAAUUUCUAACAUCUUAUUAAGUCUUUACAAUCUUGUUAUUAUUUUUCAAUCCAUAAUUUGUUAUUGAUGGGUGUCGAUUCCACCAAUAUAAACCUACGCCUAAUUUGCAAAUUUAAGCAGUAUAGGAAGUAGAGUUGAUCCCUUAGAGACUGGGUUUACUGCAAAUUAUUGCUCUCUUGACCAGAUUUAUAUCGGGGCAGUUGUCGUGCUCAAGAAGUUCGGGGGGAUAAAAUUUGAAACCUGAAAUAAAUAAAUAAAAUGCGUAAAAAGUAAAAGUUGAAAAUAAAAUAAUAAAAAGCAGUUAAAUAAAUCUGAAGAAAAAUGAAUUAAACUAAGCUCAGCUUUAGGCACGGGUUUUUCUCGUCUUUGAACUGAUCCUCGAAAUUAGAUGAACUCCUCUUUUCCAAUAAACUAGUUAUAGCUACCAAGGACGCCUCGGACACCAACUCUUCCUUGUGUAAAUUAGUUAAGAAACGUCCAAUAACUAACCCUUACCGAUCGAACAACCAACGAAAUGUUCAUGAUUUAGAACUCCGGCAGCUUUGCGUUCUAGAAGAUUCUAGCUCGAACCAAUGCCCUCAACCGCGUGGGACAUUUAAAUCUGGUUACUACUUCCCUUAACGGAACCAAACAGCAAUCCCCACUUGGCACGCCAAUGUGUUCACAGAAAACCGAUUAGACAAUCGAUCCUUUCGAAAUUCCAACUGUACGUCUAACCACACUAACUCAAACGACGUCUUUUUUGACUUAGUGUUGAUUUGACUUUGUGAGUUGACGAAGUCAUACUCUUAAUCCGGAGAAAUAAUAAGUACUGGAAUUUAGGAGUCAAAUUGCUCGGGUUCGUAACUCACGGAUCUUAACGAAGUUAACACCGGCCUAAAGCUGAAAUGGAUACUUAAUAAAAAAAUUGGUAAUUAAAAACUUGAUUAAUGACUUGAUUCAAGACUUGAUUCCUAAAUGAACAAUGUAGCCCCCUAUUUAUACUAGUGGCUUUGCUAAAUUAAGAGCCACUAGCCAUAGAGAAUCAAGGAAAUAAAAUAUUCCAUCAUAUAAAAAUCCCUACAUAAUCUCCCACUAAUUAAGUCAACAAAAAUUUCAGCUAAUUAUAUCUUGGAAAAUUUUUGCUUUGGCCCGCCUUCUUUGCUCUUUUCUUCAAUCUAGCCCAAUUGCUUCUCCUUUUUCUCUUUUGACCCCAAAUUGUACACCUGUGUAAAAUUUAAGUUAAACAUGGAAAAAUUAGUGGUGCACUCUCGUAAAUUAACCAAUUUAAUUACAUAAAAUAUGUAAUUUUAGCAUUUAAUCAAAUCCCUCUACUUAUUUAAUGCUAGUCCUCGAGCAUUAUGCAUGUAUCUACAAAAGGAAAAAUUUCUUCUAAAAUAGGACUUGACUCCCAUGGUUUGCACAAUUCAACAAUUUAAUCCUAGCACAUUAACAUCUCAAAUAACCUAGCCUAAGAAGGAAGUAAAUAUAUUUCAGAAUUUAUUAGAGCUUGAUAGACUUACCUUUCAUUUUAUUAUUUUUGUACUUGGGACAUUUUCGAAUUUUUUGACGCGAGACAUGAUGACAACCCAAGCACCAUGUUCCGGUUACUUGAUUCGGAUGUCUCUAAGCGGGAUAUUUCACCCUACUCGUGAUAGCUUGUUAGCGGAGUGAGUGCAAAGAAAUUGGACAGCCACAUGAACCUUUUUACGUGAGAUGUGAUGACAACCCAAGCACCACGUUCCGGUUACUUAGCCCGAUGUACAACCCCAAUUUUUCACUCUUAACAUUCGUAUCAGAGGAGUAUUAUUAUUCAUUUUUUCUUUUUUUUUUCCUUUUUUUUAAGACAAGAAGACAGAAAAUUGACAUGUGAUAUAAGGUAGGCAGUCAAGCAAACUCAUAAUUCGUAAAAAUUUCUUACCCACUAAGUCUAGGUUAUUGAAAAGUUUAUGUGUAAAGAACUAAAUGGCUAAAUAGGUCAAACCAUAAGUGUUCCAUCCCAAUUUAUCAAAAGAAAAAAUUUUACCUUUCACGGAAAACAUGCAAAAACAGCGACAAUGGAUAAGCAAAAUAGAACCAAUAUAUGUUCCUUUCCCCCUACUUGUUUUACAUUGUCCCUAAUGUAAUUUGAAUUGAAUUAAAUGAUAAAAAGUAAAGGUAAGUAGGGAAAGGAAAAAGAAACUCCCCAUGUAUUUCAACGUCAUGGAGGGUUGCCUCGUAGGUGUGUCCACGGUGUUAAAUAGUGGGUAGGUGGAUUGGGCCUUGGCUGAAAUUAAAAGAAUUUUAUGGGCUGACAUGGGAGAUUUAAUUUUGUCUUGGAAUGUCUCCCAAGUCUUCCCUUAGACAGAACUGAUCCUCGACAUGCAUUUUCAUUUUCCGUUUACCAAAAAUUUUAUUUGCAUAAAGGGAAAAAUUUGGGUUGCCUCCCAACAGCGCUUUGUUUAACGUCGUUAGCUCGCCGAUCUGUUAUUCAAAUUCUGGGCUCCCCAAGAACAAUUGUAAGUGUUGCCAGUCCCCAGCAACAGCGCCAAAACUGAUGGGUGUCGAUUCCACCAAUAUAAUCCUACGCGUAAUUUGCAAAUUUAAGCAGUAUAGGGACUAGGGUCGAUCCCUCAGAGACUGAGUUUACUGCAAAUUGUUGCUCUCUUGACCAGAUUUAUGUCAGGGCAGUUGUCGUGCCCAAGAAGUUCGGGGGGAUAAAAUUUGAAACCUGAAAUAAAUAAAUAAAAUGCGUAAAAAGUAAAAGCUGAAAAUAAAAUAAUAAAAAGCUGUAACACCCCUUACCCGAGACUGUUGCUGGAGUCGAGCACGAGGCAUUACCUGACUUACUUACUAAUUCGGAGCAUAAAAUUUGCUUUUAAAAUUAAUUCAUUCACAAUCAAUCCAUAUGUCCCUAAAAGAACUCUCGAGACCCCAAAAUCAUGUAAUAAAAAUGGUUCGGGUCCAAACCGGGAACAUUUAUAAUUUUCCGAAUACUUAAUCAAAUUAAAACAAUUUAUUUCACUAUUCACAAUAAAACUGUCCACCUGCGCAGCAGUCACUUAUUUAAUUAUAACUCGAGUUACGAAACUCAAAAUUUAGAUUCGUAAAUUUUCCCUGAAACUAGAAUCAUAUAUCUUUUUCACUGUCCAGCCAAUUAGUACAGUUUAUUCUUUAAAUUCUCCCCUGUUUCACUGCUCGACAGCUCUGACCCCUCUUCACUAAAAAUUAAUUAUCUUAUUGUACAGAAUUCAGAUAAUAUUAUCGUUUGUUUCUAUUGAAAAUAAAAUCACUAAGGAAUCUAGGCAUAUAAAUUAUAACUCAUAAUUCCUUCUAUACAAUUUUUAAUGAAUUUUUAAAGUCAGAACAGGGGACUUCAGAAACCAUUCUGACCCUGUCUCACUAAAAUUCAAAUAUCUCAUAAUAUAUAACACUUUUUCUACUCUAUUUCUUUCAUGUGAAAAUAGACUCAUUCAGAUUUAAUUUCCUAUCUCACUCAGGUUCUAAUUCAAUUUAUUCUAUUUUUGGUGAUUUUUCAAAAUCACGUCACUGCUGCUGUCUAAAAACUGUUUCAUUGCAAAUUUUUACUCUCUUUUUUGGUGAUUUUUCAAAAUCUGAAGAAAAAUGAAUUAAACUAAGCUCAGCUUUAGGCACGGGUUUUUCUCGUCUUUGAACCGAUCCUCGAAAUUAGAUGAACUCCUCUUUUCCAAUAAGCUAGUUAUAGCUACCAAGGACUCCUCGGACACCAACUCUUCCUUGUGUAAAUUAGUUAUGGAACGUCCAAUAACUAACACUUACCGGUCGAACAACCAACGAAACGUUCGUGAUUUAGAACUCCGGCAGCUUUGCAUUCUAGAAGAGUCUAGCUCGAACCAAUGCCCUCAACCGCGUGGGACAUUUAAAUCCGGUUACUACUUCCCUUGACGGAACCAAACAGCAAUCCCCACUUGGCACACCAAUGUGUUCACAGAAAACCGAUUAGACAAUCGAUCCUUUCAAAAUUCCAACUAUACGUGUAACCACACUAACUCAAACGACGUUUUUUUUUACUUAGUGUUGAUUUGACUUUGUGAGUUGACGAAGUCAUACUCUUAAUCUGGAGAAAUAAUAAGUACUGGAAUUUAGGAGUCAAAUUGCUCGGGUUCGUAACUCACGGAUCUUGACGAAGUUAACACCGGCCUAAAGCUGAAAUGGAUACUUAAUAAAAAAGAUUGGUAAUUAAAAACUUGAUUAAUGACUUGAUUCAAGACUUGAUUCCUAAAUGAACAAUGUAGCCCCCUAUUUAUACUAGUGGCUUUGCUAAAUUAAGAGCCACUAGCCAUAGAGAAUCAAGGAAAUAAAAUAUCCGAUCAUAUAAAAAUCCCUACAUAAUCUCCCACUAAUUAAGUCAACAAAAAUUUUAGCUAAUUAUAUCUUGGAAAAUUCUGCUUUGGCCUGCCUUCUUUGCUCCUUUCUUUCUUCAAUCUAACCCAAUUGCUUCUCCUUUUUCUCUUUUGACCCCAAAUUGUACACCUGUGUAAAAUUUAAGUUAAACAUGGAAAAAUCAGUGGUGCACUCUCGUAAAUUAACCAAUUUAAUUACAUAAAAUAUGUAAUUUUAGCAUUUAAUUAGUUAUUUAUUAGUUUAGAUUUUUUUCUAUGUUGAAUAUAUUUUAGUAAAUAAUAUUUCAUAUUUAACUCUAAAUUUGUUUUUUUAAUAAUAUACACUAGUUAUUCAAUAUAAAUUAAUGUAUCUAAUAAAAUAUAUUUUAAAAUCUAUAUUUUAAAUAUUUUAAGAUUAGAAACCUAAUUUAAAUUUAUUCAAAAGGACAUUUUAAUUAUUAAGUAAUUUAAUUUUAUAAAUAAUUAUAUAUAUCUAUUUGAACAACAAAUACAUAGUAUAUUUAAAAUAUAAUUAAUUAAUUAAAAAUAUUAUUUUCUAUCAUUGUUUUUAUGUAUCUACUUAAAUUUAAAACUAAAAGGAUGUAUGAUAAUGAAUAAGAAAAAUAAUCAAUUAUUUUAUUGAAAAUAAUUCAACUCUAAUUUAAGAUUAAAUAAAGACAGAUGAAGGCUAUUAUAUUAGAAUUAACUUUUUUUUAGUUUUUAUAUAAUUGGAAUUUACUAAUAUGAAGUAAAAAAAAUGCAUUUUAAUAUUGUAACAUUCAUUUACUUUAUAUCAACAAAAUGUUCAACCUUGAAAACAUUAGUUAUGAUUUUUUUUUUGAUAUAUUUACUCAAAUGAUAAAAAUAUUAAUUGAUGUAAAUAAAUAAAAAAUGAUGCAUUUGCAUUUGGUAAGAUUUAAUUAAACAAUAAAAUGUUUUUUUUAUUCUCAUUGAAUAAUUUACUUAUAAAAAUAAUUGUUUCAAAACAUGAAUAUCAGAUCAUAUCUAAUUACCUACAAUAUGAAAUGAGAAAAUUCAUAAAUUUAUUUACUUCAAUUGAAUAAAUUCAAAAAAAAAAUAAACUAAAUAUUCUUAUAUAAAACAUUUACUUUAUAAUUUUUUAAUAAAUUUCAUAUAAUUAUUUGUAAUUAAAUCUAAUAUAAAUAAAAAGACAAACCCGCAGAGCGGGGUUAUAUCCCUAGUAUAGUAAUAAAAUCAAUGCAAUGGGACCCAACUUUUGGAAGAAGAGAGGAUUUCAAGUUGUCUAUAUAGGCUUUGGUUGAUUGAAAUGCAGGAAGGUAUCAAGUGAGUGGUUUGUUGAUUUAGAGAAGAUGGAGGCUAAAUCGUUGUGGGUACUACUCGCUACACUUGUGUUUAUCAUACAAGGGUGGCCACAGACUGAGGGGUGCUUGGAGCUGGAGAGAAUUGCUCUCUUCCAACUCAAAUCUAAUUUCUUCAAUCACCCUUCAUAUUUGAAGGACUGGGUAGAUGUGAAGGGUUCGAAUUGUUGUCAGUGGGAAAGAAUUGAGUGCAACAUCACCAGUAACCGAGUAAUUGGUCUCUAUCUUUAUUCUGUACGUCAAAGUGAUACAUAUGGGUAUCUCAAUAUCUCUUUAUUUCUUCCAUUUGAAGAAUUAAAGAAUCUUUAUUUGAGUGACAAUAAAAUUACAGGUCUUGUGAAUAACCAAGGUUUAUUGCUUUUCUUCUCUCCAAUGACUGAUUCAUCUUUAAAAUUUGAUUUAAUGUUUUCUAAUUAAUUCGUUUAUUUUACAGAUGAGAAAGUGCAAUCGAUGAUGAAUCUGGAAGUGCUUGAUUUGUCUCGUAAUCUCUUGAAGAACAAUGAUGUGGCAUUUCUUAAGGGGUUAGCUAGUUUAAAGUCCUUGAAUAUGGGAGGAAACCAAUUGGAAGGGUCAAUAGGUAUUACAGGUAUGUAAAAUUUCGUAAAAUAAAAAUAACAAGCUAUACGUAAAUUACAAUUUCAUGAAUCUUUUUAACUAUUAAAAAAUUAUAUCCAAAUAUAUUUCCUUCAUAUAGGUAGUAAAAUAAAGGCAUAAUGAUUUUUUUGACCUUCCAACUUUAUAAAAAAAAAUCAUUUUUAGUCCUUAAUUAAAUUUUUUGUCUAUUUUAGUCUUUACACAUGUUUUUUUUUUCAAAUCACGCCAAAAUAGAUGGUUGGUAAUGUGGCAAACAUGUGGAUUUCCAUGUAACUGACAGAUCAUUUAAUUAAAUUUUUUUAAAAUUUAAGUUUUUUUAAAUUUCUAUUUUUUAAUAGUUUUAAUGAUGUUUAAUUUUUAAAAAUACUUUUUAUAUUUUUUUGAAUUUUUCAGUUUAAAAAAAAAUUAAAUGCUGACGUGUUAUCCACAUGACAAUCCAUGUGUAUGUAAUGUCAACAAAGUUUUAAAAUGUUAAUUUUUUUAUUCACUUUAAGAUAAUUUGACAAAAAAAUACAAGUUUAAGGAUUAAAAACAUGAAAAAUUAAAUGGAAGCAUAAAAUAAUUUUUUUUUAUAAAGUUGAAAGGUUAAAUAAGUUAUUAUGCUUAAAAUAGAAUGUAUUUGAUGACUUUUUUUUAUCAAGGAAAGUAGUUGGAUUUCAUGAACCAAAAUUACUUAAUCUUUGUCAUAUGACUUUGUUUGAGUGACAAAAAAGAUAUUUGAUUGAUUUGAAUAGUAUUGAAUAACUUGACAAAGCUAAAGGAGUUGGAUUUGAGUGGCAAUAAAAUUGAGAGCCUGAAAUCUCCUCACGGUAUGUGUUGAUUUACUUUACUUUCUCAUAUUCUCGCAUAUACAUUCCAAUAUCUCAUUUAAAAUUCUAUUAGUAAUAAAUUUGCUUAUCUAAAUGCUUUGUAGAGGGGCUAGUUAAUUUGACUAAUUUAGAAGAACUUAAUAUGGAUUACAACUACUUCAAAAACAACUCAUUGGCAUAGCUUAGUGGGUUUUCCAAUCUAAAGUUAUUGAGUAUAAGCGAAAACCAGCUUAAAGGAUCAAUAAAUAUUAAAUGUGGAAUUACUUAAUAUAUUUAAUCUUCCUUUAAACAAAGCAAACUAUUUGUUGAAUUAUUGUCUUUAUUAUGUGUGAUUUAAUUUUAAAUUUAAUUUGUCUAUUUUUAUAGAAUUAUUAGAUGCUCUGAGCAAUUUAGAGUCACUGAGAAAAAUAUUUUAAUUUUAAAAAAUGUAUAAAAUUUAUAUAUUAUCUCUUGAAUAAUUUAAAUUAUAAUGAUAUUUUUAAUAUAUUAAAAUUAAUAUAUUAUCACUUUUACUAUUAUAUAAAAAAUUAUAUUAACAUAUAAAAAUCAUUUAUAAAUUAAAAAUUUAUCUCUCUAAUAUAUUAAGUAAUUUAUAAAUUAAAAAAUUUAUAAAAAUUUUGAUGUUGAGAGACUUGGUAAGUGUCCAUAUAUUUUACUUUAUCAAAUUGCUACAUUUAUUAUACUAAUAUCUAAAUGCUUUGUAGAUACAAUUUAAAUCUCAUUAAUUAAUUUUUUAUUAAUAUAUUAUAGUUUUUUAAUUUAAAAAUUCAAUCUAAAUAUUAAAUGUUGUUAUAAGUGUAUAACAAUCACUUAUCUAUAACAUCCAAUAGUGGUUAUACAAAAGUUGACUAUAAGUGAAUUUUUGUGACUAACAAAAAAUGUAUUGAAUUUAUUUGGAUAGUAUUGAAUAAUCUGACAAAGCUAAAGCAGUUGGAUUUGAGUGACAAUAAAAUUUGAGAGCCUCCAAUCAUCUCAUGGUAUGUGUUGAUAUAUUUUACUUUAUCAUAUUCUUACAUAUACAUACCAAUAUCUUAUUUAAUAUUCCAUUAGUAAUAAAUUUGUUUAUCUCAAUGCUUUGUAGAUGGUGAGAGGCCACUUAAUGUAACCAAUUUAGAAGAGCUUAAUUUGGAUUCCAACUCCUUCACAAACAGCUUAUUGGCACAGCUUAGUGGGUUUUCCAAUUUAAAGUCACUAGAUAUAGGGUAUAACCAGCUUAAAGGAUCAAUAAAUAUUAAAGGUGGAAUUACUUAAUAUAUUUAAUCUUCCUUUAAAUGAAAUAAACUACUUGUUGAGUUAUUGCAUUUAUUCUAUGUGAUUUAAUUUUAAAUUUUGUUUGUCAAUUUUUACAGAAUUAUUAGAUGCUUUAGGAAACUUAGAGGAGUUAGACAUGAGCGGGAAUGAGGUGAAGGAAAUUGUGCCCAUAAAGAAUAAAGGUAUAUGUAUCAACUAAAGGAAAUCUUACUAAUUGUUUUCCAUUAGAUAUCAAGUGAACUGAUUCCAACCACUAAUUUGACUCUUAGACAAUGGAAGUUUGGGAAAGCUAAAGGUUGCUACAUUAAACCGUGUGUUCACCGAUGGAACUGCUUCUCUAAUACAACUUCUAGAGACAUUCUCAUCUGUUAAUACAUUAUAUUUGAGUGACAAUUACUUCAACGACACCUUUUCUACUCAAGGUAUAAUAUAUAUGUAUGUGAAUAUAUAGUUUUAUAGUUUGGUUCCAUUUAAAAAUAUUAUUUACUUAACGUCAAUCAUCUAAAUAACUCUUAUAAAUUUGUAAAGAUAAAUUGCAUGUGUCGAGCAAAAUUGAGGAAUUAGUACUAGAUCAAUCAUCUCUCAACAACAACAUUCUUCAAAGUAUUGGUGCAUUGGCUUCUCUUAAAAUUGUCUUUGAGUGGUUGUGGGCUGUCUGGGACAUUACCUACCCAAGGUAAAUUAAUAAUUAUGACAUAAUUAUUUAGACAAGCUCUUGAUUAAUUAUUUUUUAUCCUCCUAGAAUAUUUAAAUAAUUUGUACAAAUUUAUUUUACAGGAUGGUGUGAUUUACGGAAAUUUGAGGUGUUGGAUCUUAGUGAAAAUGCUCUUAAAGGAACCCUCCCUUCAUGUUUGGCUAACUUGUCAUCACUUCAUUAUUUGGAUAUUUCCGGUAAUCAAUUCGUCGGGAAAGGUGCCUCCACUGCCUUAGCCAAUCUCAAUUUGCUUAAAUUCAUUUCUCUUUCACGAAACCUUUUCGAAGUUCCUUCCAUUUUCAUAUCUUUUGCCAACCAUUCACACCUCAAAGUACUCUCCAGCAAUCAAAACAAGUUAGUCGAAGAGCCUACCAUUCCAACAUGGGUCCCAAAGUUCCAACUAAAAGCCUUCCGUUUGUCAAAUUGCACAACAAAGGAACUCCACAUUGAACUUUCGAAAUUCCUCUAUUACCAAAAUAACCUGAGUAUUAUUGAUCUUUCAUAUAAUAAUUUUGAAGGAAAGGUUCCUUUUUGGUUGUUAGAGAACAAUACAAGAAUGGAAGCAUUUUUAAUGACGGGUAACUCUUUUAUGAGUCAUCUCAAUCUUCCAUCUCAUCCGAAUCCAAACAUAUCCUUUGUUGAUAUAUCUGACAACAAAAUACAAGGUCCAAUUCCAACAAACAUUUGUUCAAUCUUUCCACAACUAAAUGGGUUAAACCUAUCAGGCAAUUCCCUUCAAGGUAAUAUUCCUCCUUGUCUGGGUAGUUUGACCACUUGGAAUUUAUUAUUAGAUCUGUCACAUAAUCAGCUAUCUGGAGGAAUACCAGAAAUGUUAGCUCAAAGUGACUCGUUGAGGUUUCUUAGGCUAUCAAAUAAUCAUCUAAGUGGAAAGAUAACCCCAACGAUCUUUUGCUCAACUUCAUUACGAUUGCUAUAUUUAGAUGGCAAUAACUUUGAUGGAAAUAUACCUAGCAUUGUUAUCUCAACUUUCCUUUCAUAUUCCCUUGUUGAUAUGGAUUUAAGUAACCACAAUUUGUCCGGAGAGCUCCCAAGAUGGAUAUGGAAAGUGUCAAAUUUAAAUGCAUUGUCAGUAUCCAACAAUCAGCUCAAGGGUCUCAUUCCGAUGGAAUUGUGCUAUUUGGAUUCCCUUAAAAUUUUAGACCUUUCAGAAAAUAAAUUUUCUGGCCUAAUACCAUCUUGCUUCGAUGCACAAUCUAUCAUGCAUCUCCAUUUGAGCAAAAAUAGAUUAAGUGGCACCUUGACAAAUGCAUUCUUUAAUAGCUCUUCCUUGGUGACUUUAGAUCUUAGUGAAAAUCAGCUGAGUGGAGAAAUUCCAUACCAGAUUGGAACUCUUUCUGCUUUGAGUGUUCUACUUCUAAAAGCCAAUUAUUUUAUUGGAGA
rnacentral:lncRNA from 1 species